GAUCCUAUUUCCCCCAGGGUUGCGGUAUACACGUUAUCUCCAAGUCAUGUCCAUCCAAAGAUGCAUGCCUGACAAAAUGCAAACAAACAUACCACUCGGGCAAGGUCUACGGUGAAUGUGCUCCUGAUGGAUGCCAUUGCAUAGUAUGUGUGUUAUCUGCGGGGAAAUUGAGGAUACUAGCAAGCCUUGCAUGGCGCAUGCCGCAUGUUGUUUUCUAAGAUUUGGAAUAUUUGUAGUAAUAAUAUUUACAUGUUCAUUUAAAAUAAAUCUUAAAGCAUGUGGUAAGUUGUGUUCAAAGAAACAUGAUUGAAGAUAAUUUAAUAGUGAUAAAUGUAUUCUCGCAUUCAAUCCCGAAGGCAAAUUAAUGUGAUGGAUUGGCUAACCGCCAUACCCCAUAACUGUGGGAGUAAUGGAAGAUAUCAUUUUAUUGCAUUGAUUUUUUUCAGAACACAAUAAAGUAUCCCACUUUCAGUUAAUGUAUGUAUAGUUUAGAUAAUAUAUAUCUUUCACUUAAACUCGAGAUAUUUGCUUGGUAAAUGACAACUAGUUGAGCCGACGACAAAAAUUGUAGAUAAUAUUAAUCAAAUUAUGAGAUUUAUCGUCUUGUACUAAACCAUCUGUGUACUGCAUUUCUAUGCGGCAAUGUUGUGGGAGACUAUAAGAAAUCAUAUUUACUUAUUUUGAGGCAAUCAUAUUUGCUUCAAUUAUUAUCCAUAAAUUAUGUCAUGAUUCAUUUUGAGAAGUGUCCGGUAGAGCCUUGGAUUGAUCCAUAGAAAGAAGGACACUUUGCGGCCUAGUACGAGUAUGAGCCCGGUCCACGGUUUGGUUUUAGACGCUAUGUACAUAUGUUUCUAGUCGAAGACGACAUGACCUUCCAGCCCUCUUCCACUCUAGUAUUACCUCCAAUCCAUAAUAAGUGUCGCAGUUUUGAACCGGGGUUAGUUCAAAACUGCGACACUUAUUAUGAAUCGGAGGGAGUAUUAUUUUCAUUGUCAUGACAGAGCCUGACUUCUCUGGCUAGUUAACAUGCUACAUGGAUGAAUUUAAAAAAUAAAUACUACAAGGACGAGUAUUUUUGUUUAUUUUAACUGACUACACGGAUGACUUGAGUUGUCAGGUGCCAGAUAUGAAUACCAUACUCCAAUUGAAACUUGAGAUUACUUUUAAAGUUGUUGAUACUUGAGAUCAUUGAUUAUAUAUAUGAUGGUCCAAUUACAGUUGGGUGCCACUUUUUGCUUAGUUUUCCUCUGUCCGCAAUUUGGUAGUCAACAAAUUUUGGGUUCGCUAUUGGCAAGUUGCCUGAAUUUACCAUUUGUGUCAAUCGAUUCUCAGAGCUCAACCCUCGGUCGUAAAUGACUGAAUCCGGGGACGAUGCCACAAUGGUUGGUGCUGGAGGGAAGUCAUAGGUUGAUGGUCUGUGAUUCCAAAAGGGGCAAGGGGGAUGUCGGUGUCGGAGAGAAGAGUAGUGUUGGUGGGGGAGGGGUUAGAAGGAUGGCCGGGGUUGGGAACAUUAUAUAUAUGUUCAUUAUUUGUUGCAUUAUUUUGGCCAGUGCUGCACAUAAUACUAGACUGCAAUAUCCAUGUAGUGAGAUGAAGACAUCCAUAUGUUUGGCCAGAGAGUCCAAGAAACCUCUGUUUCACUGAUGCUUCUUAUAUUAUAUAGGGCUAAUGCAACAACAUUCCUGGGCAUACGCUUCUGUCUCAGCAUUUCCUAUCAUCAUGCUAAGAUCAUUAUACAGUUAUUUCUUGAAGUUUUUUUUCCCCUGUGCCUCCUUUUAGUGGUGCUUAUUACUAUAGCUGGUCAAACAAUGCCACUUCCUAGUGGAAACAAAAAACUGUCUGAAGCUGUCGUAGUGAAGAACGACAUGCUAGAGUGGACUGGAGACUUUCGUUUGAAAAAAAUGACAUUUUUCCAUCCAAUGAAGAAUAAGAAGAAGAAACAACAAGACCGUUUCCAUUGCUUCAGUCACAUGUUCGUAUUGACUAGACAAAUUCAUCAGUUAGCAAACAUUCCCAAAGACUUGAGCAGGAAACAACACAGCAUCCAGUAGGUAGUCAGUUUCUCGGUAAAUUCAAAGGGAAGAAAAUGCAUCCAGAUUGCAGUACACACAUCAUAAUUUAGCUACUACACUAGAACAUGAAGGCGCGCGUUGUUGCGCCUGUCCAUCUUGGAAAAGAAUCAAGAUGGUUGAAACACAUGAUUCUAUUUUAACAUUUCAAAUUAGUAAGGUUGAAUUAAACAUUUUCAGUGUAAAAACUUAUCUGAAUGGUUAUGCUAAACCAUAUCUUUCACAUGAAAUUCAAUGGACAAUAAGUCAGGAGCUGAAUAAACAGAGUAAUAGCAAUUGUAACAUUUUUGUUUUUACUCUCGAUGACAGUCACAAAUAUUAAUGAUCAAAUUACAUGUCAAGCACCUUGUGCAAAGCACAAACUAACACUGACGACUUGCUGUGGUGAUGAAAUUCAAUCUUAUUCGGACCAAAAACAACUACAUCCUUCCAGGUAGUUUUGUCUGAAACCAUGGUUUUAAAUAGCCGGAAGGCCAAAAAUAACCAUCUGUAUACUUCACAUCCAUCACACAUGAUCCUACAUGCCUUGAUCACAGUAUGUGAAAUAUGAACAUACUUUUUAGCUAGACUAUGUUGUUUGAAACCUUGGAUGGAAGACGCACAAUUACAUUAAUAGCAGCGCAUAAGAAAGGAGCCGGGAGAAAUCAAACAUAUUAAUAUACUCCUGUUUUCCUUGUAAGAUGCAUAUUAUGUCUCUCCAUGAUAGCAUGUUUGCCAGCAGUAGAGGGAGGAUAUAUAUUGCUAGAUAUUAAGAAAACAUGGGCAAAUAAAGUCUUGUAAAAAUAUAACCAUUCGAAUCUAAAAAAUAAACAAAUAUAAGAAACUGUGCUACUGUCAUAAAGAUUGGCUAGAGAGAGAAGCAAGCAAUAGAUCAACACUUAUUAUGAACAGUGUGUGCAUAUUUUGGUUGGACUACAAAAUAGAACUGUAUCCUUCAAGUAAGAAUGCCUUAUCUUGAAGAUAAUAACCAUAUACUUGAUGAGGGACUUGAAUAUUUCCUUUUUACGAUGAAUAUGAUGUAGGAAGGCCUGAAAUUUCUUCUCCAUAAUAAAACAUACUAUAUAGGAGCAUCUUGUUUAUAUAGUUUUAUGUUGAGAACAAUUAAAUGUUUACCAUUUCUUGCUUCUCGUUAAAAGGAGACUAAAGCGAUAGGCAUAGAUAUCUUACAAAUACAUCCUACCUGCAGGCUAUAAAGGGAACAUUCGUGUCUGCCAAAAGAGCAUGUUGAAGAAUGGUGAGUGUUCAUGGGAUAUGCAAUAAGUAGUUCAACACUCAAUACAGUAGGGAUAUGUAGGAAACAAAUGAAGAUGACUGUGUUACCUUGCUGGUAGGAACAUAAUAGUUGUUCUCAAAAUAGAAAUGGUAAUCCGCUAAAUUAAUUUGUUAAACACAUAACCAUAGAUUACACACAUUAUAGGAAAGACAUGUUUUUUUUACAUAAGUACCCUUGACCAUCUCGCAUCGAAAAGAAAAGCAAAAACAUUGCAUGAGAGAACUAAAAUAUGCUUCGGUGUUGUGUCUGCCACUCUGCCAAACACUCACGGUGCAAGUGUUGAUAGCAUAUGUUAGAGUACGUAAUGGGCCUGGACUGACAGUAUAGCCCGUUAGUCUUAGGGUUAAUUAGAGAUAAGGAUCGCUUGCUUAGGGGUCAAGUAAGCCUUGCUUGGGAGUCAAGUAAUAAACCUCUCUAUAUAAGGAGAGGAGAUGUAUCAAUCUAAUCAAGCAAGAAUUAAGAAGGAAAUCCCUCCCCUCUUGCCUGGCCGUGGGCAAAAGGCCCCCGGCCGGCCCUCUCACGCCCGCCUUCUAGCAGCGUCAUAACAAUUUGGUAUCAGCUAGCUUCGGUUUGAUCAUGUCUUCACCGCCGCCAAGCCCGUCUCUUCCGCUGCCGGUCACCUCGUCGCCGCCGGGAUCCUCCGUCGCGCCCGCCCCCGCCCCCGCCGUCCUCACCCCGGAGGAGGUGUUCGGGGUGCUGCGGGACCUAACCCAGGAGGUCCAGGAAAUCCACAUGUUCUUGGCCGGGUCCUAUGGGCUGCCCCCGGCUGCGCCGCCCAUCGCCGCCCCUGCGCCGCCGUGGCUGCCGUGGCAGCCGCCGCACCAGGCGGCCUUCGCCGGGCCACUGCAGCUGCCAUCCAUCGCCACCACCGCCCAGCCCUGGUUGCAGUGGCAGCCGCCGCUCCUAGCGGCCUCCGCCGCGCCCGGCGCUUUGCCGCAGCAGCCGCUGCCGCUGCCCGGUGCGACACCGCAGCAGCCACCGCCGGUCAGCUCCGCCGCCCAGUAUGGGAUGUCCUACGACGGGACUGCGACGACCUUGUUCCCAUCAGCGCCGCCGCCAUCCGAGGGCGUCCACAUCCAGCAGAUCAAGUCCCCGCCGGUGCAGUCACCGCUUCCGUCUUGGAUCGCUACCCGCCACGUGUCGGCGGCGGUGAGGCCGCAGGGUGCUGCGCGCGGCCUCCUAGCGCGUCGGCGUGUGCGGGAGAUGCGUGGUCUGCAGUUGCCGCUCCUCCAAGUUGCCCUUCGCUGCGACCUCGAUCUCGUCCGCUGCGUCGGGGAUCUUGGGCAUGCGGUUUCCCCCAUGGGCGGCGGGCAUGCUGUUUUCCCCGUGGGCAGCGACCUCAAAGUCUGCGAUAUCGGCGGUUGGGGGGGGCGCACCCCUCCUCGACAUUCUCCAUCGCAAGCCCUCCACUCUUUCCUAUGUAGUGCAGACCAACAGCCAUACACAUGCACUCCUUUUGUCCACGUGGCGUCCAUGGGAUCCAGCUGGCUGUACACGUGCACGUCCAAAAUAAAGCGUCCCAGUCUAUUUCAGCUUGAGAGUAAUAACACAAGCCGAGAUGUAAAAGGCUUGUUUUUAGGUGUUAGGUUUGUGUUGCGUCGAGUCAUGGUUAUAAGUUGGUUAGGCUGCAGCUCGAGGACAAGCUGCAUGUCGAGGUGGGGUGUAGUGUUAGAGUACGUAAUGGGCCUGGGCUGACAGUAUAGCCCGUUAGUCUUAGGGUUAAUUAGAGAUAAGGGUCGCUUGCUUAGGGGUCAAGUAAGUCUUGCUUGGGAGUCAAGUAAUAAACCUCUCUAUAUAAGGAGAGGAGAUGUAUCAAUCUAAUCAAGCAAGAAUUAAGAAGGAAAUCCCUUCCCUCUUGCCUGGCCAUGGGCAAAAGGCCCCCGGCCGGCCCUCUCGCACCCACCUUCUAGCAGCGUCAUAACAGUAUAUAUCCCUAUGUUUUUUCCAGCUACUCUGAAUACUCCUGAUGAGACAAGCACGUACCAUGGCCAUGUUGCAAAAAAAGGAAAAGAAAGCUAGUAUCUUGGAGCAUUAUCAUCUACUAUCUCCUAUUCUUAUGCAUUGGUAGUUGGAGAUUAAAGAGCAACGCUAGCAAACCUCAUAUCUUGCCGGACGCCUGACAUGCCGUGUCAUGACCAUGGAUCCAGAUUUGUUCCAUGCAUAAUUCAUCUUCAUCCUGGCACAACUUGCCAAUACUUGCAUUCUUCCCUUCUUCUUUGCCCCUUAGCUUUGAUAUUCUCUUUCCUAAUAACAAUAAUAUAAAGAUUCCAUGGUUUUGAUCCUGUGUUUUUCUUAAAUAUAAAGAUACUUAUGUGCCAAAAGAUUGCACGUGGUGAAUAUGCACAUAUCGUACAUUUCUAGAAAGCUAGGUACAUGAGAAAAUUAAUCAUGCAUCACUAAGCAGGUGAAUAAAAUUCCCGAGAGAAUUGAGCAUAAUCAUCAGAUAAAUACGUUCAAUGGGUAUUGUCGAUCAGGUUACUUACAGGUUCUGCAGAAGCGGUAGAGAGAGAGCUUCUUCAUCAAACGUGCUAGGUUUGGUGCGGGCAUGAAGGGAAAGGAGUUGAGAAGUUGAGAAUGCGCCUCAACGGAGGCCACCUCCGAAUCUCGCUGCACAGCCGGCGAAAUGGUAGGAGAAGAUGGCUACGACAGUUGAUGCAUGUAGAUCGCAGCGCCAUCUUCCAUGGAUCCAGAGAGACAGACAUUUCUCCUCUUGCGUUCUUGUGCCGCCACCGCAUCCUUCCCCCCUCUUGCGAUUCGUGCUGCUGCCACAUCGUACGGGAUACAGCCACGAACAGGGAGCACCGAAGGUGGGCUACAGGAAAGGCAUGGUCGUGGAAUUGGUGAUGGGGAAGGAGCAGCUAGCAGAAGGUCAUGGCGGAGGCGACGACGACGGCGACACCUAGGGUUAGAUCGGUGCCGAAGGAGAUUACAGAAAAAGAAGUACGCAAUAGUAGUAUGUGGGGAUUUUAGGUGGCCUGCUGGACUGGACCUGGGCCUUGGCCCGCUUAUGGACAAAAAUCGUAGCUCGUUCUGCGGAGCAGCGGCCCGCUAAACGGUGAGUGGAAGUGCGCGAGCGACCUGGGACGACCAGAGCUGAUCUGGAUCGUACGUUGGAAUGAUCGGAUGGCUGAGAGUCUCAAAGCUCUGUGGAGGCUUCUAGCUAGCUACAUCUUACUGUUUAGUAAUUGCAAGGUCCACACAAUCAUGUAUUCUCAAACAAUUAAUAACUAGUAGUCUCGAAGUUAAAACUACGACUGGACAGGCAUCAUACGGAGUCAUCACUCUAGCUGUUGCGAGCGUGUGAGCGCUAUGAGACUCAUCAUUCCUUCACCCUUAUCUGGUGGACUAUUAUCUCCACAGAUGAGGAGGAUCCCUGGGUGAGUCGCUCCUUAACCCGACGCCUUCUAGCUUCAUCCACCUGGGAUAUUCUUUCAAAGUCGUGGCAGCUCUCACAUGGGAGUUCACGACGCAGCACGAUUCUCUUCAGCCCCACAGCUCGUUCCAUGACUAGCCUUAUAUAGUUUGUCACCUUGUCUUCCUCUUCAAACUCUUGAACCCCCAGCCUCUUCAAGUUGAAGUGCUUGAAACCCUUGGAUGGUCCCCACACCACGUUUGUCUUCUCCACACUGUCCUCGGCCGUUUUGGCACAUGAAUGUCGAGUUCGAGAUAACUUCAUGCAGGGACACAGAAAAUAAAAGAUGCAAGUUAAUUAAACCUGACACAAACCCAUGCAGGAUAAUGUAGUAACAAUUGAAAUUAAAUAUAUCUUGCAUUAAAAAUUUGCAACACCAUCAGUACUUGUAUCAAAUUUUAGGCCCGCGUAGAGUUUUUGGAAGUAACUUGCAUGAAUUAAAUCCUAGGCAAAGUAAGACACGCGAAUAUGCUUCGGAUAACUCUAAAACGAGGUACCAUCCAGCAUGAUUUUGUUUUUGUCUUGCAUGGACAUUGCCUUUCUGCAAAAUUCAAAUGGAACGGCAGAACUUCCAUUUGCAUUGCAUUAUCAUUCGUAUGCAAUACAAUCCAUGUGUUCCAUAUAUCCCAAUUACUAUGCAGCCUGUACACACUACUUCUAAAGUUUGUGAUGGAUUAGAGUCUGUGAGUGAUCAAAAAUCAGAUUAACUUGGUGGUAUGUUGUUAAUGCUGAAUAUUCGGAAACCUGUCACACUAGACAGAGUUGUAUCCAGGCUAACAUGUGGAUUAAAUUCAAAAGAAGGAAGAGUAACAUGCUUACUGUGAACUUCUGCAGGGCAGGUGCAGCUUCAAGGAUAAAUAGGGUCCAGCUCAGAUCACACUCAGGGAAGAUACCAGAAAGGGACACAUAUGUUCCGGCACCAAGAAGAGGAACACAAAUAGACAGCUGAUAUUAGUAAAGAAGAACAUAUGUUAUGUGUGCAGAAGAACUUUAUAUGGUCCGUAGAUAGAAAUUUAGCUUUACCAUUUGGUGGCGAAAAUUGAGAUGCAAUGUCGACAGGUUCGUUGCACUCCUUGACAAGCACUCACUCAGCAGGAAUGGCGCCUGCCACGCCUCGGCCCUACAAGUGAGGCUGACUCCACGAAGCUCUGGAACAUAGCCGAAGCGCACCGGAGGGCUCUUAAAAGACCAUUGGCAGUAAACUUCAUUGAGCUUGGGGACAGAGAUGAGCUCAAUGUGCGUGCACUCAAAGUAGAAGAGCUCGAGCUCCUGGAGCCUAGAGCUGGGCACGCCGAUCUUGAGCACGGAGUCCUCAUCAACCAGUUCGCAUAAUCUCAAGGUGAGGUGUAUGAGUCUGUCACAGGCCCUAAUGAGGUCAGUGAUGUCGGAGUGCCCAAACGCAAGGUUCUUGAGGGUAAGAAACCGUGAGCCACCCUCGGCGAGCCACCGGGCAGUGUUUCUCCUGUAUGGCGAGCCUGUGCCAAAAUGGAGCCUUUUGGUUUUGCCGCGGCUGACAACGUGCUCAACGGCGCCGCCGAUGGAGCUCAGGUGUGUGUGUGUGUGGGGUGGGGGGUGGGGGGUGGGGGGCGACAGGUAAAAGCUUAAAAAUGAAAAUAAAACAAGAAAUGAUAAGCUGCAACGACUGAGAAGUGCAUCCCUCAUCUCCACCCGAACAACCCCACUAGCCGUCUCAAUAGUGGAAGUCAUGGGGUUGUUUUACGGUGAGUUUUUUUAUGGUACCCUAUACUAUUAAGAGCUUUUUUAUUGUACCCUAUACUGUUAAAGAUGGGAGUCUGUCACCGGUUUCGGAAGUCUUCCGAAUAGGUUUUUUAUUUUUAUUUCUCUAUCCGGUUUUCCAGUUUUCUCACUUUUUCUCUUCUUAUUUUAAAUUUUUUAUUUCUUGUUUUAAAUUCAUGAAAAUAUCAAUUCAUGAGCUUACUAUAAAAUUAAAGAACUUUAUUUAUUUAACUUCACAAAGAUUUGUAAAAGAAUUGAACAUUUAUCAAAAUCAGGAACAUUUUUGGAAUUCAACAUUAUUUUAAAAUCCAUGAACAAUGAGCAUCUUUUAAUUUACGCACAUUUUACAAUUUUAUGAAAAAAAUUAAAAAAAAAGUCCAUUUUAAUACCCUAAAGAAACUUGAUGGUUCACAUAACCCUCUGAUGUUUAUUUUGGUUCCCUCACCCUUCUCAACAAUCCUAAACUGGUCAAAAUCGUCCCUAACUGGUUAGCACUGGCUAGUUGCUGAUGUGGACAUGGUCAACGGCGGUAUUUGACCAAUGGGCCACUUUCAUCAGUGACCCAUCAAUGUCUCUCGGCGGCACUGUAGGGGGUUGUGGUGGCGUGGCUGACCGGAGCAGCAGCUAAGGGCGCGAACGGCAGGGAGAUGCUAUAGAAGGCCCGGAUGUGGCCGGCGGCGAGCUCCUAGUCAGAGGUCGUGGCCUCCCAUCGACUAGAGGCGUCCAACAAUGGGCGCGGAUGCAGCAGUAAGGGCCGACCAUGGGCGUGGAGGCGGCAGCAAGGGAUGUACACAUGCAUCGUCGUCUCCCUCCACACACAGGAGAUAGCAGGGCGGUGGCGCUACAGUGACGUAGGCGGCCAAAUACAAGGGUGGCGACCCGAUCUGGUCUUGUUCCAGCCGGAUCCGGAGUCUGGCGGCGAUGUGAAGGCGGUACGAUGGUGUGGCCAAUACCAACGACCAUUAGCGAAGCAGCGUUGGGCAUGAGGUGUCGUGGUCUCCCGUCGACCAGAUGUGACCAACCAUGGGCAUGGAGGAGGCAGCAAGGGCCAUUGGGGGGGACAGGGAGACGGCUCAGUGGCAGGGUCGAUGGGCCAUAGGGGCAUGGCGGUGCUAUGACAGCGGGGCGCAAGCAGGCGAGGCGAGGCACAUACGGUCGGUGCAUAGUUGGCGUCUUGCAUGAAAAGAAGGAGUGAGCAGGGGAACCAAGGUGCAGGGGCGGUGGCUCUUCAUUGGCAGCGCCUAGGGUCGGCAUUUCCGGGUGUGUUCCUACUGGAUCUGGCGGUCGGGCGGUAUCCUGUUCUAUCGUGGUAUUUCCUCGACAUAUGCCAACGGGUGGCUAAUCAUGUAGGGGGUCAACAUAAUGUUGUCGGGCUCUAGAAGCGGGAGUAGGUAAGAUCUCAAUCGACGUCGGGUCUUACCUAGGUUCGGGGCUCUCUAAGGAGAUAACACCCCUAAUCCUGCUCUGCGGGGUCUCUCCACAUCACUAUCAUCAAUAGCAAGUACAAGGUUACUCCUUGAGCUGUUCGGGCUAGAGGAGGAAGAAGGCUGCUAGCUCUACUUAUCCAUAGCUAUGGGGGUGGAGUGAUCUAGGGGUUGAACCCUUUGCAUGGGUGUCCCUGGGGGGUUUGUAUAGGCCUACCCCCCAGGGGUACAAUGGUAAUCCGGCUGGUCGUAGGACCGACCACCAGUGUGUGUGGGCUCCGACUUCUCUUCUGACAGUUGGGGCCCGCCGCCUGGUGGGUCCCACCGGCUGCCGUGAGCUUGGUCAACGAGCGGGGCCCGCGUGGAACUAUGGCCUCGCCCUGAUGACGAUGGCUUGGUCAGGGGGCGCAUGGCUACAGUGCCGCCUCCAGGCGGACGGUCACUUUAGCCACGCCCCAUAAGUUCUGGUUAAUUAGGCACAGACCUCAAGGGGAGGGGCGGCCGCCUGCUCGGAGUCGGCCUCCACUAGAGGCCGCCUGCUUAGGCCCGGCUAUCUUUUGGGGAUACGUGGGCUGAUGGGGCGCGCUGCCUGAUACGUCUCCAACGUGUCUAUAAUUUUUGAUUGUUCCAUGCUAUUAUAUUACCUGUUUUGGAUGUUUAUGGGAUUUACUUCACACUUUUAUAUCAUUUUUGGGACUAACCUACUAACCGGAGGCCCAGCCCGUAAUGCUGUUUUUUUGCCUAUUUUAGUAUAUCGAAGAAAAGGAAUAUCAAACGGAGUCCAAACGGAAUGAAACCUUCGGGAGCGUGAUUUUUGGAACGAACGUGAUCCGGAGGACUUGGAGUGCAAGUCAAGAAGCUCCUGAGGCGGCCACGAGGGUGGAGGGUGUUGGAAAUAUGCCCUAGAGGCAAUAAUAAAAGCAUUAUUAUUAUAUUUCCUUGUUCAUGAUAAUUGUCUUUUAUUCAUGCUAUAAUUGUAUUAUCCGGAAAUCGUAAUACAUGUGUGAAUACAUAGACCACAAUACGUCCCUAGUAAGCCUCUAGUUGACUAGCUCGUUGGUCAACAGAUAGUCAUGGUUUCCUGACUAUGGACGUUAGAUGUCGUUGACAACGGGAUCACAUCAUUAGGAGAAUGAUGUGAUGGACAAGACCCAUUCCUAAGCAUAGCACAAGAUCGUGUAGUUCGUUUUGCUAGAGCUUUUCCAAUGUCAAGUAUCUCUUCCUUAGACCAUGAGAUCGUGUAACUCCCGGAUACCGUAGAAGUGCUUUGGGUGUACCAAACGUCACAACGUAACUGGGUGACUAUAAAGGUGCACUACAGGUAUCUCCGAAAGUGUUUGUUGGGUUGACACGGAUCGAGACUCGGAUUUGUCACUCCGUAUGACGGAGAGGUAUCACUGGGCCCACUCGGCAGGGCAUCAUCAUAAUGAGCUCAAGGUGACCAAGUGUCUGGUCACGGGAUCAUGCAUUACGGUACGAGUAAAGUGACUUGCCGGUAACGAGACUGAACGAGGUAUUGGGAUACCGACGAUCGAGUCUCGGGCAUGUAACGUACCGAUUGACAAAGGGAAUAGUAUACGGGGUUGCUUGAAUCCUCGACAUCGUGGUUCAUCCGCUGACAUCAUCGAGGAGCAUGUGGGAGACAACAUGGGUAUCCAGAUCACGCUGUUGGUUAUUGACUGGAGAGCCGUCUCGGUCAUGUCUGCGUGUCUCCCGAACCCGUAGGGUCUACACACUUAAGGUUCGGUGAUGCUAGGGUUAUUAGGAAGACUUGUAUGUGAUUACCAAAUGUUGUUCGGAGUCCCGGAUGAGAUCCCGGAUGUCACGAGGAGUUCCGGAAGGGUCCGGAGGUAAAGAUUUAUAUAUGGGAAGUUGUCAUGCGGACACCGGAAAGUUUGGGGGGCAUAUCGGUAUUGUACCGGGGCCACCGGGGGGGUUCCGGGGGUCCACCGGGAGAGGCCACCCCUCUUGGUGGGCCACAUGGGCCGCGUGGGGCAGGGAACCAGCCCCUGAAGGGCUGGGCACGCCCCCCCCCCUUGGGCCCAUGCGCCUAGGGUUGGGGGGGGGACCCUAAGGGGGGCGCACCCCCUUUGCUUGGGGGGCAAGCCCCCUCCCUGGCCGCCGCCCCCCCUCUAGAUCUCAUCUAGAGGGGGCCGGCCCCCUUCCCCCUUCCCCUAUAAAUAGAGGGGCGAGGGGAGGGCUGAACACCUGAUCCAAGGCGCAGCCCCUCCCCUCCCCAACACCUCUCCUCCUCCGUUGAGCGCUUGGCGAAGCCCUGUCGGAGUACUGCCUCUCCAGCAUCAUCACGCCGUCGUGCUGCUGCUGGAGCCUUCUUCCUAAACCUCUCCUUCCCCCUUGCUGGAUCAAGAAGGAGGAGACGUCGUUUGUACCGUACGUGUGUUGAACGCGGAGGUGAUGUCCGUUCAUCACUUGGUCAUCGGUGAUUUGAAUCACGACGAGUACGACUCCAUCAUCACCGUUCCCUUGAACGCUUCCGCACGUGAUCUACAAGUUGUAUGUAGAUGCAAUCUCUCUCCCAUGACUCGUUGCUUAGAUGAACUCAUAGAUGGAUCUUGGUGAAACCGUAGGAAAAAAUUUAUUUUCUGCAAUGUUCCCCAACAGUGGCAUCAUGAGCUAGGUCUAUGCGUAGUUCUCUAUUGCACGAGUAGAACACAAUUUUGUUGUGGGCGUAGAUCUUGUCAACUUGCUUGCCGCUACUAGUCUUUUAUUGCUUCAGCGGUAUUGUGGGAUGAAGCGGCCCGGACCGACCUUACACGUACGCUUACGUGAGACAGGUUCCACCGACUGACAUGCACUAGUUGCAUAAGGUGGCUAGCGGGUGUCUGUCUCUCCUACUUUAGGUCGAGUGGAUUAGAUGAAAAGGGUCCUUAUGAAGGGUAAAUAGAAGUUGACAAAAUCACGUUGUGGUUAUUCAUAGGUAAGAAAACGUUCUUGCUAGAACCCAAUUGCAGCCACGUAAAAGAUGUAGCAACAAUUAGAGGACGUCUAACUUGUUUUUGCAGCAAUUGUCAUGUGGUGUGAUAUGGCCAGAAGUUGUGAUGAAUGAUGAAUGAUAUAUUGUGAUGUAUGAGAUCAUGUUCUUGUAAUAGGAAUCACGACUUGCAUGUCAAUGAGUAUGACAACCGGCAGGAGCCAUAGGAGUUGUCUUUAUUUUUUGUAUGACCUGCGUGUCAUUGAAGAACGCCAUAUAAAUUACUUUACUUUAUUGCUAAACGUGUUAGCCAUAGAAGUAGAAGUAGUCGUUGGCGUGACAACUUCAUGAAGACACAAUGAUGGAGAUCAUGAUGAUGGAUAUCAUGGUGUCAUGCCGGUGACGAAGAUGAUCAUGGAGCCCCGAAGAUGGAGAUCGAAGGAGCUAUAUGAUAUUGGCCAUAUCAUGUCACUACUAUAUAAUUGCAUGUGAUGUUUAUUAUGUUGUAUGCAUCUUGUUUACUUAGAACGGCGGUAGUAAAUAAGAUGAUCCCUUAUAAUAAUUUUAAGAAAGUGUUCCCCCUAACUAUGCAUCAUUGCUAAAGUUCGUCGUUUCGAAGCACCACGUGAUGAUCGGGUGUGAUAGAUCCUUAUGUUCACAUACAACGGGUGUAAGACAGAUUUACACAUGCAGAACACUUAGGGUUAACUUGACGAGCCUAGCAUGUACAGACAUGGCCUCGGAACACAGAGACCGAAAGGUCGAACAUGAGUCGUAUAGAAGAUACGAUCAACAUGGAGAUGUUCACCGAUGAUGACUAGUCCGUCUCACGUGAUGAUCGGACACGGCCUAGUCGACUCGGAUCGUGUAACACUUAGAUGACUAGAGGGAUGUCUAAUCUAAGUGGGAGUUCAUUAAAUAAUUUGAUUAGAUGAACUUAAUUAUCAUGAACUUAGUCUAAAACUUUUGCAAAAUAUGUCUUGUAGAUCAAAUGGCCAACGCUCAUGUCAACAUGAACUUCAACGCGUUCCUAGAGAAAACCAAGCUGAAAGAUGAUGGCAGCAACUAUUCGGACUGGGUCCGGAACCUGAGGAUCAUCCUCAUAGCAGCCAAGAAAGAUUAUGUCCUAGAUGCACCGCUAGGUGAAGCACCCAUCCCAGAGAACCAAGACGUUAUGAACACUUGUCAAUCACGUGCUGAUGAUUACUCCCUCGUUCAGUGCGGCAUGCUUUACAGCUUAGAACCAGGGCUCCAAAAGCGUUUUGAGAAGCACGGAGCAUAUGAGAUGUUCGAGGAGCUGAAAAUGGUUUUCCAAGCUCAUGCCCGGGUCGAGAGAUAUGAAGUCUCCAACAAGUUCUAUAGUUGUAAGAUGGAGGAAAAUAGUUCUGUCAGUGAGCACAUACUCAAAAUGUCUGGGUUGCACAACCGCCUGUCCCAGUUGGAGAUCAACCUCCCGGAAGAGGCGGUCAUUGACAGAAUCCUUCAGUCGCUCCCACCGAGCUACAAGAGCUUUGUGUUGAACUACAAUAUGCAGGGGAUGGUGAAGACCAUUCCUGAAGUAUUCUCAAUGCUGAAGUCAGCAGAGGUUGAAAUCAAGAAAGAACAUCAAGUGUUGAUGGUCAAUAAGACCACUAAGUUCAAGAAGGGCAAGGGUAAGAAGAACUUCAAGAAGGACGGCAAAGAUGUUGCCGCGCCCGGUAAGCCAGUUGCCGGGAAGAAGUCAAAGAAUGGACCCAAGCCUGAGACUGAGUGCUUUUAUUGCAAGCGGAAGGGUCACUGGAAGCGGAACUGCCCCAAAUACUUAGCGGACAAGAAGGCCGGCAACACUAUAGGUAUAUUUGAUAUACAUGUAAUUGAUGUGUACCUUCCCAGUACUCGUAGUAACUCCUGGGUAUUUGAUACCGGUGCCGUUGCUCACAUUUGUAACUCACAGCAGGAGCUGCGGGAUAAGCGGAGACUGGCCAAGGACGAGGUGACGAUGCGCGUCAGGAAUGGUUCCAAGGUCGAUGUGAUCGCCGUCGGCACGCUACCUUUACAUUUACCUAUGGGAUUAGUUUUAAACCUCAAUAAUUUUUAUUUAGUGCCAAGUUUGAGCAUGAACAUUGUAUCUGGAUCUCGUUUGAUACGAGAUGGCUACUCAUUUAAAUCCAAGAAUAAUGGUCGUUCUAUUUAUAUGAGAGAUAUGUUUUAUGGUCAUGCCCCGAUGGUCAAUGGUUUAUUCUUAAUGAAUCUCGAACGUAAUGUUACACAUAUUCAUAGCAUGAAUACCAAAAGAUGUAAAGUUGGUAACGAUAGUCCCACAUACUUGUGGCACUGUCGCCUUGGUCACAUUGGUGUCAAGCGCAUGAAGAAGCUCCAUGCUGAUGGACUUUUAGAGUCUCUCGAUUAUGAAUCAUUUGACACAUGCGAACCAUGCCUCAUGGGUAAAAUGACCAAGACUCCAUUCUCCGGAACAAUGGAGCGAGCAACCAACUUGUUGGAAAUCAUACAUACCGAUGUGUGCGGUCCAAUGAGCAUUGAGGCUCGCGGAGGAUAUCGUUAUGUUCCCUCUCUCACUGAUGACUUGAGUAGAUAUGGGUAUGUCUACUUGAUGAAACACAAGUCUAAGACCUUUGAAAAGUUCAUGGAAUUUCAGAAUGAAGUAGAGAAUCAACGUGACCGAAAGAUAAAAUUCUUACGAUCGGAUCGUAGAGGAGAAUAUUUAAGUCACGAAUUUGGUACACACUUAAGAAAAUGUGGAAUCGUUUCACAACUCACGCCGCCUGGAACACCUCAGCGUAACGGUGUGUCCGAACGUCGUAAUCGCACUCUAUUGGAUAUCGUGCGAUCUAUGAUGUCUCUUACCGAUUUACCGCUAUCAUUUUGGGGAUACGCUCUAGAGACAGCUACAUUCACUUUAAAUAGGGAACCGUCUAAAUCCGUUGAGACGACACCGUAUGAAUUAUGGUUUGGGAAGAAACCUAAGCUGUUGUUUCUAAAAGUUUGGGGAUGCGAUGCUUAUGUCAAGAAACUUCAACCUGAAAAGCUCGAACCCAAGUCGGAAAAAUGCGUCUUCAUAGGAUACCCUAAGGAAACCAUUGGGUAUACCUUCAACUUAAGAUCCGAGGGCAAGAUCUUUGUUGCCAAGAACGGAUCCUUUCUGGAAAAAGAGUUUCUCUCGAAAGGAGUAAGUGGGAGGAAAGUAGAACUCGAUGAAGUACUGCCUCUUGAACCGGAAAGUUGUGCAGCUCAGGAAAACGUUCCUGUGGUGCCUACACCGACUGGAGAGGAAAUUAAUGAUGAUGAUCAAGGUACUUCUGAUCAAGUUGCUACUGAACUUCGUAGGUCCACAAGGACACGUUCCACACCAGAGUGGUAUGGCAACCCUGUCUUGGAAAUCAUGUUGUUAGACAACGGUGAACCUUCGAACUAUGAAGAAGCGAUGGCGGGCCCAGAUUCCAACAAAUGGCUAGAAGCCAUGAAAUCCGAGAUAGAAUCCAUGUAUGAAAACAAAGUAUGGACUUUGACUGACUUGCCCGAUGAUCGGCGGGCGAUAGAAAACAAAUGGAUCUUUAAGAAGAAGACGGACGCGGAUGGUAAUGUCACCAUCUAUAAAGCUUGACUUGUCGCUAAGGGUUAUCAGCAAGUUCAAGGGAUUGACUACGAUGAGACUUUCUCUCCCGUAGCGAAGCUUAAGUCCGUCCGAAUUAUGUUAGCAAUUGCCGCAUACUAUGAUUAUGAGAUAUGGCAGAUGGACGUCAAAACAGCAUUCCUUAACGGGCAUGUUACGGAAGAACUGUAUAUGAUGCAGCCGGAGGGUUUUGUCGAUCCUAAGAAUGCUAACAAAGUAUGCAAGCUCCAGCGAUCCAUUUAUGGGCUGGUGCAAGCAUCUCGGAGUUGGAACAUUCGCUUUGAUGAGAUGAUCAAAGCAUUUGGGUUUAUGCAGACUUAUGGAGAAGCCUGCGUUUACAAGAAAGUGAGUGGGAGCUCUUUAGCAUUUCUCAUAUUAUAUGUAGAUGACAUACUUUUGAUGGGAAAUGAUAUAGAAUUCUUGGACAGCAUUAAGGCCUACUUGAAUAAGUGUUUUUCAAUGAAGGACCUUGGAGAAGCUUCUUACAUAUUAGGCAUCAAGAUCUAUAGGGAUAGAUCGAGACGCCUCAUAGGUCUUUCACAAAGCACAUACCUUGAUAAGAUUUUGAAGAAGUUCAAAAUGGAUCAGUCCAAGAAAGGGUUCUUGCCUGUACUGCAAGGUGUGAGAUUGAGCUCGGCUCAAUGCCCGACCACGGAAAAAGAUAAAGAAGAGAUGAGCGUCAUCCCCUAUGCCUCAGCCAUAGGAUCUAUUAUGUAUGCCAUGCUGUGUACCAGACCUGACGUAAACCUUGCCGUAAGUUUGGUAGGUAGGUACCAAAGUAAUCCCGGCAAGGAACACUGGACAAUGGUCAAGAAUAUCCUAAAGUACCUGAAAAGGACAAAGGACAUGUUUCUCGUUUAUGGAGGUGACGAAGAGCUCGUCGUAAAGGGUUACAUCGACGCUAGCUUCGACACAGAUCUGGAUGACUCUAAGUCACAAACCGGAUACGUGUAUAUGUUGAAUGGUGGAGCAGUAAGCUGGUGCAGCUGCAAGCAGAGCGUCGUGGCGGGAUCUACAUGUGAAGCAGAGUACAUUGCAGCCUCGGAGGCAGCGCAUGAAGCAAUUUGGGUGAAGGAGUUCAUCACCGACCUAGGAGUCAUACCCAAUGCGUCGGGGCCGAUCAAACUCUUCUGUGACAACACUGGAGCUAUUGCCCUUGCCAAGGAGCCCAGGUUUCACAAGAAGACCGGGCACAUCAAGCGUCGCUUCAACUCCAUCCGUGAAAAUGUUCAAGAUGGAGACAUAGAUAUUUUCAAAGUACAUACGGAUCUGAAUGUCGCAGAUCCGUUGACUAAACCUCUCUCGCGAGAAAAACAUGAUCAACACCAGAACUCUAUGGGUGUUCGAUUCAUCACAAUGUAACUAGAUUAUUGACUCUAGUGCAAGUGGGAGACUGUUGGAAAUAUGCCCUACAGGCAAUAAUAAAAGAAUUAUUAUUAUAUUUCCUUGUUCAUGAUAAUUGUCUUUUAUUCAUGCUAUAAUUGUAUUAUCCGGAAAUCAUAAUACACGUGUGAAUACACAGACCACAAUACGUCCCUAGUAAGCCUCUAGUUGACUAGCUCGUUGGUCAACAGAUAGUCAUGGUUUCCUGAUAUGGACAUUAGAUGUCGUUGACAACGGGAUCACAUCAUUAGGAGAAUGAUGUGAUGGACAAGACCCAUUCCUAAGCAUAGCACAAGAUCGUGUAGUUUGUUUUGCUAGAGCUUUUCCAAUGUCAAGUAUCUCUUCCUUAGACCAUGAGAUCGUGUAACUCCCGGAUACCGUAGGAGUGCUUUGGGUGUGCCAAACGUCACAACGUAACUGAGUGACUAUAAAGGUGCACUACAGGUAUCUCCGAAAGUGUCUGUUGGGUUGACACGGAUCGAGACUGGGAUUUGUCACUCCGUAUGACGGAGAGGUAUCACUGGGCCCACUCGGUAGUGCAUCAUCAUAAUGAGCUCAAGGUGACCAAGUGUCUGGUCACGGGAUCAUGCAUUACGAUACGAGUAAAGUGACUUGCCGGUAACGAGACUGAACGAGGUAUUGGGAUACCGACGAGCGAGUCUCGGGCAUGUAACGUACCGAUUGACAAAGGGAAUAGUAUACGGGGUUGCUUGAAUCCUCGACAUCGUGGUUCAUCCGAUGACAUCAUCGAGGAGCAUGUGGGAGCCAACAUGGGUAUCCAGAUCCCAUUAUUGGUUAUUGACCGGAGAGCCCUCUCGGUCAUGUCUGCGUGUCUCCCGAACCCGUAGGGUCUACACACUUAAGGUUCGGUGACGCUAGGGUUAUUAGGAAGACUUGUAUGUGAUUACCGAAUGUUAUUCGGAGUCCCGGAUGAGAUCUCGGACGUCACGAGGAGUUCCGGAAGGGUCCGGAGGUAAAGAUUUAUAUAUGGGAAGUUGUCAUGCAUAUCGGUAUUGUAUCGGGGCCACCGGAGGGGUUCCGGGGGUCCACCGGGAGGGGCCACCCCUCUUGGUGGGCCACAUGGGCCGCGUGGGGCAGGGAACCAGCCCCUGGAGGGCUGGGCGCACCCCCCUUGGGCCCAUGCGCCUAGGGUUGGGGGGGGAACCCUAAGGGGGGCCCACCCCCUUUGCUUGGGGGGCAAGCCCCCUCCCUGGCCGCCGCCUCCCCCCUCUAGAUCUCAUCUAGAGGGGGCCGGCCCCCUUCCCCCUUCCCCUAUAAAUAGAGGGGCGAGGGGAGGGCUGAACACCUGAUCCAAGGCACAGCCCCUCCCCUCCCCAACACCUCUCCUCCUCCGUUGAGCGCCUGGCGAAACCUUGUCGGAGUACUGCCUCUCCACCAUCAUCACGCCGUCGUGCUGCUGCUGGAGCCUUCUUCCUCAACCUCUCCUUCCCCCUUGCUGGAUCAAGAAGGAGGAGACGUUGUCCGUACCGUACAUGUGUUGAACGCGGAGGUGCUGUCCGUUCAGCACUUGGUCAUCGGUGAUUUGAAUCACGGCGAGUACGACUCCAUCAUCACCGUUCCCUUGAACGCUUCCGCACGCGAUCUACAAGUGGUAUGUAGAUGCAAUCUCUCUCCCAUGACUCGUUGCUUAGAUGAACUCAUAGAUGGAUCUUGGUGAAACCGUAGGAAUUUUUUUAUUUUCUGCAACGUUCCCCAACAGAGGGCGCCCCCCAUAGGGCACGCCCCCUGUCUCGUGGGCCCCUCGGGCGUUCACUGACAUACUUCUGUUGGGAUCUACGGUAGGGUGCGUCGACUACAAAUUUAAAAAUUUCUACGCGCAGAACAACCAAGAACAUGCUAUGGGAGAUGGAUCAUAGUUCGUUACCACUAGACGCGCAGUGCCGUGCAACGGAAGAAGAGUUGGGGCAGCGCGUUCGCGUGGAUCGUCUCCUCCUCGUCCGAUCUCCCUCGAACAACCGGUCGUCCGAUCCCACGUACAAGUUCGCCAGAGCGGCACAAGUGCACUGCCUCUAACGUUAUCCGUGCAUGCAGGAGGAACACCGUGCGGCGGACUGCUAGGUCUGAUCACACAGUCGGCAACGAGUGGAGGUGGCUAUUUGCAACACAUGCAAACCCUAGUCGCAGCACCGAAGCGAUCAACCACAUGAGUGUUCCACACCCCCACUUUAUAUAGGCGUCCGUCGCAGGCUCAACACUUGGUCCUUGCAUGGACCCUAAAGCCCAAAGUCUACUCGGUCACGUUCCUAGUCCAGUUCGGAUCACAUCCGACCAGUGUCCUACGAACCGACCUCGUAGGUUCCUUCCCUUAAGUGCGCGACCCCUUAGGUUCAAGUCGGCUUGGUCACAGUUCGGAUCACCUCCGACCUGCACGGUUGGUAGCGGCCUCUAGCAAGGCGUGCCGACCACCAAGCAGACUAUGAAGCUGGUUAGGCGAACCUGUACAACAUGUCACACUUCUGUUCCCUUUGCCGCAUGAUAUAUGUUGUCAGGCUCAAGGCGAGAUUGUCAUCCUUGUGCUAUCCCGACCUCUUUCUCUUUCCAGUCAUACCGACCACAAACCGGAUUAUCUCAUAAUCCCUGUUGCAUGGCCAUGCUUAUCCUGGUCGGAUCACACGAGGGGCCCAGAGUAUAUCUCUCCUGAUCGGAGGGGCAAAUCCGAUCUUGCUCGACCAUGUCUCGCAGCAUGGGACUGGACAAACCCGAAACCUAUCUUUGUAACUACCCAGUCACGGAGUAGCGUUUGGUCGGCCCAAAGCAAGUCUGUCACCAUCCCGAAUACAUGUGUCAGCUCAGGUCUUAGGACAUAGAACGUAUGUUGUACUAGAGACUCACACAUGACAUAUCGAUGCAUCUCAUAGUUGGGUCUGUCCGACUCGGACCUUAUCUCGACUCGGAUCCGACUACGUCGAAUCCGACGAGGCCUUUCCAAGUCCAUAUUAUCCGGUUAGCAUCCAAUGCUCCAUGGCUAGUGAGACCAAGCCAUCGACCGUGUCAUAUGCUUGUCUAGUCGGCUACGCGUCCACACAACCCUUUCGACUAGGGACCUUUUAGGACAGUCAUCAUACAAUGCAUAGUCCCACAAACAAGUCACGUACUUGCUGAUACACAUCAUUGAUAAUGUCCAAGGACUAUCUUUAUUCAUAAACACAUAGGAAAUAUCAUCAUACAUGAUUGCCUCUAGGGCAUAUCUCCAACAGUCUCCCCCUUGCAUUAGAGUCAAUCAAAUAGACAUUGAAUGUCCAUAGAUCUAACGUGCCCCUCAUGCUUGGGUUGUGGAAGCGGCUUAGUCAACGGAUCUGCAACAUUUGCAUCCGUGUGAAUCUUGCAUAACUCUACAUCACCAUUCUUUACGAUAUUUCGUAUCAGGUGAUAUUUCCGAUCUAUAUGUCUGACCUUGUGGCGAUUCCUCGGCUCCUUGGCUUGUGCGAUGGCACCAGAAUUAUCACAAUAAAGGUCCAACGGUUUCACCGAGGCUGGGAAAAUACCAAGAUCAUCAAGAAAAUGCCGGAUCCAAACACCUUCCUUUGCAGCUUCACAAGCCGCAAUGUAUUCGGCUUCUGUGGUAGAAUCGGCCAUCGUAUCCUGCUUGGAACUCAUCCAGUGCACUGCUCCUCCAUUCAGUAUGUACACGAAUCUAGACUGUGAUCGGCAAUCAUCUCUGUCGGUUUGGAAACUAGCAUCGAUGUAACCCCUUACGACGAGCUCUUCCUCACCUCCAUAAACUAGGAACAUCUCUUUAGUCCUUUUCAGGUACUUCAAAAUAGUCUUCACCGCUGCCCAGUGACUCUCACCUGGGUUGGCCUGGUAUCUACUUGUUAGGCUUAUUGCAAAAGCAACAUCGGGCCUUCUACAUAUCAUGGCAUACAUGAUGGAUCCUAUUGCAGAGGCAUACGGAAUCCUACUCAUCCCGCUCCGCUCAUCAGAUGUCGAAGGACUUUGAGUCUCGCUUAGCCUUAUACCAUGUGAGAGUGGCAAGAACCCUUUCUUCGCCUCACUCAUGUUGAACCGCUUCAACACUUUAUCUAUGUACGUGCUCUGGCUUAAGCCGAGCAGCCUCCUCUAUCUAUCUCUAUAGAUCUUAAUGCCUAAAAUAUACACUGCCUCACCAAGGUCUUUCAUCGAAAACUUGCCAUUCAAUGAUCCCUUGACCGAGUUCAACAUUGAAACAUCAUUUCCGAACAGUAGUAUGUCGUCCACAUACAAUAUCAAAAACACUAUCGAGCUCCCACUUAACUUCUUGUAUAAACAAGCGUCCUAUUCGCUUUUGAUGAAACCGAGACCAGUGACGACCUCAUCAAAACGAAUGUUCCAAGUCCGAGAUGCUUGCUUCAACCCAUAAAUGGAUCUCUUGAGCUUGCAUACCUUACUAGUGCUAGUCGGAUCGACAAAACCCUCGGGCUGUAUCAUAUACACGUCCUCGGUUAAAUUUCCGUGAAGGAAAGCCGUUUUGACAUCCAUCUACCAUAUCUCGUAGUCGAAAUAAUAUGCAGCUAUAGCUAGUAUGAUCCUCACCGGUUUCAACAUCGCUACCGGUGAGUAAGUCUCGUCGUAGUCAAUUCCUUGAACUUGUCCAUAAUCUUUAGCGACAAGCCGAGCUUUGUGGAUCUGAACAUUUCCAUCCAUGUCCGUUUUCUUCUUAAAGACCCAUUUGCAUCCAAUGGCUGUUACGCCAGGCGGCGGAUCAACCAAGUCCCAGACUUGAUUCUCAUCCAUGGACUUUAACUCGGAUCUCAUGGCCUCCAGCCAUGCCUCAAAAUCUGUGCUCACCAUCGCUACUGCAUAUGUGUUCGGCUCAUUGCUUUCUAGCAACAAUACAUCACGCACUCUGCGCAAUAUUUCCGACCUCCGUGGUUCCGGUGCCGCUUCCACUGCGGGUUCCCUGACUGACUCCGGUAUGAUCUCAUCACCAGCCAAGCCAUCCCCGAGUGGUCCUCGAAUUUCUUCGAGUCGGACCAUCCUCCCACUGGCCUCCCGACUGAGAAACUAUUUCACAAGGAAAACCAUGUUCCGAGCAACAAACACUUUGUUCUCUUCCCGGUUUUAGAAGCUAUAUCCCAAGGUUUCCCUCAGAUAUCCCACAAAUAUGCAUUUAUCCGAUUUAGGUGUAAGCUUGUCUGACGUAAGUCGCUUGACAAAUGCUUCACAACCCCAAAUCUUUAGAAAAGACAAACUGGGACUCUUCCCGGUCCACAUCUCAUGUGGUGUCUUGUCUACGGAUUUUGAUGGUACCCUGUUAAGUGUGAAAGCUGCAGUUUCUAGAGCGUAUCCCCAGAAUGACAAUGGUAAAUCCGAUUUGCUCAUCAUAGACCGGACCAUAUCCAACAAGGUCCUAUUCUCCGCUCCGACACACCGUUUCUCUGUGGCGUACCCGGAGGUGUGAGCUGAGGUAGUAUACCUCGACUUUUCAGAUGAUCAUCAAACUCCUGGCUCAUGUAGUCACCUCCACGAUCAGAUCGUAGAAGCUUUAUAGUCUUGCCGAGCUGAUUCUCAACCUCGUUCUGAAACUCUUUGAACUUUUCAAAAGUUUCCGACUUGUGCCUCAUCAAAUAGAUAUAUCCAUAUCUACUCAAGUCGUCGGUGAAUGUCACGAAGUACUGAUAGCCACCUCUGGCAAUUGUGCUCAUUGGACCACAUACAUCACUAUAUAUAAGUUCCAACAGCUCGGACGCCCUCUCGCAACUCUUUGCAAAAGGAGACUUAGUCAUCUUGCCGAGCAAGCAUGAUUCACAUGUCUCGAACGACCCAAAGUCGGACGAAGUUAGGAGCCCAUCAUCAUGGAGCUUCUUCAUGCGUUUCAGACUAAUGUGUCCAAGCCGGCAAUGCCAGAAGUAUGUCGGAUUUAUCUCAUUAGGCUUAUGCCUCUUGACAUUCACGUUAUAGACCGGUUCUUGUUCUAGAUUCAAUAUAAAUAGCCCGUCAACAAUGGGUGCAUAGCCGUGGAACAUACCAUUCAAAAAUAUCGAACAACCAUUGUACUUUAAAUUGAAUUCAUAACCUUGACUCAUCAAACUUGAGAUAGAAAUAAUGUUCCGACUAAGUGCAGGAAUGUAUUAACAAUUAUUCAAUUCCAUAAUGAAUCCGGAAGGAAGCUGGAGCUGCAUCGUGCCGAUAUCCAAUGCAACAACUCUUGCUUUGUUGCCGACCCUGAUGUCAAUCUCCCCUUGUGCCACACGCCUAGUUCUUACCAGCACCUGCAUCGAGUUGCAAAUAUGAACAACCGAUCUGGUAUCAAAUACCCAAGAGCUACUAGGUAUGUCAGCAAGGUAAAUGUAUAUAACAUAUGCAACAAGUGUACCUUUGCCUGAAGAAGCAUUUCCGGCCUUCUUGCCAUGCUCUGCAAGCCACUUGCUACAGUUCCUCUUCUAGUGACCGAUCUCCUUGCAGGGAAAGCAAACGGUCUUCGAGUCUGGUCCAGACUUUGGCGUAGCGGGGGAGGUUACCGUCUCCGUGCCCUUUGCCUUAGCCUUUUUCUUGGACCAACUCUUCUUAAACUUAGCCGAUUUCUACACCAUCAACACUUGAUGCGUGCCUUUCUUAAUAUCCUGCUCUGCCACUUUGAGCAUCCCAUGCAAUUCAGUGAGCUUCUUAUCCAUGCCAUGCAUAUGAUAGUUCGAAAUGAGCGUCCCAUAGCUGGGCGGAAGAGAACCCAGAACAGCAUCGGUAGCCAGCUCAUCCAAGAGCGGGAAGCCCAAACGAUCCAAAGCUUCCACAUAUCCGAUCAUCUUGAUCACAUGUGGGCUCAGUGGAUCACCUUCCUUCAGCUUGCAAUCCAUCAAGGAUCUCCAGACGUUGAACCUUUCGGUCCUAGCCUGUGUCUGAAACAUGCUCUUGAGACUCUCGAUCAUAUCGUAAGCCUCAACAUUUUCGAAAUGUUGUUGCAAAUCAGGCUCCAUACAAGCCAGCAUCAGACAGCUGAUCUCCGUUGAUUCAUCAAUGAGUUUCUGGUAGGCAUUAUUAGUUGUGGCAUUAGCAUUAUCGGCAGGUUCCUCUGGAAGUGGAUCCUCUCGAACAUGUUCCUUUUUAUCGUGCUUGAGAACAAUUCUCAGAUUUCUAUACCAGCUGGUAAAGUUUGUUCCAUUCAGUUUAUCCUUUUCCAGAAUGGAUUUCAAUGCAAAGUUGGGUUGAGCAGGUGGUGCCAUUGAUCUACAACAGAAAAUAUGCAAUCACUAAGCAAUGUGUUUAUGUAGAGUAAUUCGCCUAAACAGAAAUACUCCCACUGAAGUCAUCAUCCCUCCGCAAACUCUCAGUGAUUCAGGAUCCGACUAGCGCAUGCGACUAGUGAGCUUUAGCAUCACUGCUAGCCAACAUACCUAUCCGGUAAGCAACUCCUUGCUAAUCGUAUCUCUAUACGACUCCUGUCGGUCGGGAAGGUAUCUCAUACCCCGGCUCCCAACCUUCUUUUCCACAAGGCCCAAAACCGUUUUGAUAGCCUUGUCAAGUUAACCUGAUGCAGUGCAUGUCCGUGUCCGACACAAGCCCUUCAGUUCAAGGACACCCAGCAGCUGCUCAAUUUUAUGAGCCCACUACUAGACGUACUUGACGUGCAAAGGUGCAACAUCGGGGAUGGCAAUUCACUUGAUAUUCAUGAGGGAUCAUUCUACCAUUCUAACAUGCAUAGAAUCAAAGAAGCAUAACAAUCACAUAUAAACAUAUAUUGUGAAAUAGUAUGGCUCCUUCAUGGACGUUCUUCCAGGUCGGCUCCGACUCCGAUGACCAUCUACGAACUCCAUCUUGUUUGUCACACCGGGACGCCAAGCCACCAUCCUGAUCUCUAUUAUCCAACUACUACAACUAGUAAUGAAUUUUACAUAGAGUCACAAGUCGACACGCAGUUCGUUAUACAAUAUAAUGACAGCACUUUGGCUCCUGCCGGCUGACAAACAUGACACGCAGACCAUGUAUAAAUUACACACAUGCAUCACAUACACAUGAGCCAUACUAUUCACAUCAAACCUGCAAAAGAAAGUUAUGCAUAGAAUCACAUUCUACCGGUUUGUGUGUCGGGUACGAAAUACACGGUGCUACGCACACGGCAGUCCCCGAUGGCGCUACGCUACGAAAUACAUCGCGAGCCUGAUUCAGGUUUACGUUUCAUUGUUAACCCCGAUGGCGGAUGACCGACCGGUAGGGGUUGAUCAUGUCACGACCUCAUCGAUCCCGAUUGACAGAAAACAUAGCCUCGACGAUCCCCAUGUGCAGUUGAUCACAUCAAUAGUGCACAUAGCCGAUCUUAUCAACGACAACAUAUCUCAUCUGCCGCCUCCACAUAUCUAAUAUGCAUACGAUCUGAAUCCAAAUCCUAUAGCAGAGGCUCUGAUACCACUGUUGGUAUCUAUGGUAGGGUGCCUCGACUGCAAAUUUAAAAAUUCCUACGCGUAGAACAACCAAGAACAUGCUAUGGGAGAUGGAUCACAGUUCGUUACCACUAGACGCACAGUGCCGUGCAGCGGAACAAGAGUUGGGGCAGCACGUUCACGUGGAUCGUCUCCUCCUUGUCCGAUCUCCCUCGAAUAGCCGGCCGUCUGAUCCCACGUACAACUUCGCCGGAGCGGCGCAAGUGCACCGCCUCUAACGGUAUCCACGCGUGCAAGAGCAACACCGUGCGACAGACUGCUAGGUCCGAUCACAUAGUCGGCAACGAGUGGAGGUGUCUAUUCGCAACACAUUCAAACCCUAGUCGCAGCGCCGAAGCGACCAAUCACAUGAGUGUGCCACACCCCCACUUUAUAUAGGCGUCCGUCGCAGGCUCAACACUUGGGCCUUGCACGGACCCUAAAGCCCAAAGUCUACUCGGUCACGUUCCUAGUCCAGUUCGGAUCACAUCUGAGCAGUGUCCUACGAACCGACCUCGUAGGUUCCUUCCCUUAAGCGCGCGACCCCUUAGGUUCAAGUCGGCUUGGUCACAGUUCGGAUCACCUCCGACUUGCACGGUUGGUAGUGGCCUCUAGCAAGGCGUGCCGACCACCAAGCAGACUAUGAAGCUGGUUAGGCGAACCUGUACAAUGUGUCACACUUCUGUUCCCUUUGUCGGGCUCAAGGCGAGAUUGUCAUCCUUGUGCUAGCCCGAUAUCUUUAUCGUUCCAGUGAUACCGACCACAAACCAGAUUAUCUCAUAAUCCCUGUCGCAUGGCCAUGCUUAUCCUGGUCGGAUCACACGAGGGGCCCAGAUUAUGUCUCUCCUGAUCGGAGGGGCAAAUCCCAUCUUGCUCGACCAUGUCUCCCAGCAUGGGACUGGACAAACCCGAAGCCUACCUUUGUAACUACCCAGUCACGGAGUAGCAUUUGGUCGGUCCAAAGCAAGUCUGUCACCAUCCCGAAUACAUGCGUCAACUCAGGUCUUAGGACAUAGAACGUAUGUUGUACUAGAGACUCACAGAUGACAUAUCGCUGCAUCUCAUAGUUGGGUCUGUCCGACUCAGACCUUAUCUCGACUCGGAUCCGACUACGUCGAAUCCGACGAGACCUUUCCAAGUCCAUAUUAUCCGGUUAGUAUCCAAUGCUCCAUGGCUAGUGAGACCAAGCCAUCGACCGUGUCAUAUGCUUGUCUAGUCGGCUGCGUGUCCACACAACCCUUUUGACUAGGGACCUUUUAGGACAGUCAUCAUACAAUGCAUAGUCCCACAAACAAGUCACGUACUUGUUGAUACACAUCAUUGAUAAUGUCCAAGGACUAUCUUUAUUCAUAAACACAUAGGAAAUAUCAUGAUACAUGAUUGCCUCUAGGGCAUAUCUCCAACAACUUCUUCCACCCAUAUAUACCCAUGUACCCCGAAAACAUCCAGGGAGCCACCGAAAAACUAUUUCCACCACCGUAACUUUCUGUAUCCAUGAGAUCCCAUCUUGGAGCCUUUGCCGGCACUCCGUCGGAGGGGGAAUCGACCACGGAGGGCUUCUACAUCAACAACAUAGCCUCUCCGAUGAGUUGUGAGUAGUUUACCACAGACCUUCGGGACCAUAGUUAUUAGCUAGAUGGCUUCUUCUCUCUUUUUGGAUCUCAAUACCAUGUUCUCCUUCCUCUUCUUGGAGAUCUAUUCGAUGUAACUCUUUUUGCGGUGUGUUUGUCGAGAUCCGAUGAAUUGUGGGUUUAUGAUCAAGUUUAUCUAUGAGAAAUAUUUGAAUCUAUUCUGAAUUCUUUUAUGUAUGAUUAAGUUAUCUUUGCAAGUCUCUUCGAAUUAUCGGUUUGGUUUGGCCUACUAGAUCGAUUUUUCUUGCCAUGGGAGAAGUGCUUAGCUUUGGGUUCAAUCUUGCGGUAUCCUUUUCCAGUGAUAGCAGGGGCAGCAAGGCACGUAUUGUAUUGUUGCCAUCAAGGAUAAAAAGAUGGGGUUUAUAUCAUAUUGCAUGAGUUUAUCCCUAUACAUCAUGUCAUCUUUCUUAAAGCGUUACUCUGUUCUUAUGAACUUAAUACUCUAGAUGCAUGCUGGAUAGCGGUCGAUGUGUGGAGUAAUAGUAGUAGAUGCAGGCAGGAGUCGGUCUACUUGUCACGGACGUGAUGCCUAUAUACAUGAUCAUGCCUAGAUAAUCUCAUAAUUAUUCGCUUUUCUAUCAAUUGCUCGACAGUAAUUUGUUCACCCACCGUAAUACUUAUGCUAUCUUGAGAGAAGCCUCUAGUGAAACCUAUGGCCCCCAGGUCUAUCUCUUAUCAUAUAAGCUUUCAAUCUACUUUUAUUUGCAUCUUUACUUUUCCAAUAUAUAUCAUAAAAUACCAAAAAUAUAUUUAUCUUAUCAUAAUAUCUCUAUCAGAUCUCACUUUCACAAGUGGCCGUGAAGGGAUUGACAACCCCUUUAUUGCAUUGGUUGCGAGUUCUUUAUUUGUUUGUGUAGGUGCGUGGGACUUGUGAGGAGCCUCCUACUGGAUUGAUACCUUGGAUCUCAAAAACUGAGGGAAAUACUUAUGCUACCAUGCUGCAUCACCCUUUCCUCUUCAAGGAAAACCAACGCAAGCUCAAGACGUAGCAAGAAGGAUUUCUGGCGCCGUUGCCGGGGAGGUCUUCGCUCAAGUCAAGACAUACCAAGUACCCAUCACAAACUCAUCUCCCUCGCAUUUACAUUAUUUGCCAUUUGCCUCUCGUUUUCCUCUCCCCACUUCACCCUUGCCGUUUUAUUUGCCCUCUCUUUCCCAAUCUCAAUCUUGUUCAUCUUCUCGCUCUCUUUCGCUUGCCUUUUUCUAUUUGCCUGUGUGUUGGAUUACUUGUUGCCAUGGCACAAGAUAAUACCAAAUUGUGUCAUUUCUCCAAUACCAAUAAUAAUGAUUUCCUUAGUACUCCGAUUGCUCCUCUUAAUUAUGUUGAGUCUUGUGAAAUCAAUGCUGCUUUGUUGAAUCUUGUUAUGAAAGAUCAGUUCUCCGGCCUUCCCAGUGAAGAUGCCUCUACCCAUCUAAACAACUUUGUUGAUUUGUGUGAGAUGCAAAAGUAAAAAGAUACAGAUAAUGAUAUUGUUAAAUUGAAGCUAUUUCUGUUUUCACUUAGAGCUCAUGCUAAAGUUUGGUUUUCGUCUUUGCCUAAAAAUAGUAUUGAUUCUUGGAACAAGUGCAAAAAUGCUUUUAUCUCUAAGUAUUUUCCUCCCACUAAGAUCAUCACUCUUAGGAACGAUAUUAUGAAUUUUAAACAACUUGAUCAUGAGCAUGUUGCCCAAUCUUGGGAAAGAAUGAAAUUGAUGAUUCGCAAUUGCCCUACACAUGGUUUGAAUUUAUGGAUGAUCACACAAAAUUUUUAUGCCGGAUUGAAUUUUGCUUCUAGAAAUCUUUUAGAUUCGGCCGUGGGAGACACGUUUAUGGAAAUCACCUUAGGAGAAGCUACAAAACUCCUUGAUAAUAUCAUGGCUAAUUAUUCUCAAUGGCACACCGAACGAUCUACUAGUAAAAAAGUGAAUGCUAUAGAAGAAAUUAAUGUUUUGAGUGGAAAGAUGGAUGAGCUUAUGAAAUUGUUUACUACUAAGAUUGCUCCUAUUGAUCCCAAUGAUAUGCCUUUGUCUACUUUGAUUGAGAAUAAUAAUGAAUCUAUGGAUGUGAAUUUUGUUGGUAGGGAUAAUUUUGGUAACAAUGCUUAUAGAGGAAACUUUAAUUCUAGACCGUUCCCUAGUAAUUCCUCUAAUAAUUAUGGCAAUUCCUAGAAUAAUACUUAUGAUAAUUUUAAUUAGAUGCCCUCUGAUUUUGAAAAUAGUGUGAAAUAAUUUAUGAUCUCUCAAAAGAAUUUUAAUGUCCUGCUUGAAGAAAAAUUGCUUAAAGUUGAUGAUUUGGCUAGGAACAUUGAUAGACUUUCUCUUGAAGUUGAAUCUUUGAAGCUUAGAUCUACUCCUCCUAAGCAUGAUAUCAAUGAGUCUAUCAAAGCUAUGAGAAGUUCCAUUGACGAGUGCAAAGAAAGAACCGCUAGAUUGCAUUCUAAGAAAGAGUGCUUUGUUAAAGCGUGUUCUUCUAGUUUCCAUGAAAAUAAUGAUGAAGAUCUUAGAGUUAUUGAUGUGUCCCCUAUUAUAUCUUUGUUUUGCAAUAUGAAUCUUAAUAAUGAUGGGACUGGAGAUGAGUCAACUUUAGUAAAAAGGCGUCCCAAUAAUUUGGAGUUUUUAGAUCUUGAUGCAAAAUUUGGUAAAAGCGGGAUUGGAGAGGUCAAAACUUUAAAUAGCAUUGAACCCACUAUCUUGGGUUUCAAGGAAUUUAAUUAUGAUAAUUAUUCUAUAGAAAGUUGUAUUUCCUUGUUGCAAUCUGUUGUGAAUUCUCCUCAUGCUUAUAGUCAAAAUAAAGCCUUUACCCAACAUAUUGUUGAUGCCUUGAUGCAAUCUUCUGAUGAAAAACUUAAUUUGGAAGUUUCUAUACUUCGAAAACUUAAUGAUGAGUGGGAACCUACCAUAAAGAUUAAAAUUAAAGAUUAUGAGUGCUUUGCUUUAUGUGAUUUGGGUGCUCGUGUUUCCACGAUUCCGAAAACUUUAUGUGAUGUUCUAGGUUUCCAUGAUCUUGAUGAUUGCUCUUUAAAUAUGCUCCUUGCGGAUCCACCAUUAGAAAGCCAAUGGGAAGGAUCAAUGAUGUUCUCAUUGUUGCAAAUAUAAAUUUGGUGCCCGUAGAUUUUAUCGUUCUUGAUAUAGAUUGCAAUCUUUUUUGUCCUAUUAUUCUUGGUAGACCUUUCCUUAGAACGAUUUGCGCGAUUAUCAUAUGAAGGAAGGAAAUAUUAGAUUCCAAUUUUCAUUAAGGAAACACAUGGAACACUUUCCAAGAAAUAAAAUCAAAUUACCUUAUGAAUCUAUCAUGCGAGCUACUUAUGAAUCAAGUGCCAAAGAUGACACUAGCUAGAUCUAUCCUCGCUUUUAUGCCUAGCUUGGGGCGUUAAACAAUAGCGCUAGUUGGGAGGCAACCUAAUUUUAUUUGUGUUAUUUGUUUCUGUUCCUGUUUAGUAAUAAAUUUUGCAUCUACUUUAUGUUUAGAUGUGUUUUAUUGUUUUAUUUAGUGUUUGUGCCAAGUAGAACCUACAGGAUAACCUAUGGUAAUAGUUAAUUUGAUUCUGCUGAAAAACAGAAACUUUGCGCUCACAAGAAAAAAUUCAAUAAAUCAGAGAAAUGUGCUUUUGCGUUGAUUAUUUUUGCUGUAGAUCAAUAGACAAAGUUAUUAGGACAUCCUAUUUUGGUAGGAUUUUUGGAGUUACAGAAGUGACCAAAAGUUACAUAUUUCUUCAGACUGUUCUGUUUUUGACAGAUUCUGCCUUUCGUGUGGUGUUUGCUUAUUUUGAUGCAUCUAUGGCUAGUAUGUAAGGGUAUGAACCAUAGAGAACUUGGAAUACAGUAGGUUUAACACCAAUAAAAAUAAAGAAUGAGUUCAUUACAUUACCUUAUGUGGUGGUUUUUCUUUCUUUCACUAACGGAGCUUAUGAGACUUCCUGUUGAGUUUUGUGUUGUCAAGUUUUCAAGUUUUGGGUAAAGAUUUGAUGGACUAUGGAAUAAGGAGUGGCAAGAGCCUAAUAUUGGGGAUUCCCAAGGCACCCCAAGAUAUUCAAGAAUAGCCAAAAUCCUAAGCUUGGGGAUGCCCCCGUAAGGCAUCCCCUCUUUCGUCUUCGUUCAUUGGUAACUUUACUUGGAGUUAUAUUUUUAUUCGCCACAUGAUAUGUGUUUUCCUUGGAGCGUCAUGUAUUAUAUUAGUCUUUUCUUUUUAGUUUACCACAAUCAUCCUUGAUGUACAAACCUUUUGGGAGAAGCCCACUUGAUUGGAAUUUAUUAGAAUACUCUAUGUGCUUCACUUAUAUCUUUUGAGCUAGAUAACUUUUGCUCUAGUGCUUCAUUUAUAUCUUUUAGAGCAUGGCGGUGGCUUAAUUUUGAAGAAAUUGCUGAUCCCUCAUGCUUCACUUAUAUUAUUUUGAGAGUCUCUUAGAACAGCAUGGUAUUUGCUAUGGUUAUAAAUUUGGUCCUAGAAUGAUGAGCAUCCAAGUUAGGUAUAAUAAAAACUAUCAUAGAAAGUGCAUUAAAAUCUAUGAUCAAUUUGAUGCUUGAUAAUUGUUUUGAGAUAUGAAGGUGGUAAUAUCAGAGUCAUGCUAAUUGGGUAAUCACGAAAUUGAGAAAUACUUGUGUUGAAGUUGGCAAGUCCCGUAGCAUGCACAUAUGGUAAAAGUUAUGUGACAAAUUUGUUGUAUGGGAUGCUCUUUUAAUUGCUUUCCUUAUGAGUGGAGGUCGGGAUCGCGCGAUGGUUAAAUCCUACCAACCCUUCCCCUAGGAGCAUGUGUAGUAGUACUUUGCUUCGAGGGCAAGUAGACUUUUGCAAUAAGUAUAUGAGUUCUUUAUGACUAAUGUGAGUCCGUGGACAUACGCACACUUACCCUUCCACUUUGCUAGCUUCUAUUAUGCCGCGCAACUUUCGCCGGUAUUAUGAACCCAUUAUUUACCUUCCUCAAAACCUCCACCAUACCUAACUAUUAUGGCAUUUCCAUAGCCAUUCCGAGAUAUAUUGCCAUGCAACUUUCCACCAUUCCGUUUAUUAUGACACGCUCCAUCAUUGUCAUAUUGCUCUUUGCAUGAUCAUGUAGUUGACAUCGUAUUUGUGGCAAGGCCACCUUCAUAAUUUUUCAUACAUGUCACUCUUGACUCAUUGCAUAUCCCGGUUCACCACCGGAGGCAUUCACAUAGAGUCAUAUUUUGUUCUAAGUAUUGAGUUGUAAUUCUUGAGUUGUAAAUCAAUAAAAGUGUGAUGAUCUUCAUUAUUAGAGCAUUGUCCCAAGUGAGGAAAGGAUGAUGAAGACUAUGAUUCCCCCACAAGUCAGGAUGAGACUUCGGACUUUAUAAAAAUAAAAGAGGCCAAAGAAGCCCAUAAAAAAGAGAGGCCAAAGAAGCCCACCAAAAAUAAAAAGAAAAAAAGAAAAAAAGGGGAAAAGAAAAAAAAGAGAAAAAUAAAAAAAUGAUGAGAGAAAAAGAGAGAAGGGACAGUGCUACUAUAUCGUUUUCCACACUUGUGCUUCAAAGUAGCACCAUGGUCUUCAUGAUAGAAAGUCUCUUAUGUUGUCACUUUCAUAUAAUACUGGGAAGUUUUCAUUAUAGAACUUGUCUUGUAUAUUCCAAUGAUGGGCUGCCUCAAAACGCACAAGGUCUUCGUGAGCAAGCAAGUUGGAUGCACACCCACUUACAUUCUUUUGUUGAGCUUUCAUAUAUUUAUAGAUCUAGUGCAUCCGUUGCAUGGUAAUCCCUACUCACUCACAUUGAUAUGUAUUAAUGGGCAUCUCCAUAGCCCAUUGAUACGCCUAGUUGAUGUGAGACUAUUGUCAGUGUCAAAAUCAGAGGAUCUCGGGUAGGGGGUCCCAAACUGUGCGUCUAAGGCUAAUGGUAACAGGAGGCUGGGGACACGAUGUUUACCCAUGUUCGGGCCCUCUCGAUGGAGGUAAUACCCUACUUCCUGCUUGAUUGAUCUUGAUGAUAUGAGUAUUACAAGAGUUGAUCUACCACGAGAUCGUAGAGGCUAAACCCUAGAAGCUAGCCUAUGAUUAUGAUUGUUGUUCUUGUCCCACGGACUAAACCCUCCGGUUUAUAUAGACACCAGAGGGGGCUAGGGUUACACAGAGUCGGUUACAGAGAAGGAGACCUAACAUCCGAAUCACCGAGCUCGCCUUCCAUGCAAAGGGAGUCCCAUCCGGACACGGUACGAAGUCUUCAAUCUUGUAUCUUCAUAGUACAAAAGUCUGGCCAAAGUAUAUAGUCCGGCUGUCCGGAUACCCCCUAAUCUAGGAUUCUCUCAGUAGCCCCUGAACCAGGCUUCAAUGAUGAUGAGUCUGGCGCGUAGUUUGGCUUCGGCAUUGCAAGGCGGGUUCCAUCUCUGAAUACUCCAAGGCAAAUUUCGAACACAAGGAUUGUGUCCGGCUCUGCAAAAUAAAUUCCACAUACCACCAUAGAGAGAACAAUAUUCCACGAAUCUAAUCUGCUGACAACUUUAAACGGCAUGACAUCACACCACGGCUUGGUCAUUAUUCGAACCGUUUCCUUCUCAACCAGCCACCGCACAUAUUGCGAGGCAGUCUCCUUGGCACGUCCUGUCGAGGCAGAGAUUGUGUCCCCUUAUCACGGGACUCUCAUCAAUACGGGUGUGGGUAACCCAACCGCACCGCCAAUCACGGCGAGUGGGGAACAAGCAGGUUCUACCAGGAAAGCGGGGAGGCGCAAAGUUUUAUUGCCUUUAUAAAAAGAUAGGGCCCCUCCUUCUUUACCCACGGCUUCUCCUUCUGCUUGUCUAUUCCCUUUCGCUCGAGCCCUUAGCGCCCAAGAGUUUGUCUUCUCCACAAAAAGAGGUUCUCCAAAAAUGUCCAGAUCCGAAGCAGGAGGCAAAUGGAUGGCCUCCACCGUCCAAGAGAAGGAUAUCAAAAAGAUUCGGGAGGUCGGGUACCUGGCCAAGAAAGUUGGCCACCGUCUUCCGACGGUGAGACAUAUCGUCCCUACUCCAGAGUCCCACGAGAGGGUUGUGUUCCUCCCUCAUUUUGUCCGCGGGCUCGGGUUUCCCUUUCACCCAUUUGUUCGCGGCAUCAUGUAUUAUUACAGGAUCCCCUAACUCUUUCCUGAACAUCUCGACAUUUAUUGUCGUGUGUGAGGCCUUUCUCCGUAUUUUGCCACACUUCGGCUUAUGGCUAAAGAUCUUCAACGUGAAGCCCAAGGUGGUGAACGGCGAGCACACCGAGUGCGGAGGCGCCAUGGUGAGCAAGAUGCCCAAGGUCACAUGGCCGACAGGCACCUUCAAUGAUUCUGUCAAGGAGUGGCAGCAGUAGUGGUUCUACAUCACUGAGCUGCGCAGCAAAAAGUGGGCCGCUGCUCCUGAAUUCAGAUACGGAGCCCCCCUGCGGCUCACGUCCUGGCCCAAGAAGGGUCUGAACUGGUACUCGUCUAAUGAACUGUCGGUGCUCCACAUGCACAUCAAGGGUAUGGUUGACAAGAACAUCAAGCUCGUCAAUGUAGUCAAGGUGAUGUUAGUUCGCCUGGUUCUUCCUUGCCAACACCGGACCUGUAAUUUCUGGGAGUACGACCCGGCCGAGCACCAGACCCCGCGGGAGCUCUACGGCUCCUUGCACGAGGAUAUCUAGAAGGUGCUCUUCAAGUCUGGCAAACCGUGGCCGGACUCCGCCGAGGACCGUGGGUAUCAACUGUCCCGCCCCGCAAGUCCGGUAAGUCAUUGCUAUGUUUUGUCCAUCCAUGUUUAGUUGGCAUAUCCCGAGGAAGACGCUUUAUCAUGCUUUCCACAAUUAUCCCAUGGAUGGACGAAGAAGGCGGGGCAGAUACAUUGUCCGGCCCUGCUGCAAGAAGAACCGGCAGGACCACUUUUGAUGAAGAUGCUGGUCCCGACGCCUUACAAGGCGCCAAAGAAAGAGGCCUUCAAGGAGGCCAAGGAGAUCAGGAGCGGCCUCCGUCGCCGCGGUGCUUCGGACACAAAAUCUGAAGACUCCAACGCCCAUCCUUCCUCCGAAGAUGACGAGGAGGAGGAAGAAGACGAGUCCCCCAUGGGGGGAGGAAAAAAAAGGACGGCCUCCUCAUCCUUGGAGGCCGAAUUGCCUAAGAGGGGAAAGACCCCCCUUCCAGAGGCAUCCACCACGGCUACCGAUAGCAGCCUGGAGUGGGAUCCUAGGGCCCAGCCCCUGGUAAACUCGUGAGUACACGAAAUCCAAACACGCCUAUGCGUCCAGGAUCAUUAAGGCAUAAUAUUUUAAUUUGCGCCACACUUUUUGCAGCCCGGCGAGGUCUCGCACCGAACAGUAGUCGUCGGAGGACUCGUUGAGCUCAGAUGUCCUAGAGAGCGAGACACCUCCGAAGGCCCCUUCCCCGAAGCCUGGGCAUGACACCGAGGUGUCGUCCCAGAAGGACCCGGCCCAGGGAGGGCAGCCUUCAGGGGAUGGAUACACGGGAGCGACGACUCCCAUGAGCGUUGACUGCGGGGGCGAUAUUGAAUUCGGCCCACAGCCGGACAUAGUCCCGGAAACCUUUACGGUUCUAGGAUCAGGAAGUCAGCCCCCCUUUACUAGAGGGGGCGAGCCUGUUCCACCAACAACCUCUGCCCAACCAUAGGUGCAGGGUAGCUUAUCGACUGCGCUAAAGAGUGCUUCCAUCGUCGAUGAACAUCGCGCCCUUAUGGGUGUGGUGAUUGAGAAGAUUUGGUCCGCUGAGAGUGGACUGAAUGAAUCCUGCAUCAGCCUUAUAAAAGGCUUUGAGGUAUGUUUUAUGAGCUUUUGAAGAUUGUCAUAGUAUGGAUAGUAGCCCCUAAUACGCUGUCCGGUGAAAGAAAGAACCGGGCAGAGGAUCAAAUUUAUGUUUUAUGAGCUUUUGAAGAUUGUCAUAGUAUGGAUAGUAGCCCCUGAUAUGCUGUCCGGUGAAAGAAAGAACCAGGCAGAGGAUCAAAUUUCCAUUCUAGGGAGACACACUUAAUGACAUAUAUCUUUUUCUUUAUAAACAGGCGUCAGUAGAGACUGCCACCUCUCAUACUGCGGAAGUAUCCGGACUGAAGCCGAGUCUGGAGCGAGUCGAAGAAGAACUUCGCCGAGUGAAGAAGCAGUUGGACGACAAUCAAGGUAUGCCGAAACCUUGUUAAUUGUAGCACAAAUGAGUAGGUGUGCCUGAUGAAAGUAUUUGUAUCGUGCGCUCUAGGGGCGAAUGCCGAAAUUGAGGCGCUUCAGAAGGCUAUGGCCGAAGCCGAAAAGAAGGCAGCCACGGAGCAGGCCCUUCGCGAGAAGCACAAGGCCAGGGUCCUUGAAGCCGAACAAGAGCUCCAGGAGGCCGUGAAGAAAAGCGAGACUUUGGAGCAGAGUUUAUCAGGGAAAGAAUCCGAACUCGCCCAAGCUCUACAAGCCGCAAAUGAAGCUCGGGAGGAAGCCCAAUGUGCUCUGAAGGACAUUACGGAGGUGAGUAAGAUUGCGGCUGGUAAGGCUUUUUCUUAUUCAAGGCAUUUAUUAUGUAGUGACAUGAGAAAUUCAAGGUGGCAAACUGAAUUCCUAUUUCUCUAGGGGCAUUUGCGAAGCUGCCAUGCAGCAUAUCUGACGCUGCUCAAUUCUAUCGAGAUGAGGAGAAGAAGACUGCGGAAAAGCUCUUCUGGUCGUAGUAUUUGGCGCCGAAUUAUCCAGUGCCAUUUGUCGAUCAGCUGAAGCAGCUGAUCGAACUGCACAAGGUGGCCAUACUAGCCAUGAAUGACUUAGUUGUCCGGCUAUGGCCCGCCGAGCUAAUUCCAAGCAGCUACUUCGGGCUCGUGAAGCGGAUUGUGAGUGCUUGCCCUCGGCUCGGUCUGUAUAGAAGGUGCACGAAUGGCAUUUGCCUGCGCGAAGGUGCACUAGGGGAAGCUUGACGCUGAAAUGCUGAUGACAGAGGGACCACCGGAGGGGAAGGAGCACCACAAGCCCGAAUUGUAUUAUGAUAGUGUCCUGAAAGGAGCCCGCCUUGUGGCGGAGCAAUGUACCAAAGGCAUUGCAUUUCAAUGAAGACAGUCAUGUUGUCCUUUGUAAGGCGGAACAAAGUCACUUUUAUUAUGUGUUGCCUGUUAUGUGAAAGUUUUUCCUCCUGUGCGGCUGUUAUAUAUAUAUAUUAAUCCUGAGAGUUGGCCAGUCGUCGGCUUCUGCCCCCACGUAGAAAGUACGGGGGUGUUUGGGAUAAACCUGAACACUCUUGAUCCCAUUUUUGGGUCCUUGAAGGAGGUGUUCAACAAAACGAACCACGCAAUCAGACUAUAGGGCUUUAUCACUCUCACUUAGCCAUAGGAGUUUAAGUAAGGUAGGCGCAACCCCUGGUGUUCGGAAGACCGCAUGAGGGGCUCUAUCAGCACCUGAUCGGAAGACCGAUCCGUCGCACACUGCAUUGGUUAUGACAUUAUGCGGAAUAAAUCCUUAAAGAUUUUACAACCUCUCGAACAGCUGACCAGCUCUCGCCCUAUCAUGACAGUCAGUUUUCAGCUUUCUCUACUGAGGUGCUCGUCCGGAAGAACAGAGACACAAUCGCAGUAGUUCUCCCAGUGCUACCUUAGCCGAUAUAGCGAAACAUAAGGUACUAAAACAUGGGAGCCGGGCAAACCCAACUAUUGACCCAAGACAUGAUUCAGAGCUGAUGCAUAUAAUGCUAUAAGUUCGGGGUGCCGGGCGACCGAGAAGGUGGUCGGACUUUGUUGCCAUAGUGUGGGUAUAAUGAAGCCCCUGGCGUAUUAAGGCAUGACAUGACGUACGGAUGCCGUUAUGACGAAAGGUGUCAAUGAGAAAUGAUAGCAGAUAAGCGUCAUAUAACUCUACAUGUUGUAUUCGAGUAAUACAUCUAUGCGUAUGAGUACGGUUGAUGUUUAUAAAUAAAAGGAGGUAUGACAGCGUAACCUGCUUAGACCGGGCGGAAGGGAGCUGUGUGCGAAUCUGAAUUAUAUCCGGAUUAUCUUCGGGAGGAAUGUCGAAAUAUUCCCCCUUUGCGCGUCCGAGCUAAUCCCAUGUUGCCAGUCCUGUUCUGCGCAAAAGCGAACCUGCAAAGAAAAUGCUAGGGACAUUUGUGUGCCACGGAGCGGUUGAACCGCGGGCUGUGGCCCUUCCCAACUUAUGCUAGAGUGUUUGAUUGAGCCCUGGUUGGGUCGAGCUAUCGUGCCGUGAAGUAGUUCAGAUUCCUUUGUCGAAGUCCGGGAGUUUGGCUGUCGAAUCAGGGUACGAUUAAAAGGCACAACUCGCUGCUUCUGUCGUUAAAGUGGUGGUAUACUCUUCGGCGCCGAGGUCGAGUUCGGCCUUGCCCAUAAUUGCGAUCACGUCACGUGGGCCUUGUAUUGUAAGCUUGCCAUAGGCGUAGUGUGAUACCGCAUUGAACGCGGCUCGCCCCGGCAGCGCGUAAUAGUUACUGCAUAAAGGUACAAUGUCAAAGACUAGCCCUUUGGUAUGGUAAUAGUUUGGUGAUCCGGAGACUACCUCCAGAGUGAUGGGGCCUAUACAACUGACCUUCACACCUGGUAUGACACCUGUAAAAGAUGUUUUUGGUGGGUCUGAUCCUUGAGUGAUAAAUACCUAUCUGGCACACUGCGUCCUGGUGCAGCAGGUUUGGACUGCUGCCUCCAGGGCUCAUGUGAGGUGGAACCCGCAAACUAUUGGGUCGAGGAUGAGUGCGACUGAAUUUCCCUGGUUGAUAUUGGUCGGAUGGUUUAUACGAUCGAAGAUGAUUGGCUGUAUUUUUAUGCGGUGGGGCGACUCGCUUUGUGGAGUUGACGUCCCGAAGAGUCCACGCCCCGAAGAGCCCUUGUCUCCUGUUACCAUCUGCCUAGACGCACAGUUAGGGACCCCCUACCCGAGAUCCGCCGGUUUUGACACCGACAGUGACCAACACGUGGCAUCCACCGUAACGGAACGUCGUUAAGCUAUCGGGUCGGGUUUUGGAUCCGAUAACCCGUUAACAGCCCCGACCAAUGGGUAUUUUUCCACGUGUAAAAUCAUCAUUGGCUGGAGGAAACACGUGUCGGCUCAUCGUUGGGACAGAUGUCAUCCACUCAUUGGACAGAAAGCGCCUAUGAUACGUCGACACGUGUCGCUGCCCAACAGUGGCCCAUUCCUAUGAAAAGGCCGGUCCGUUUGACUUGGUCAAAAGGUGCCGGCCGGCCCAUGGAAAGCCUGUUAACGGCCUAUUCGCAUAUAGCCCAUUUAUAGCCCGCUAACCCAAGGCCCAUUACGCCCUAUCUGAAUUAGGCCCAGUAGCAUCAUCUGGGCCAUCCAAUAUGAUUCCAGCCCAUUUUCACUUCUGGCCCAUGUAUGGCCCAUGACGUCUUUCGGCCCAUAUGAGGCCCUUUGUAACUCUUGGCCCAUUAACGGCCCGCGGUGAAACUGGCCCAUAAGGAACAGUGUAUGACUUUACACCCAUUAACGGCCCGUGGUGAAACUGGCCCGUAAUGAACAGUAUAUCACUUUAUACCCAUUAACGACCCGUUAUUCUAUUGGGCCGUUUCCAGCCCAUGUUAUCUUUCGGCCUUCUAAGAGCCCAUUUAUUCUUGGGCUCAUUUCAGCAUUCGUUUACUUACGGCCCAUUACUGUCAUUUUCUACUUGUAGGCCAAAUUCAGCCCGUGUUUACAGUCGGCCCGUUUGUGGUCCGUUAAUACGUUGGGCCGUUUUCAUAGCGUCAUCAAAUACGGCCUAUUAAGGAUGGCCCAUUUUGGUUGGCCCAUGAACGGACGAUUUCAACUCUAGCCCGUUUACGGCCGUAAUGCGACCUGUUAUUGGCCCAUGUUUGGCCAAUCGAUCAUACGCCCGUAUAAGGCCUAUUGAUGAUACGAUCCGUAGAAGGCCCAUUAUUUCUACGGCCCGUAGAAGGCCCAUUGUUUCUACGGUACGUCGAAGGCCCACUAUUUCUACGACCCGUAGAAGGCCCACUAUUUCUACGGCCCGUAGGAGGCCAAGUGUCACUACAGUAAAUAUUAGCCCAUGGUUAUUGUGGCCUAGUUUUAAAAAUUAGGUUAUUGCAGCCACUAGCAAACCGCGGAAAAAGAACUGCAAUGACUACAAGCAAACAAAUAAACAAGACAACAAGGAAAUAGAUAAGCUAGGAAAUGACGCUAGGCUAUCACGGCUAUCACACAUAUUACAUCCACUGGGCAUCAAAGUUCGCCACCAGUGCAAAUAAACGCGCCGACAAAAGAAUAUACAAAACUGAGAGCACUUCAGAAGGCACUAGGCCUGGCCAGGUCGGGUCCCCCAAACAGCCAAAGAAGCUGAGUAGAGCUUAGUUGUGUCAAAGAUAGAUGCAUCAACACUAGAUUUAUGGCAUGAUGGUGCGCACGGCAGUCCUCUGACAUCUUCAUUGCAUCUUUGACUUCAAGUCGGAGCUGAGCUGAAGCAAGCCUUUCCGCUUUAAGUUGAGACUGAAGAAGUCGAACUGAUUGUGGCAGCGACUGCACAGAGGUUGUCUCACACCUGCUGGUGAGUAGCUUCAACUCACUGUCUUCAUCAAGACAGGACCUUGGGGUCAUCUCGCUGUCCUCAAGAUGGUUUGGCUCACUAUCUUCCCUAAAGUUCUACCUGGCGUAAGAGAUACGACUCUGAAAGAGAAACAAGGAGACACGUAACAGGUUUCACAAUUAUAUAAGCAAAUAAAUGGAUCUGUUCUGCAUAAGGAACAUGUUUUUACAACUACAAUUUGAAACUGGUAGUUGUUGCAAACAUCCAAUCAGAUGUAAAUAGCAAAGCAAACAGCAUUGGAGGAAAUGAUGCCUAUCCAAAUCUAUACUAGAACAAAGUUUGAAGGCUUGAGAAGGAUGAACUUACAUUACAUGUUAACACGGGUUGGACAAAGCCCUUCUCCAUGUUGAUGGAAGGAUAAUUCAAUAAAUUCCCCAAAGAAAAUUCUUUAUAAGCGUUGCCAUUAUUCUACAUUUUGCAAAGAGUAAAUAUAGGUCAAAUAAUAUUGGAAGAAAUAGAGGAUAAUGAAGCUCAGGUGCAGACUGAUGAUACAUAAUCAAAUAGAAAUUAAUAAAGUACAUCGUUACAAGGGAAAAGGGAGAGGGGUACUGACAAGAGCAAUGCUGAGCCCAAUAUUGUUUUGAGAUCGCAUGAUCCUUUGAGCAAGGAGAUUCGUCAUUUGAAAUUAGUUUUCAUACAAGAGAGAAGGUAAGGCACAAGCAGAGACAGUACCUGACGCUGGGCUCCCAGCAGUUCUAAUAGGGGUUUGGCCACUGGAGUAGGGGUAAAGUGUGGUACAGUUGGGCCUGUGUUUUCUGUGGCUGCUGAUCUAUCUGAUUUAACACGUAUCACUACCUUUUUCCAAAUACCUAGUUUGUACUCCUUGAGAAUCUGCACUCACCCUUUUCCUUUUGGACAUCUAUUACGAAAUAACAACAUUUGACUGGAAAAACAUAGUGUGACGACACAUGGAAUAAGUACAGAAAAUGGAUAGGUAUGGCAUAUACUCAUAUAUGAUUCUUAAACUAAGAAGAUGGUGUAACAAAGUAGAAGUAAUGCAAUAGGUCAGAUGCAAAAUAUGUGCGACCAAUACAACUUUGCAAAGUUAGAGCAAGCACCUUGAUGGGUGAAUAAGAUAGGCCAUCCUCCACCAUGCCAAGUUUGUUAGCCAGUGGAUCGUUCCGCAAUAUUCCUCUCGUGCGCCCAUUCUCAUAUUCAUUUUGAUAAUGUUCAAUAUCUGACAUGCAUGAAAACAUAAAAACAAGCGAGAUUUUCUUUGUAAUGCAGAAGUGAUUCUAAUCCAAUAUUGCCUCCCUGUAAACCCCUUUGUGCUAUCUCUGCAAUUCUUUUAAGAGAUGCCAUGCAUGCUGUAAUUUGUUGUGUGCAUUAAUAUAAUGUGGCCUACUACUCAAAAUAUGAGAGCUCCAGAAGUGAUGACACUUCGCAGAUGACAGCUUCAACAUAUAGUAAAGAAGAACAAGUCGACCUGACCUGGAAGAUUCAAAAUAUACUAACGGAGAACAACUCGACCUGACGAGUCGACCGCAAGAGAAGAGUAUCAUCUUAAAGAAGAGCAGAAGAGCAAGCAGAUUGAAGAUAUUACAAGUCUUUCAAUACAAUGUCGGUUGGCCACCCAUGCUGAACCAGAGCGCAGAGAGAAAUACUAUUCUUUCCGGUCUCUCCAUAUGUGGCUCACAUGCAUUUCGAAACUAAAGUAGGAACAUUUAGCUAACCAAUUAAACAUCUCUCAGUUUUACUAAUAUCAGCAAUAAUAUCAGAUAUGAAUUUGUACAACUAAGCUUGUUUAGCUCGAUGGGUGGAGCAGUGCUAUUACGACACAAACCACGUAGGCUGAUUGUGGUCAUCAUAAAAUGGGGAAACCAUAAGCAUGAUGAGUACAGUGUUGACCGUGGCAGUGGGAUGGCAGAUCUGAAGCUGCAAACCGCGCAAAGGGUAGUUAGCAACCGGUGUUUGCUUUGAAAUAACAAGUAAGAUUUGGUAUGGAUAAGAAAGUACGGUCAACAAGUGACAAAGAAAUGCAAUUAUGCUGUCUCUCUAUAUUUCGCGACAUGCAUUUGGAAACUCAAGUGGGACCUUUAGCUAACCAAUUAAAUUUGUCGGCUAACUAGUACGAGUAUCAUAUCACAAUCAUAUUUGAACAACUAAGAUUUCGAAUUAUGAGUGUUGUGUUGUUUAGCUUGAAGGGUGGAGUAAUGCUAGUACGACAGAAAGCACCUACGCAGAUCAUAGUAGAGUAGAUAAAAGGGGAAAACCCUAAUCAUCAAGAGAAAAAUCAGGAAAGUGGAACUAGCUGGACCAGCGGGUGGCGCACAUGCUUUUCAAAAUGAAUAUAGGAACAUGAGGUGACCAAUUAGACAUUCUCUGUUUUAGUGAUUUGAGCAUCAUAUCAGAUUCGUAUUUCAAGAUGUAAGCUUUGGGUUGAGGUCUUGAGGAGCAGUGCUAGCACGACACGAAGCACCUACGAUGAUGGUAGUGAAUAUAAAAGAUGGAAACCAUAAGCUUUACGAGUAUAGUGCCCAUGCCAUGGCGGAUCUGAAGGUGCAAACUGGACAAACCUACUUCACAACCAAUGUUUGCUUUCAACUAGCCACUAUGAUUUGGUACGGACAAGAAAAGUACAGUAAACAAAUUAUGAUCUAUAUUCCGGGUGAGAUCAAUAACUUAAGCACAUGUGGAAGAGUACCACCUCUCUUGCGACGCUGUGUAGGCCUAUGCCGAUAUGUUGAGGGUGCUGUGGGUGCGAUGGCUGCCGGCGGCGGGGAAGAAGACUUUAUACGGCAGACGGCCGGGUUGGGGGAUAUAUCCUGUUGCCGGGGACGAGGCGGUCGUAGGAGCGGCAACAACAAGGUGGAUGACAGCAUCGAUGAAGCGAGAGGAGGCGAUGAAAGGAUCCUGGUCCAGCAGCGUUGUCGGUGUAAAAACCGGCGGAUCUCGGGUAGGGGGUCCCGAACUGUGCGUCUAGGCGGAUGGUAACAGGAGAUAAGGGACACGAUGUUUUUACCCAGGUUCGGGCCCUCUAGAUGGAGGUAAAACCCCACUCCUGCUUGAUUAAUAUUGAUGAUAUGGGUAGUACAAGAGUAGAUCUACCGCGAGAUCAGAGAGGCUAAACCCUAGAAGCUAGCCUAUGGUAUGAUUGUUGUCCGUCCUACGGACUAAAACUCUCCGGUUUAUAUAGACACCGGAGAGGGCUAGGGUUACACAGAGUCGGUUACAAUGGGAGGAGAUCUUCAUAUUGUAUCGCCAAGCUUGCCUUCCACGCCAAGGAAAGUCCCAUUCGGACACGGGACGGGGUCUUCAAUCUUGUAUCUUCAUAGUCCGGGAGUCCGGCCAAAGGUCAUAGUCCGGCCAUCCGGACACCCCCUAAUCCAGGACUCCCUCAGUAGCCCCUGAACCAGGCUUCAAUGACGACGAGUCCGGCGCGCAAGUUGUCUUCGGCAUUGCAAGGCGGGUUCCUCCUCCGAAUACUUCAUAGAAGACGUUGAACACCAGGAUAGUGUCCGGCUCUGCAAAAUAAGUUUCACAUUCCACCGUAGAGAGAAUAAUAUUUGCACCAAUCAGAUCUGCUGACGUAUUACGCAAUGUGACAUCACGCCACAGCCAGGCUUUUAUUCAUUAUACCGUUCCACCUCAGCGCGUUUAGCGAGGCGGUUUCCUUGGCACAUCUUGUCAAAGCGGAGAUCGUGUCCCCUUAUUCCGGGAUUCUCAUCAAUACGUGCGUGGGCAACCCAACCGCGCCAUUAACCAUGGCGCUUGGGAGAUAAGCGAGUUUUAUUAGGCUGGUGGGGGCUCGUAGUUUCGGCCGCCCAUAUAAGGGGAUAAGAAUCCACCCUUUCCAUUCACGCCUUCUUCCUCCUUUGCUUAUUCGUCCCUGCGCGCUCGAGCUCCAACGCCCAAGCCCGCUCUUCCCACCUCAACCUUCUCCAAUCAUGUCCGGAGCGGGAGGUAGAUGGAUGGCUUUCUCCGUCACGGAGGGGCAAAUCAAAAAGCUGAGGAAGGCCGGAUACUUGUCUGACGACAUCGCGCACCGGCUUCCAGAUGAGGGGCAACUCAUCCCCACCCCUAGGCCCCAUGAGAGGGUUGUAUUUCUUCCCCAUUUCCUCCGCGGACUAGGUUUUCUUCUUCACCCGUUCGUCCGCGGGCUCAUGUUCUACUAUGGCCAGGACUUCCACGAUCUGGCCCCGAACAUCAUCCUCAACAUCUCGGUGUUUAUCGUCGUGUGCGAGGCCUUCCUCCGCAUCCGGCCUCACUUUGGCCUUCCUCUGCAUCCGGCCUCACUUUGGCCUAUGGCUGAAGAUCUUUAGCGUCAAGCCGAAGGUCGUGGGCGGCCGCCAAGCGGAGUGCGGAGGUGCCAUGGUGGGCAAGAUAGCCAACGUUACAUGGCUCGAGGGCGCCUUUGUAGAGACCAUCAAAGGGUGAUAAUCGGGGUGGUUCUAUAUCACCGAGCCGCGUGACCCUGAAUGGGCAGCAGCCCCCGAAUUCCAAUCUGGUAUCCCCACACGGCUCACAUCUUGGAAAGAGACGGGCCUGUCGUGGGGUAGUUCGGCGGAAGUGACCGGACUUCAAACCUCCAGCAAAGACCUGAUCGGCAGGAAGGUUAAACUCGUCAACGUAGUCCAGGUCAUGCUCUUCCGCCGGAUUCUCCCGUGUCAACGACGGGCCUUCAGCUUGUGGGAGUUCGACCCAGCCCAGCAUCAGACUCUGUCCCGGCUCUUCGACACAAAGCAUGGGGACGCCUGGAAGGUGCUAUUCAAGAGCUCCGAUGUCUCUCCUCCCGUCACCGAGGAUCGCGGUUUCUGCGCCAAGCGCCAAUCCAGCAUGGUGAGCUUAAUUUUCCCUUUACGGGGUAUUUGUUUUUCAUAGAUUUCAUUCUAUGCGGGACCUAAACCCCCAUCUCUUUAAUAGGACUGGCAGAAAAAGGCCGGGCAAAUCAACUGUCCGGCUCCCUUGCCCGAAGACCCAGCAGACGCUCGCUUGACGAAGCUGCUGGUUCCGGUACCUCAUGUGGUGCCGGAGAAGAAGGCCAAGAAGAAGGCCACGGGGACUCGAAAGAGUUCCCGGCGCCUGGUGGUGUCGGAUUCAUCGCCCGACAACCCCGAAGCACCCUUCGCCUCUGAGGACGAGGAGGGGGAAGAAGAAGAAGCCUCUCCCCCUACAACGGGGGAAGGGAAGAAAAGGAAAGCCGCCCAACUGGUGAGGCCGGAGGGUCCAAGAAGGGGAGAACCCCCCUUCCGGACUAUACCUCCGAAGCUGAAGAUGGCCGGGAGGAAUGGCCAUCCAGGGUCAAGCCCCUGGCAAAAUCGUAAGCAUCCGGUCGUCCGAACAACUUAUGAUGCCCCUCCAUUAUUUGGCAUUUGCUGACGCCGUAUUUGAUCAUGCAGUCCGCCCAAGGCUCAGCUCGACGAUUCGACAAGCGGCUCCUUGGAUUUGUCAGAUGUGAAUAGCGCUUCACUUCCGACGGCCUCCUCCACUCUCCCUACGAACCACGCCGAGGUGGAGUCCCGAAAGGGACUAAACCAGGAGGAGGUGGUCCUGGAGGCGCCGCAAGGCGACCUCCCGGACUCCAGGCCCAAAGGGGGUAAAGCCCCGGAGGGAUCCAAGUCCGGCCCCGGGCCGGACACUGCUCUGGAACCAUCAAUGGUUCCAGAGUCCGACAGGCGGCGCCUUCAUAAGAAGGGCAAGCCUACGACGCCGACGACCUCCGUACAUCCGGAGGCGUCAGACAAUUUGCUGGAGGUGCUUAACGGCGCCUCCAUCGACAAGGAACACCGCGCUGUUAUGACUGCGGUGAUUCAGAAGGUUCUGUCCGCCAAGAGCGGGCUGACAGAAGCCUGUACAAGCCUGUUAACAGGCUUUGAGGUAUGUGUUCAAAAACAUAUAAAAAUGUUACCGCAUAGACAGUAGCCCCUGAUGCUCAGUUCGGCGUUCGGAAAGAAAAGGCGAGCUGAGGAUCUAAAAAGAUAUACGCAGGAGUCCAAUAAAAAUAUGUCAAUAUGGGAAUGCAGGCUGCGCUGCUGACCUCUGCCGCACUGACUGCGGAGGUCAAUGCAUUGAAGGAAAGCCUCGAGCGGUACGAGAGCGAGCUCGGCCGUGCCAAGAAGCAGCUCGAGGAUAAAGAGGGUACAUAGUACCGCAUGUAAAUGUAUAUAGAAAUACUUGGUUCCAAAUAAUGACAGGACCAACGUAAAUGUUGCAGGGGCCACGACCGACGUGGCAACCCUGAAGGAGGUGGUGUCCAAGGCCGAGAACAGUGCGGCCUUGGAGCGCACCGAGCGAGAGAAGCAGGAGGCGCGGGUGGCGGAGGUGCGGCAAGAGCUCCAGGAUCUCGUGGAAAAACACGAGAGUUUGGAGCGUGACUCGAAGACUCGAGAGUCCGAGCUCGCCUUUGCUCUUGAGAGUGCCAAAAACGCUAAGGCCGAAGCCCAGAAGGCCCUCCAAGAGAUCAAGGCGAUAAAGAAAAUAGCGGCGGGUAAGGCAUUCUUUAUGCAAAGCAAGCAUGUAAAAGUAAAUUAUCUAUUACUUACCCGAAUCCGGAGCUCUCCAGGAGCGUUCGCUGAUCUGCCCUGUAGUGUGUCUGAUGCUGCCGCAUUCUACCGAGCUGAGGAGGGGAGCUCGACAGAAAAGGUGUUCUGGUCUUAGUAUGCUGAGGCCGAGCAUCUGGUACCCCUGAGCGACCAACUGAAGCAGCUGGUCGAGCUCCACAAGGUUGCCGAACAGGCCGUGAAGGGCCUCAUAGUUCGACUAUGGCCUAGGGAAGCCAUGCCUGGGAGCUACUUCGGUCUGGUGCAGCGGCUGGUGGACGCUUGUCCAUGGAUUGAGGUCAUCAAGCGCUCCGUCUGCAUUGAAGGUGCCCGUCGGGCCCUUGCCCCUGCUAAAGUGCACUGGGGCGAGCUAGACGCGGAGAAGCUUUUGACGGAUGCGCCACUGCCGGGCAAGGAGUAUCGCACGCCCGAGAUGUAUUAUAAGGGCGUCCUGAAGGGUGCCCGCCGUAUAGAGGAUGAGUGCUCCAAAGAUGUAAUUUUUGAGUAGACUCGCAUUUGUUAUCCUGUAUGCUGAAAACUUUGUUCAUGUGCGUUAAGCAACGCUUGUUAAUUUAAAAUAUUACCUUCUGUGCGGCCGUUUAUCAAAUCUGAGAGAUGCAAGUCAUCGGCGUCGACCCCCAUGCCACGAGUGCUGGGGUGUUCGGGAUAAACCUGAGCGCUCUUGUUCCCAUUCUUGGGUCCAUCUAGGGAGGCGUUCAGCACAACGAACCACCGUCGGACUUAUAAUGCUUUAUCACUCUCACUUAGCCAUAGAAUUCUAUAAUUUUAAAUUUCGGUGAAGCCCCUAGUAUUCGGAAGACCGAGUUCGGGGUGCUAUCCACGCCUAGGCCGGAUAAGUCUAGUUCCUCGCUCUAAGCGGCAUAAGUCUUUAAGGACUCGAAAAACCUCGGGAACAGCAACCGGUCUCUCGCACUAUCAUGACGGUCAGUUUUAGCUUUCUUUAAUGAGGUGUUAACCCAGCUCAACUGGGGCACAAUCGCAGUAGUUCUCCCAGCCUACCUUAGCCAACAUUGCGGAACGUAAGGUACCAAAACAUGGGAGCCGGGCAAACCCAACUAUUGACCAAAGACAUGAUUAGGAGCCGAUGCAUAUAGUGCUAUAAGUUCGGGGAGCCGCACUCAUGAGAGUGUUCGGUCUUCUCACACCAUGUUAUGGGGUGUUUAAGCCCCUGGUGUAUUGGCCGUACCAAAGUGUACGGUUGCAGAAUGUCAUGACUGAACAUAUUUGUGUAUAUAGAAAAUAGAUGAGUACAAUAAUAGAUAAGAGCUAUGUAUUGUUUAUUAAAAAAGGGCUGCUGCGAAAGCAGAACGAUACAAGUAGUGCGAUAAGCAAGAGAUGGGAUUAUUUGACAUGUUCCCCUCCAGGGGCAAGCUGUGGGAUUUCAAGUAAAACAUGUAUUAAGCUUGUUAUAGAGACCACCUGGACUUUUGACGCGGCUUGUUCUCUCCCUGGCUGUUGCAUCGUGUGUUCAGCGAGUGUAUUGCCGAACAGGCCUUCCUAAUAGUUGGGUCCUGAAAGUGUGUAAAAAGGAAAUGGCGGAAUAGGGAGCCCCUUAGUGCGGUUGAGCCGCAUUCUGGGCGUGCCGUAGUUGUGCCCCUCCCCUUAUGCCCAUGGUAUCUCUAAGGCACGUACGCGUGGUACCGAUAUCACCAUUUGGCGAGGGCUGGGGUUGGGGCCGCACUGCUAUGCUUGCUCGGAACGUGCCAGCCGGAUUUGUUGUAGGUUACUUCGGGCUCGCUUGACGUUGUCCGGACGUUUGACACCUGGAUUGGAGAAUUGCCUUGAGAGGCUACUCCGUACUUCCGCCGCCAGGGCCGCCGUGUGCUCCUCCAUUCGGAGAGAGCGUUCGGUGUUUCCAUUUACCGUGAUGACUCCGCGAGGUCCUGGCAUCUUGAGCUUGAGAUAUGUGUAGUGCGGCACCGCGUUGAAUUUUGCAAAUGCGGUUCGUCCGAGCAGGGCGUGAUAGCCACUGCGGAAUGGGACUAUGUCGAAGAUUAACUCUUUGCUUCGGAAAUUAUCCGGGGAUCCGAAGACCACUUCGAGUGUAACCGAGCCUGUACAGCUGGCUUCUACACCUGGUAUGACGCCUUUGAAGGUUGUCUUCGUGGGUAUAAUCCUUGAGGGAUCGAUGCCCAUUUUUCGCACUGUAUCCUGAUAAAGCAGGUUCAGGCUGUUGCCGCUGUCCAUUAGGACUCUGGUGAGGUGAAAUCCGUCGAUAAUUGGGUCUCUAGUGAGGACCAAUGCGGCGAAUCCGUCGUGACGGAUGCUAGUGGGGUGGUCCCUUCGAUCAAAAGUGAUCGGGCAGGAGGACCACGGGUUGAACUUUGGGGCGACUAGCUCCAACGCAUAGACGUCCUUGAGAGCACGCUUCCGCUCCCUUUUGGGGAUGUGGGUUGCGUAUAUCAUGUUCACCGUCCAAACUUGCGGGGGGAAUCCUUUCUGUCCUCUGUUGUUCGGCGACCGGGGCUCCUCCUCGUCAUCGCUAUGCAGCCCCUUGUCUCUGGUUUCGGCACUUAACUUGCCUGCCUGCUUGAACACCCAACAAUCCCUGUUGGUGUGGUUGGCUGGCUGUUCGGAGGUGUCGUGUAUCUGGCAUGAGCGAUCGAGUAUCCGGUCUAAGCUGGAUGGGCCCAGAGGGUUUCUUUUGAAUGGCUUCUUCCACUAACCGGGUUUAGAGCCUCUGAAUCUGGCAUUGACUGUCGUAUCUUCAGUAUUGUCGCUGUUAAUGCGGCGCUUAUGCUUGUUGCGACGUGACCUGCCAUUGUUGUCCUUGGUAUCCGAAUUGCUAGGGCUCUUGGUUAUGUUAUUGCUACGAGCUAGCCAGCUGUCUUCUCCCGCACAAAAGCGGGUCAUGAGUGUCGUGAGGGCUGCCAUAGAUUUCGUCUUUUCCUGUCCUAGGUGCCGGGCAAGCCAUUCAUCUCGGAUGUUGUGCCUGAAGGCUGCGAGGGCCUCGGCGUCCGGACAGUCGACUAUUUGAUUUUUCUUGGUUAGGAACCGUGUCCAAAAUUGUCUGGCCGAUUCCUCUGGCUGCUGGAUUAUGUGGCUUAGGUCAUCGGCGUCUGGUGGUCGCACAUAAGUGCCCUGGAAGUUGUCAAGGAAUGCGGAUUCCAGGUCCUCCCAACAACUAAUUAACUCUGCUGGCAGGCUGUUAAGCCAAUGUUGAGCUGGUCUUUUAAGCUUGAGCGGGAGGUAUUUGAUGGCGUGUAGAUCAUCACCACGGGCCAUGUGGAUAUGAAGGGGUAAUCCUCGAUCCAUACCGCAGGAUCUGUUGAGCCAUCGUAUGAUUCGAUGUUUACGGGUUUAAAUCCCUCGGGGAUUUGAUGGUCCAUUACUUCGUCUGUGAAGCAUAGUGGGUGUGUGGCGCCCCUGUACUGGGCUAUAUCACGACGCAGCUCGGAUGAGCUUGGUCUAUUGUAUUCGGCCUGGCCGUACUUAUCAUGUCCGGCAUGACGGCUAGCGUCAUGUGAAGUGGGGCGCCCAUGUGAUCCAUACAUCGAUCUUGUUUGCCUUGCCUUAUUCUCCAAUAUGUCUCGCAGGUCUGUUGCGUCUCCCCGUACUCUGGUAUGUUUUGAUCGGUGUCGGGGUGCGGCUUGGGUCGAGGGCCUAAAGGCCUCUCUAUCACGGCCACGGGGUGGCCGAUCGGGCGCAUCAUACGUUGGUGAUGUAGGUUUAGUUGCUUCCUCCUCAAGUUGGGGUAGCAGCCUGCGCUUUGGGUAGCUCUUGGAGGGGCGUUCGAGUUUAUACUCUUCGGCCGCCAGGACUUCGGUCCAUCUGUCGGCUAGCAAGUCUUGGUCAGCUCUAAGCUGCUGCUGUUUUUUCUUGAGGCUACUUGCCGUGGCCAUAAGCCUGCGUUUGAAACGCUCUUGUUCGAUGGGAUCCUCUGGCACGACGAAUUCGUCGUCGUCGAGGCUUGCCUCGUCUUCGGAGGAAGGCAUAUAGUUGUCGUCCUCAACCUCUCUGUCGGCCGCUCUCUCAUGAGGGCUGGCUCCUUCGUCCUCCUGCACUGAAUCCUGCUGGUGGGGGUUGUCUUCGGCACUGUCCGGCGUGUUGUUAUCUCCGGUGCCGGAAUCGCCGUUUUUGCUUUGGCGGGACUUAGAGCGGCGUCGCUGACAUCGGCGCUUGGGUUGCUUCUUGGAGGGGUCAUCCUCUGUUUUUUCCUCGCCAUUCCCUGCUUUGGGGGUGUCCACCAUGUAUAUGUCAUAUGACGAGGUGGCUUUCCAGUUCCCUAUAGGUGCUGGUUCUUGGUCGUCUCCUUCAUCGGCGUCCAUACCGUCGAAGUCGAGCAUGUCGCUUAAAUCGUCGACAGUGGCUACGAAGUGGGUGGUGGGUGGGCCUCGAAUUUCUUUGUCGUCUGUAUCCCAACCCUACUGACCGUAGUUCGGCCAGGGCUCUCCUGACAAAGAGAGAGACUUUAGUGAAUUCAGGAUAUUGCCAAAGGGAGAGUGCUGAAAGACGUCCGCGGCGGUGAACUCCAUGAUCGGAGCCCAAUCGGGUUCGAUCGGAAGGGGUGCGGAAUAUACAGAGUCCGGAGAGGAGUCCGGCACCUUGGAGUCACGGGCCCUGUAAAGGACUAGGCUGGUAUUCGGCUCUAUUACCGUUGAGAUUGCGGCUCCCGAGGUGGCGUCCAACCGUCCAUCCCCGACAAGCGCAGCAGGCUCCGAGCUAAUGGUCGGAGCGGGCACCUGAGCGACGCUCUGGGUGUUGUCCAGUGGCAGAGCUAAAUCAUGCCCAUCGUGACAGUGCGGCGUGCUCGGCCAUGGCUCGAAUCCGUCGAAGAUCAAGUCCCCGCGGAUGUCGGCAGUGUAAUUGAAGCUUCCAAACCUGACCUGAUGGCCAGGGGUGUAGCCUUCGAUCUGCUCCAGAUGGCCAAACGAGUUGGCCCGCAGUGCGAAGCCGCCGAAUACGAAGAUCUGUCCGGGGAGAAAGGUCUCACCCUGGACCGCGUAGUGAUUGAUGAUCGAAGAAGCCAUCGGGCCUAAAGGCGACGACACAGAGGAACUCUCAAUGAAAGCACCAAUGUUGGUGUCAAAACCGGCGGAUCUCAGGUAGGGGGUCCCGAACUAUGCGUCUAGGCGGAUGGUAACAGGAGACAACGGACACGAUGUUUUUACCCAGGUUCGGGCCCUCUCGAUGGAGGUAAAACCCUACUCCUGCUUGAUUAAUAUUGAUGAUAUGGGUAGUACAAGAGUGGAUCUACCGCGAGAUCAGAGAGGCUAAACCCUAGAAGCUAGCCUAUGGUAUGAUUGUUGUCCGUCCUACGGACUAAAACUCUCCGGUUUAUAUAGACACUGGAGAGGGCUAGGGUUACACAGAGUCGGUUACAAUGGGAGGAGAUCUUCAUAUCGUAUCACCAAGUUUGCCUUCCACGCCAAUGAAAGUCCCAUCCGGACACGGGACGGGGUCUUCAAUCUUGUAUCUUCAUAGUCCGGGAGUCCGGCCAAAGGUCAUAGUCCGGCCAUCCGGACACCCCCUAAUCCAGGACUCCCUCAGCCGUGGUUGAGAGACGUCCAUCUCUUGCAGUGGACGACGGGGUAGGGGUAGCGGCUCCGGCAAGGUGGAGGAUGGGGUGGCAGACGGAGGAGGCUAGCCGCACUGCAGAGGUUGUCGUGCCGCCGAUGGUGUAUGAAUGGGGAAAUGGAGGGGAGGGGGGAUCUCAAACUUUGGGACGCGCUUCUCUGAAAUGUGGGAAAGAUAUGAACUUAUCCCCCAUUUAAAAUUUCGGACAUCGCGUCGGUUGGGGAUAGGACGGUAAUCUCGCAUGUCCCAAAUAUUUGCUGGUAACUAUUUCGGGCGAGGAGAGGGUGUUUUGCCGCCCACGGUUGGCGCCCACGGUGUAUGAACGGGGCUGACAGGUAGGGCGGUUGUGUCACGUCUGAGGGAAGUUACACAUCUGCCCAUAUUUAAAAUAUUAGUCUACAUCAAUUUCGGACGAGGAGAGUUUGUUUUGCCGCCCACCGUGUAUGAAUGGGGAAAUGGAGGAAGAGACACAUGUCUUUCGGACGAGCUUGAAUCAAAUGUGUUUUGCCGCCCACGUUUGGCGCCCACCGUGUCUGAAUGGGCUCAGAGGCCGUCGUGUCACGUCUAAUUGAAGUUACUAGUCUACCCCUAUCGACAGCAGUGUAAAUCCGGUUGAUAAGGAUGUCAAGUGUGAGGGGUAGACAGUAAUUUCCAUCUCGCAAACACUUGCUUCAGGCAGCCCACAAAUUAUAGUGAGUGUUUAGCUGCUUCGUUCAAAACAUGGGAGAAUUACAUUCACGUUUGCCCUGGGCCCUAGCAAAAUAAAUUCAAAUCCAAUUUGUAUUCGAUUACGAAUAUCCAUAGAUAAUUCUAUGUUUUGUUAUUUAUUUCUUCAAAACCACAACAAAGAUUUAUUCCACAUUUAUAUAUGAUUAUGAUUUAGAAAUUCCAUGAUCUUCGAAUUCAGUACGUUGGAUACACUCUGAGUCAAAUAGUUAUUUCAUCCAAUACAAUAUGCCCUCACGAAAAAUAGUUCACCUUAUGUCAAUCAUACAAGUACUGAGGAUUACCUUGCCUAAAAAAUCCGGAUCAUUACAACACAUGGACAACAUAGGGUGUCUUGCAACAUAAUCCAUUCAGAGAGAUGACACAACAUGCAAGUACAAUAAUUUAAUGACAACUUCAACUGGUACCUAAAGAAGAACUAGGAUUACCUUAGGCUUCAGAUAGCAGAAAUAGUAGGACCUCCUCCGUCUUCAAAUGCAACAUUCUUACUUCCUCCAAUUCUUGGGUUGCUUGCAUAAUGUGUGCCGCUAAUUCUGUAAUUUCCAGCCUCAAGAUAAAGAUUAUCUCAUUCAUGGCAGACACACCAUCUCUUUCUGCCUCUAGUAGAGCCUCAAGCACUAUAAUAUAUGUGCUCAGACUGCUCUCCGGCGGUGUUGCCUCUGAACUGCUACCAUCUGGUAACAUGGAUGGCGCACUGCUUCCACAAAUAGAUUUUGGGGUUGUACAUUGUGUCCUAGUGUGAACGGCAUCCUGAAAGGUUUCCGCUGGACAUAAGUAAGAGAUAGUUAUCGUAUGAUCCAGGCAGUAAGCUUACAUGGUAAACGAUGGAUGAAUUAUUGCCGAGCAUGGCAAACUAUAUUUAAAUGGUUCGAAGCAGCAUCAGCCGAAAAGAAAUUAAAAUGGUAAGAUGAACUAGGGAUGUAAGUGGCAAAUAAACGACAUCCGCCAGUCCCAUCUAGUUAGUUUUUGCUACCUCCCUAGUUCAUUUUCCUCAAAAAACAAAAACUCUUUUGAACUAUCAUACCACUAGUGGACUUUAAUUGGGAUUAAAUGGGACCCAGUUGAAAGGGAGUGUACCACCGCUAUAUAUAAGUUGCCAAGGCAUCUAAGCAGUUGAAAUAAUCUAAGAAAGCACUUAACAGUGUGGCCUCAUAUAAACUACGAAGACAGUAUUGUGAUGAAGUUGAGAGGAAAAGUUAAGGACUCAAAUGAAAUAGGCAUGCAUUUCUUUAUGAUAGUACAACAGACACUGCUGACAUAUUGGCCAACUCAGGUAUAGCGUAGCAACAAACAAGCAUUCGAAUAAAGCAAUACAGCAAAGCAGACAACUGAACUAUUUGUAAUUCGGUAGGAUUACAGGUUGCGGGCAAAAGCCAAGAAAGCAGCCCACUCGCAUUACAUUUCACAUGUACUAAAACACACUGGCUUACCAUAUGUUGCUGUGAAGCCUCGCUGCUAUUGCAAUGUUCUUUGAAGAUAUCGUCAGCAUCCCGUGGUUGCAAAUCUAGUUGUUGUAGUUUAUUAUGCACCCUCUAUUUAGGUAAAAUUAAUUUUAAUCGCAUGCACUGGUCCGAAUUGAUCAUCAAUGGUUCAUCUAAACUAAUGAAAGAAGGGUGUGUGCAUACACAACGAUAUAUCUGCUUCCCUCUAUUUUUAUGCUUGUUUGAGGUGCCAGCCCCAAAAGAACAAAUAUUUUGCUUGAUGGGGUUGGUAGCUCCAUAAUUAAUAGAAGCAUCAAAUUAGUCAUGCAACUUGGGAAGAUCAAGAACACACAAGCAAGUAAUGAAAAGAGGCUCGGAGCAGUGAUGUAAUAGCUAGCAUCGGAAAAUGUAGGGUAAAACGAACAAAAAGCAGCGGAACCACAUGCUAGUUUGCUGAUGUGUAAUUAAGCAUAGAGAACAUUAAGCAGUCUGAUGGAACCAGCAGGUGGCAUCAGAACAACACCAUUAUCAUAAAUAUAGCAUUCAAGAAGUAAAAUAGUAGGCAGUGAUAUCUAGGAAGUACAGUGAUACUACUUAGGACAAAACUAAAGCAUAUUAACUAUAUGUGCACUGGUAUGUAAUUUAGCACAUGUAACAUGUUCACUGCCAGAAGUAUAGCCCUACAGGUGCAAGCAGAACAACGCGUCUCAUGAAAAACUGAAUGAUGCCCUGAAGAAAUUCAAAGGUGCGGUGCUUAUGCUAGGAAAGUGAACGUAGGCGUCGGCCGUUGGAUAAUGGUACCUGAUUCUCGGCGUCGUAUGGGUAUCGUUGUCAUACUUGAUAGCUAAGGAUCGUCAAUGGUGCUCGUGUUGCGGUUGAGUUUGGGCCGACUGUCGCCGUCGCUGAAGCGGCUUCGGUGCUACGGUUGCGGCACCUGUCGACAUACAAGAAAGCUUAUCUGUGGUAAGUGAACAGUUGCACGAUAAAGAGAAAAACCGAAGGAGUACAAAUCAAAAUAACCUGAUGAGGCUGCGGCGUCGGUAAAGCAGGGCCGGUGGAGUUGAAUAUGGCGUCCAUGGAGAGGGUCCGGUGCAGUGGACGAAGGGUUCGGUGGGCGCGUUGCACUGAGCUUUCAGUGAGGCGGAUCUAUUGCGGCGGACGAGGGCUUGUAUGAAGGGCCAGCGAAGGGGCGGACGAGGGAGUCAGUGAAGGGCCUACGCUGUGGUGGACGAGGGCGCCGGUUAAGCAGAUCCGGUGUGGUGGACCAUGAUGGUGGUCAAGGAGAUCUAGAGCGGUGGACAAGCUAGUCGCUGAAGUGGCUCCGGUGAAGUGGUGAGUUGGCAGUUGGGGGUUCCAAGGUGCGGAAGGUAGAUCCGGCGGGUUGUGACGUCCAACGCUACAGCGAAGGACUAGAUUCGGCGGCUUGUCGUGGUUGGGGGGGUCGGGGAGGGGGAGGGGAGGGGCUCUGGGGAAGAAUGUUGGGGGUAAGGAGGGGAAAACAAUGGAGUUACCAAAGCAGCCCUUUUCCGUUCAUGUGGCAGGGGUAAAACAGGAAUAUCGGAGGGCUAAACUUUUGGGCGCGUGAUAUUUCGAUGUGAGCAGGAAGUUUGAAAGCUCUUGGCGCCUAAAAUUAUAAGUAUUCUGCUCUCGUACGGCCGACUAUGAUAUCACGGCCGACAAUUUGUUUGUUUUGCAUGCCAAAAAAUGUGCAAGUUUUGAAAAUCAAUGUCUCCAAGUCGAAACUUAGAUUGUCCAUUCAAUUCAAAUAUGGAUCUUUGAGCUACUACAAGCAAAUACCAUCAUACGGUCCAAUUCAAAUGAAAUUCCAAAUGUGUUUAUCCUAAAUAUGAUGACAAAAGCAAAAAUGUGUAUGUGUAUGAAUAAAGUGGAUGAUUAUAAAGUUUGAACAUGCUCGUUGGUUUUUAGGAAGGGUUUAAAUGACCUCCUUGCAAACCAAGCAAGGCUCUUUUGAAAAACAAACCACCAAAAUUUUUGGAGUGUCACAGCACCUACCCCCUUAGGAAAAAUCUCGUCCCCGAGAUUUCAGCUGAUCCUUAAACAGGUGUGGGUGCUCUGUCCGAAGAAAAUCCUCGCUCUCCCAAGUUGCUUCAUUCUCGGUGUGAUUACUCCAUUGAACUCUGAAAAAUUAAUGGUUUUCUGUCGGGUCCUCCUCUCAGACACUUCUAAUAUUUUUAUUGGGUGCUCCCGGUAAGUGAGGUCCGGUUGCACGUCAAUAUACUCAUGUGAAACUCGCUUCUCUGGGUUGCUCAUGUAAUUUUUCGACUGCGAGAUGUGAAACAUGUUGUGGAUACCGGAUAAGUCUCUGGGUAGGUCCAGUUGGUAGUCUACCUUGCCUCGUCGGGCCACUAUAUGAAAUGGUCCGAUGAAUCUUGGUGCUAGUUUCCCUUUAAUCUUGAAUCGUUGCAGACCCUUCAUAGGAGAAACUCUCAGGUAUACCAAUUCUCCGGGUUCAAAACUGAUUUCCUGAUGCUUUCGGUCGUAAUAACUCUUUUGCCGACUUUGAGCUGUUUUGAGUCGUUCCCUAAUUGUCUUAACUUUCUCCUCGGCCUCCUUGAGCAUAUCUGGGCCAAAGAUAUGGCUGUCUCCGGUCUCUGACCAAUUUAGCGGGGUACGACAUCUUCUCCCAUAUAGAGCUUCAACUGGUGCCAUUUGCAAGCUGGCUUGAUAGCUGUUGUUGUAUGCGAACUCUGCAUAUGGCAAACUUUCUUCCCAACUGUUCCCGUAGGUGAGGACAUAGGCUCUUAGCAUGUCUUCUAGGAUUUGCUUUACGCGUUCCGUCUGCCCAUCAGUCUGGGGAUGGUAUGCGGUACUGAAGGCUAGUUGGGUUCCCAGUGCCUGUUGUAGGUGAUCCCAGAAUGUAGAGACGAACUGUGUGCCUCUAUCGGAGAUGAUAGUCUUAGGGACUCCAUGUAGGCACACGAUACGAGCAAGAUAAAGUCUGGCUAGUCUCUGAGUGGUGUAAGUUUUGUUUACCGGAAUAAAAUGUGCCACCUUGGUUAAUCUAUCGGUUAUGACCCAAAUGGCAUCGUUUCCUUGUCGUGACCGUGGCAGUCCAACGAUAAAGUCCAUUCCAAUCUCGUCCCAUUUCCACUCGGGUAUCUUAUUUGGCUGUAACAGUCCGGCUGGUUUCUGGUGCUCGGCCUUGAUACGUUGACAAGAGUCACAGCAGGCGAUGAACGUGGCUAUAUCUCUCUUCAUACCGUGCCACCAGAAAUUUUCUUGAAGAUCCUUGUACAUUUUUGUCCCUCCAGGAUGGAUUGAAUACGGUGCUGUGUGACUUUCUGUCAAUAUCUGCUGUUUGAGGUCCUUGACAUUCGGUACGCAUAGCCUUUCUCUAUACCACAAUAUUCCUUUCUCAUCCACGUUGAAUUCUGAGGCUCUUCCCAAACUCACUUUUCUUUUUAUGCCCUCAAUGCUGGGGUGUCCGUGCUGGGCUUCCUUGAUACUUUCCAUUAGGGUAGGCUGUAUUUCUAUAUUCGAUACACUGCGUUCGGUAACCAUUAUUAGAUUGAGUCGGGCAAAUUCUUGUUGAAAUUCUGGCCUCAAUUUUGGUAUACUGUCGUCGUCCGUGCUGGGAUUGCGACUAAGUGCAUCUGCCACAACAUUUGCUUUUCCGGGAUGAUAGUGGAUUCCAACAUCAUAAUCCUUCACCAACUCUAACCAGCGUCGUUGCCGUAAAUUUAAUUCUGGCUGUGUGAAAAUAUACUUAAGACUCUUAUGGUCCGUGUAUAUCUCACAACGAUUCCCAAGCAGAAAGUGUCUCCAUUCCUUGAGUGCAUGGAUGACUGCUGCUAAUUCCAGGUCAUGGGUGGGAUAAUUUUCCUGAUGCUUGCGUAGUUGUCUAGAGACAUACGCAACUACCUUGCCUUCUUGCAUCAAUACGCAUCCGAGGCCUUUCCGGGAUGCGUCACAAUAUACCUCAAAAUUCUUGUGUAUAUCUGGCACGAUUAAUACUGGUGCCGUUGUUAAUUUGCUUUUUAGCUCUUGGAAACUUUUCUCACAUGCUUCUGUCCAUUCAAACUUCUUGCCUUUCUUGAGCAAUUGUGUCAUGGGCUUUGCUAUAGUGGAGAAUCCUUCAAUAAAUCUUCGAUAAUAUCCUGCCAUUCCCAAGAAACUCCGUACGUCCGUUACGUUAGCUGGUGGUUUCCAUCCAAGUACGGCCUUGACUUUUCCGGGUCUACUGCAAUACCUUCUUGGGUUAGCAUGUGGCCUAGAAAACCCACCUGCCUUAGCCAAAAUUCACAUUUGCUGAAUUUGGCGUACAGUUGAUGUUUCCUGAGUUCUCCGAGUACAAUCCUGAGAUGUUCGGCGUGCUCUUCUGGUGUUUUGGAAUAUAUCAGAAUAUCAUCGAUGAAUACCACAACAAACUUGUCCAUAUACUUCAUAAACACUUUGUUCAUGAGGUGAACAAAAUAUGCGGGGGCGUUGGUUAGUCCGAAUGGCAUCACUGUGAACUCAUACAGCCCAUAUCUGGAGGUGAAUGCGGUCUUGGGAAUAUCUUCUGUUUGUACUUUUAAUUGGUGGUACCCUGAUCUCAAGUCAAUUUUUGAGAAGACUUUGGCCUGUGCGAGCUGAUCGAAUAAAUCAUUUAUUCGGGGCAUUGGGUAUUUGUUCUUGAUUGUGACCAUGUUGAGAGCUCGAUAAUCAAUACACAACCUCAUUGUUCCAUCCUUCUUCUUGGCAAAUAAAAUUGGAGAACCCCAAGGUGAGGAGCUGGCUCGUAUGUAUCCUUUCUCCAAUAAUUCUCUUAUUUGCUUCUUCAACUCUACCAAUUCGGAUGGUGCCAUUCUGUAAGGUUUCUUAUAAAUAGGAGUGGUUCCGGGUGCUAGCUCAAUGCUGAAUUCUAUCUCUCGGUCUGGUGGCAUGCCUGGUAGUUCUUCUGGAAAUACGUCUGGGAAUUCACAUACUACUAGAACCUUGUUUAGCUCAGAAACGUCCACCUUGUUUAAUCUAGGUUGCCGAGGUAUUUGUCUCUCUUUGGCUGAAGCUUUUAUUUUCUUCCCAUGAUGGUGUGUGAGAAUCACGGUACAGUUGAAGCAGUCAAUAAAACCUUUGUUGGUGGUUAACCAAUCUAUUCCCGGGAUGACAUCCAGUCCUUUGCUUUCCAGUAUAAUAAGGUUGGCGUAAAACUUCAAUCCUGCAAAUUCAAUAACCACACCUUGACAGUAACUCUGGGUCACUUGCUUAAUUCCAGGGGACUUGAUGAUAAUUGAUUUUUCCAAGGGAAGCAUCGAAAAAUUAUUUUGCAAAGCAAAACUUUUCGAAACGAAUGAGCGAGAAGCUCCAGAAUCAAACAAAACCAUGGCAGGUAUUGUGUUGAUGGGGUAUGUACCGAGUACAAUAUCUGGGGCGUUCUGUGCUUCCUCUCGGGUCAUGUGGUUCAAGUGACCUUUCCGGUGGUUGUUGUUUGGGUUGAAAUUGCUUCGCUUUGGUGCUGAAUUAUUUCCACCAUUAUUGAGCUUCGGGUUUGAGUUCCUUGGCUUGGGACACUGCUUGGCAUAGUGCCCUUCUUCUCCACAAGCAUAACAAGUAACGCCUGGGCGAUAGGUGAACUCUUUGUCUCUUGCAUGGAAAUUCUUGGUUGGACGUGAAUUAUUCGCCGGGGUUUUGUGUGAACCCCCCUUCUGAAAUUCCUUCUUGCUUCUGUGAUUGCGAGAAAAAGUAGUCUAGUCCCUUUUCCGUUUGCGGAAAUCUUCCAGGCUACGUCGCUCAUUUUCCAGGGUAAUGGCCUUAUCCACUAGUGUUUUAAAAUCUGGAAAGGUAUGCACAACUAGCUGGCACUUAAGGGCGGGUGCCAGGCCUUCCAAGAAUUUUUCCAUCUUCUUGCUCUCGGUCAUGCGUUCUUCAUUGGCGUAGCGAGACAGCAGUGUGAAUUGGCUGUUGUAUUCUGACACUGUCAUGGCUCUUUGCUUGAGUUCAUCAAAUUCCUUCUUCUUGAUUUUCAUGACGCUCUUAGGAAUAUGUGCCCCACGAAAACCUCCUUUGAAAUUUUCCCAGGUGAUUUCAUUUUUGUUGGGGUGCAUGUGCAGGAAGUUUUCCCACCACGAUGCAGCUGCACCUGUGAGAUAAUGUGGUGCAUACAGUACUUUUCACGGUCUGAACACUGUGCGAUAAUUAAUUUUCUCUCCAUGUCUCGAAGCCAGUCCUCGGCCUCAAGAGGCUUGUCAGUAUGAGAAAAUGUUGGAGGACGCGUCUUUUUAACUCAGAUAAUUUGGAUUGCGGUUGAUACUGACCAUGGUUACUUCCCAUAUUGAUGAAUUGGUUCAUCAUUUCCUGGUGUUGCUGUUGACUCUGUUCGUACAAACGACAAACUUGUGUAAAAGCUGUUUCACUGCCCUGUUGACUUGUCUGUCCCUCAGUGAAAUUUUGGUUCUGCGGUGUGCCAUAAUUUUCUUCUGGCUGAGUUGGCAUGGAGCGCGUCCAAGGACGAGACAUCUUUCACACUGGGGAUAUAUUUUUGUGAACUCGUAAGACAAGAAAGAGAGUCGCAAAAGUCAAUAAAAUCACACACAAAGAACAUUCUUAAACUCCAGGAUAUUUUGGAAACACAUGAUUGCGCGCGGAGAAGGACUAGUGCAUAACUUACAUGCGGGCCUAAUUAUACAUUACAUCACUCAGGAUAUGCGUACAUAACCUUGACAUGUUAUUUAAACUAGUGCACUCCUCCAGAUCCUACAUGGUGCGCAAACAGGCUACUUCUCACAACCUAUGUACAUAAAACAUAUUACACAAGUCGAUACAUCGCAUGGCGUCUAUGCGUACUUAGUCGGAGAUGGUGAGGAUCUCUCUUGGCCUGCCGAGGGUGAGACGCAGAGACGCUGGGGAAUCAACCUCCUCAUCGCUAAUAGGUUCCAGACGAGAAACGUUGUGCUGAGCUGAUGGAGCAGGUGCCCUAGGCGGAAUAACACGAAUACGAGUGGGUGGAAUAGGUGGGGUAGCACGUAUGGGAGUGGGUGCAACAAGUGGUGCAGAGCGGGCGGGAGUGGGUGCAAUAGCCUGGUUAAAUUCCUCUGUGGUAGGCAGACGACGAGCAGUGGCGAGUAUGGAAGGUGAGUGAGAGGCUGCGGAUGACACGAAAGUCAAUGGUGGAGCGGUGUGUAGGAGUUCCCUCCUGUUAGCAGCACAGCCAUGAACUGAGUCCAUGCGUGCAGCUACGAGGUCAUCCACCAUGCAGUCGAAUGCUGCCUCCAGGACUCGGAGGUACUCGACAAGCAUCUCAAAGGCUUCGUCUCGCUCUCCUCUGGGGCAAGAGAAGGAGUAGUGACAGGUAUAAGGCACAUGGCAUGGAAGGUAGCGGUAGCGACGAGUCUCCAUUGCAGGAAGAACAUCCCGAAGACGGGCUAUCGUCUCGCGGGCAGCCAUCUGCAUAGCAUGCCUUUUUGUAGGCAUGGCUCUCCGCACGAACCGGAGACGUCGUAUUUCAGCAUGGCCUCCCCUGAAUUGCACCGCGGCCUGGUGCAUAGUCAGACUGUCGUUGAUCUUGUGUGGAUAAAGCGUGAAGACUGGGCGCACAGAUGGCCCCAUCGCGACUUGAACGAUGAAGGAGAGGAGUUUGACGAACCCCUCAGGCACGUUGGCGAACAUUUGAGACUCGCAGUCGUUGCCGGUCAUCUACAAAAGUAGGCAAAAAUUCUGAGUGAUCAGAUCAUAAAAUUUUAUGCUGACUGUCAGAAAAAUGUCUACACUUGUAAAAACAUGAAUAACUCUAUCAUGCUAAUAACCAAUUAGCGAUUGCACCUAGUGGCUUCAUACAGUCAGCCUGGCUCUGGUUACCAAGUCUGUCACGACCGGCUUUUCAAUAAUAUGAUUAUUGAUAAAACCGAUCUUUUAAACCCAGUAUAGGAAAAGUCAUCCUUUCUGGUACACAAAAGCUUGAUAAACAAAGAACCACUAGCAUCAAAUAUAUUACAGGAUUGAGCUGAGGCUGCUCAACAGUUUAUUACAAACUCGCCAAUAUCUUACAUAAGGGCGGUUAUGACAUAGGGGUGGGGUGGCAUGCUACUAGCUCGAGGAAAAAUGGUGGUGGAUAACUUGACUUCUACUGGCAGUACAUCGAGCGUCGAGGUGAGGCUCGAUGAAUUUAUUCGGGGUUGCGGAAGCGGAUAAUACAAUGACCAAGACAGGAUCGCAUGUGACUGACUGUUACUCCUCUAGGCGUCGGACUUGCUAUCAAACUCUUCAUCCAUGAGAUCGCCUUCAUCAACAUCUGGCCAAAUCAACAAGCCAGGUGAGUACUUGAAAGUACUCGCAAGACAGUUCGGACAAAAGAUAUAAUCAAUGAAUGCAUGAAUGCGUCAUGAACAAGGAUGAUGCUCAUAAAAUAACGAUAAUAUUGCAGGACUUGAUGAAUAAAAUAAAUAACUGAAAGCCGAUCGGGUGUCUGGAGCGACGCCUCGAAAGGUAAAUAAAUAAAAUGCAUGCCGCAGUCGGGCGUCUAAGCGACACCACAUAACGGGCUUAAAAGAAAUGCCACAGUCGGACGCGACAUCACAUAAAGGGCUUAAAAGAAAUGCCACAGUCGGACGUCUGAGCGACAUCACAGACAAGGCUUUAAAAGAAAUGCCACAGUCGGACGUCUGAGCGACAUCACAUAAAGGGCUAUAAAAGAAAUGCCACCGUCGGACGUCUGAGCGACAUCGCAGACAGGACUUGCAACAAAUGUAAAUAACGGAUAUGCCGCCGUUGGACGUCUGAGCGACAUCACAGACAGGGCCUAUAACAAAAAUAAAUAACAGGUAUGCCACCGUCGGACGUCUGAGCGACAUCGCAGACAUGGCUUGCAAUGGAUGUGAAUAACAAGAUUAGUCCAUCCACAAGAAUAAUCUUUUAACCGGAUUUAUCACACAUAAAUCCCACCGGAGUUUUGUCACUGAGGCUGAUACCUGACAAGAUAAGAUGAAUAUAGUACUUGAACAAAGUACAAGACAAUUGACGGAUUCGAGACUCUGCAGAGUUUGGAUGAACUGACCACAGCCAACGGAUUUCUGUAGUCACGAAGGACUAGUUCCGUUUACGGUAUUUCAGUAGAAACACAUUUAACUAGUACACACACAUUUCACCUCACGAUGCCAGGAAUCACCCUGGUCAACGUCCAAGAAAAACUUUGAGACGGGGAGGCCACAACCUCGAAUAGCAUGGGAUCAAAUUUCUAUACGCGUGCUCUAAGGGGUGCCCACCUCUCGGUCCCAACCGGAAACACCCAUGCCCCCUGACCGGAUGACGGGCUUUAAUCCAGGGCCAUGGAACCAUCAUCCCGGCCUCUCACUUGGUGUGUACCAGGAAAACGGUUGCAACUUACUAUGCCAUAUCCCUUGCGGAAAACAUGUGGCAGCACAGGAAGGAAAUGAAGGGAAUAUGAUUUGAUCAUGUUGACACUGCUGUCAAAAGGACUGGCCUAAGCCUGGCAUGUCACAACACUGCCAUCUUACCCAUCCUCAUGCCAACACAUGGCUAUGCAAAUAUGUAUCCAACAACAUAAUGCUUACCAAAACUUACUUUCCGAUUAUGUAUAUGAAAUAUAACAUUCAAAUAGUUGUUCAUAAACAUGCCAUGAUCAUACUAAAAUGCAAACACGCAACAACACUCAUCAUAUCAAGAGUUCAAACAUGCUUGCCUGGUUCGGAGUAGUCGGAGUCUAACUGUGCGAGGUUUGCAGCUCCGUCACCUCCUCCGGUAUCUACGGUAUAAGAAAAGAUACGUACGCAACAUAAAUACCGUGAGUGUACAGAAAAGUGUUCCAAAUAUUUUUCAAAUAAUUAAGAUAAAAAACUAGACAAAAAUUUGAAGAGGACAGAAAAAGAAUCACUCAAAAAUUCCUUUCUGUUAAAAAGUUAUAAGGGUUUUAACCCAAGGACUCAUCUGUAAUGAAACAGAAAACUUCCAGGGGGCUUCGCAGAAAAAUACAGAAAAACGGUUCAGAGUGGAAGCGUAGUUGCCAGAGUACGUUUUCAGUAAACGAUUCGAGAAAAAACACAGGAGAGGCUGACGGGCGGGUCCCACCCAUUAGGUUUGAAUUUUCAAACGAGGGAGCCGGGGCUCGUCGGCGCCCGAGAGCCGCGGUGGUCGCCGGCGGUGAUCCACGGCGAGGCAGGGAGAUCAGAGAGUACCUCUGUGUUCAGGGCGCCAUUCCGCGUCUGUGGGAGGUGGUGGUGGUCGCCGGCGAGUACCACGUCGGCGGCGACGCUUGCUCCGAUGGACGGCGGUUCGGGUGGUCGUGGAUCUCGCCGGAGAGAGCUGCGAGGUCAAAAUUGAGGUGGGGCUUAUCUUACUAGAGGUGGUACGAGGCUACGGUCGAAAGUAGGGCGGCAGAGGGGUUCUCACCGGAGAGAAUGAUGCCGGAGCCCGAGGCGGACGGGGGUGGCCGGAGUCGAGGAGGAAAGGCCCCUCGAGGCUCGUUCAGUGGCCGGGCGGGGUCUGGUGAGAUGGUGCAGUCGUGCGGAGGCGAGAGCAAGCUCGGGGUGCUAUAUAUAGCCACCCCGAGGCGGUUGCCGAGAACGGGGUUCUCCGGCGAGGUGAUUACGGCGGCGCAGUGGUUGCACGGGACGGUUCAGAGGUUGAGCGCCGUCGUGGGUGUUCCCUGGUUCUGUUUAGAUGCUAACCGCGUCGGGAUUGGGUUUUUUAGGGGGAGCUCGACGGAACGGGGCAGCGCGGGCCCGUCGGCGGCAGGGAGCGCGCUCUGCGUGUGCCGCGCCACGACGACGAUGCUGCAUGCGUGCGCUGGCGAGGAAACGGCCACGCGGAGCCACUAGGGGGGUUGGGCGGUGCCAAACGGCGUUGCACCGCAGUUCUGCCCCCUGUCGUCCGUUACGGUGGUGCACCCGCCGCAAAGCACGGCGGCGCAGGCGGGCCAGGGCGCCACCGAUGCCAGGAACGCGCCAAGCGCUCGUGUGAAGCUCCGAACAAGAGGGAUAGGCUGCGAGCAACGUGCUAAGGGCACUGUGGACUCGUGACUGAAGUUACUGACGGAGAUCGACACUGAACUUCUGAAUUUUCUGAAAGUGAACAGUACUAGUGCAUGCAAGGUGUUCGACAGAAUGAUUCUAGUGUGUAGGGAUUUUUCCUUGAGCUGGUUUUUGGUGGAGGGGCCUCUCAUUGCAUCUAGAGGCUGCCUGAAUAUUUGUAGAAUUUUUGGAGAGGUGUAGAUAUGAAUUUCACCAAAUUUGGCAAAUCUGGUCCAAACUUGCAGUGAGUGAAUUUUGAAAUAUUUGAACAGGAGAAGAGUGGAUCAAGAUGGUUCUGGGUUGUGGGUACCAAGGACUAUCCAAGGGUGUUGAGUUGAGGUCAAAAAUCAAAAGCAUUAGGGUACUUGCUUUGCAAUCCACCUAGGCUCAAAAGAAAAGACAGAUUUAUAUUGGGAGGAGAAAUAGUUGGAAUAAAAUCCAAAAAAUGGAUUUUAUUUGUUUGGACAGAAUGUUUGGAUUGUACCAAAGUGGGAGGAGAGGUUUUGGGAAAAUUUUACCAUAGGUGGCAUGGUAAAAUUUAGAAGGGAUCAAAACCAAAUAAAAGCCCAAAACUAAAUGGGUUUUCUUUUUAAAAGAAACUAAAUCCAAGAAAAGGAUUUUUGAGAGCGCAAACUUAGAAGAUGGUUUUUAGGAAGGGUUUAAAUGACCUCCUUUCAAACCAAGCAAGGCUCUUUUGAAAAACAAACCACCAAAAAUUUUGGAGUGUCACACACCUGUGCUAUCUCGCUAGUACACAUGUCACACCAUUCCCCCUUCCCUUAUACUAGUUUUACAUCAUCAGUGGUCUCUCUACUCCACAUACACACACUCCCUCUCACACACAAAACGCGUGCACAAACACACCCAGACACGCACAGACACCCAUUUAUCUGGAUCCUCAUCUCUCCCCAUGUCCGCAUGUGUAUCUCACACACUCACUCUCUAAUUAUGUAUAUGUGUCUCCGUGUUACAUAACACAAAGCCCCAUGUACAUGUCUCUCUCUAUCCUCCACACAAAUAGACACAAAGAAUCUGUUAUCAUUGCCUCAGUCUCUAACAUAUCACACACACACAUUGUCUCUCUCUCUCUCUCUCGCAAACACGCUCAACAAGGGUUUCCCCAUGAAUAACUAACCGUCUAUUCAUCAACAGUCGUGGCAGUACGGCGAACACGAGACGUGAAAAAGAAUAAAUCUACAUGUGCUUAGACCACCUAGUAUGCCUACUAGGACUAGAGCAAACCAAAAAGCGCGCCGCCGUCACCCCCUCCUUAUCGGCGACGGGAAAAUCUUUGUUUUACACAGUCGAGAAGUCAUUGUGCUAAGGCCCCACAUGCCGAGGCGUUGAAUAGAAUGUAGAUGCUAGUUUACGGAAGCAAGUAUUGAUAAUACAUUUGUAUCUCCAUACUUAUAUUUCUUCUCUUAUAAAAAACCGAGUUGGUGAUGAUGGUACGUGUGCCAUCUUGCAAUAUAGACCGUUCGAUCUAUAUCUGACGGAUGGAAAUUAAACUAAAAGAUACCUGCACCCCUCUCCACAUUUGUAGACAAGGCCUUCCCUCGUUCAUCCUUAUCUCUAACAAACCUCAUCGUUGAGAAAUUAAGAAAGGAAGCCUCUGGAACAAACUGUCCUGGUGGCCGCUGCCGACGUCGUCAAUCCCCAUGCCUUCGCUCAGUCCAACCACCAAUCACCACCACACCCCACUCCUCUUCACCUUAUCUCAUAUUUCUCGAGAUAUCAUUAGUUUUUACACAUGGGAUUACUCUCGCAAGGGUCAAUCACAACAAGUGUUUUAUAAAAAAAUGCAUCUUGAUGUUCCGUGCAAUGCACGGAUCUUGCUAGUACUCCUACACAAGACUAAGUUGGUGAUGAUGGUGUGUCUGCCAUCCGUCGUUUCUGACCAUUAGAUCUACAUCUAACGACUGUGAGGUAAGUUGUUGCCUUUUCUCACUAACAUCCCACUUGUCUACCAAUUUGCAGAAAAACCCAUAAUUAGUAUCUUAAAACCAACCACAUCCCUCCCUGACCUCACCAAAACAGCCCAAGGAAUAUAUUCAAUUGAAAUAUAAUAUAUCUCUAGUGACAUAUGUAUAUCAAAAUUAGAGUGUUUUGUAUCAAGUUUGUGAAUAAGUAUUAUUCUAAUUAUGAUUCGUUGCAACGGACAUGAACAUUGCUAGUAUUUCCAACCAUGCAUUUUUCCCUAGUAUUCCAUAGUUUCGAGUUUUCCAUCAAGAUAUUAGUCACUCAUGGUUGAUAUUUAGUUUCAAUCAUGUACACAAAUGCACUAUGUAACUAGCCUUGCUUAUUGGCUUCCAAAGCUUAACUUUCACUCCUACUUACAAUAUGUAGAGUAUUUAACAAAAAAACUACUACUUUCAACCAGCCCUAGGAAGAAUCUAUUGUACAAAAAAUAGCAAAAACAUACCCAAAAAUUCUUAAUCCACGCCAAAAACUACUACCUAGUACUCCUACCGAUUAGGUUUGUUUAAACCCAUUUAUGACAGGGUUGGCCCACACGUCUGUGCUAACGAGGCAGCUUAAACCAACACAUUUUGUUUGACCGUUGACACGAGGGACCCACAUAUGACCUUCUAUCCUAUUAUUCCCCCUCAAAUCAUUAUUUUUCCUGAACAUUACUUCAAACAAUACUGAUGCGUGUUCGUCGGUGGCGCCGGUGAUGAGCGAGUUGGCCGCCGCUCCACCGGACGGGCCGGACGCCGUGCUGGCCUCCGCACGGUUUGGCAGGCUGGCCCGAGCGUGACUCACGAGUGAGAAAGCCGCCGCACUGGCCUUUGCUCGAGCCAUAUGGCUGGCCUUAGCGCGGCGCGAGCGAGCAAGCCGCCGCGCUACCGUGCCAAUCUAGCUAGCAAACCUUGCAGACAAGCAGCUAGACGGAGCUAUCUUGGCUAGCUAGCGGCCGCGAUCGCUGGACGGAGCUGGCAUCCGGGCUGCCGCAACAUGGGCUCCGCACUGCCGGCGGUUUUGACCUCGCCUUCUGCCGGCGACGGUAGCUGCAUCCCAUGGCCGAGGAUUACUAGGUGGACGGGCCGGAGGUAGGAGGUCACUCAGAGAUUUUUGUGCAGACUGACAUGUAGGUCCCACAAGUCAUAAUGCCCGGUCGAGUAGAAGGCAUUGACUUAAUGGGAGACAUGGGCCCUGUCAGAGGUUCGAGUUAGAUUCUAACCCUGAACUAACUCUAAUCAAAGUGGUGUAUGGAUGGCAGGGUUAGAUUGACAACAAAUGUAUCCAAACAGGGCCAUGGGUUGAAACGUGCAUAUAACGACACUUUGUAGAGUAGUCGUUUCUUGGUAGGGCUGGUUGGUAAGAGCAUGUACAAUGGUUGAUAAGGUAGUCUUAUCUUAAGUCUGCCACGUAUGCAAGUGGUAGUAGUUUCUUGGCAUUUUAGUGGUUUCUUGCAUUAUUAGGGGUUUCUUGUAAGGAACAAUGUACGUACUACUAGCGACAAAAGGCGAUUCUAGGUUGCUUUGUACUCCAACGAGUACUACUAGUGGUCGCGGGAGUGUAUACCUCAUUUUGUGGGUUCGAUGCCGGCCGAACGCACGACGGCCUUUAAAAAAAGUACUACUACACUUCGUUGCGAGCCAAUAUUUUACACGGGUAGUUUGAGUUUUGAAGUCAAAGGACGUGCGGCCACACAAUCUGGGUGCACUGGAUAGCCUAGCCAUGUGAACGGGUUUUCCUUCCCAGCAUCCCGUGGCUCGCGUGUUCGCCCUAGCCGCACCUCGCUUGCAGCUUCCUUAUUAGCUAGUAGCAUAUUUAAACUAGCGCCUCCCAAUUAAGCCCGAGGAGCCGGAAAAGCCUGGCGGGGCAUUGGGAACUGUGCAAUAUGGCUCUGUAUGUAAAGUGCUCUACUACUACUCUCUAGCUUGUGGCGUUGCACGCAUGGACUUCACUCCAUUAUCGGCUCUACUAUAAAAGAAAUUCCUCUUGACGUGUUUUUUUGAAACGGAGGCAAAAGCUUUGCUUCAUCUCAUUCAUAAAGAAGGAACUACUAACAAAGUUCGACGAUAUCCAUUACACCUCCACAAAUGGAAGUGAAAAGCCUAGUCUCGCUGUAUCAAAUAACUCAAAUGUUCUGCCCCCGCAGUAACCGUCGCUGAUAAAUAGGCUGAUAGUGUGUGCGUGAGAGCAGCGGCUGAGUAGGGCAGCUACGUGAGAGGAGCGGCUGAAUAGAGCACUGAGAGUACCGACUAGUCCACUACGCAGGUGUACUUUCCCUGCAUUGAUAGUACAGCGAUGGUUCUAGAGAACAGUAGUACCCUCCACUUCCAACUAUAGCUCCUUGGCCCUGAGAUUCAAGAGUUCAAAAUUGGUGCACUAUACUAGACUAGACUAGAAGUACAGUACAUCGUACUACUAGUUGAGAAAUAGUAGUACUAGUACUGCUACAUUACAAGUAUGUACUCCUCCAUCACAUAAUGAAAGACGUUUUUCGACACUAGUUGGCGUGUACAAAAAAUGGCAAAAACAUACCCAAAGUUUCUUAAUCCACGCCAAAAACUACUACCUAGUGCCAAAAAUUUCUUACUAGUGCUAUUAUUUAUAGUAUAAUGCAAUCAUAUAACGUUCCAUAAUGCUAGUACUAGUAGUAAAUAAUAGCCUCACCCCUUCACUGAGGAACGAUCUACAAUUGGAAGGGACGAGGCAGUUCCCCUCCUCGCCAGUUCCCCUCCCCCCGAAGAGAAGGCAGUUCGUCGCUGCUCCCAUGGAUUCGCCAGGCGGUUCUCCUCCUCCUCGGGGCUGGGAGACCUUGGACGACGAUCCUCUGGGAGAAAUCGCAUGCUGCUCUGACGUCCUCACCGCUGCAAGACUUGGUGCUUCCUGCACCAACUCUUUCAAGACGCUGCUUAAACAGGCUUGGGAAAUGGCCAUGCUUGUUGGUCUUCCAUGCAUCCUCGAGGAGAAGGUUCUUCUAUGGGACAAUCCUUCAAACAGUCCACCGCUCCCUGGCCAUGGUUGCACGUUGACUCCGCUAGAGUUGCCGACGUUGAGAGGUAGUCGGAUUUUGUUCGAUGAGUAGGUCAGUAAUGGAGUUUGAUCAUGUAGUACUUAGUUAUUCCAUUUCCAUCCCAUAAUUUCUCUGCUGCCCACCGUCUUACAUAUAGGUCUAGGUCGGUGCUAACGAAGAUUGGCUUGCAUACCUCCGGCCGGAUACCACCAUCAUUUUGCACAACAUCCACAGCAGUGCGGCCGUUCUGGUAGACCCCUUCUCCACCAUUGGGGUCGGCCUUCCGGACUGGCUGGGCUUGAAUACGUACGAUGAUGCCUACAUGAGAUUGAAGAAGAUAGCAAUUGCGGACCCUCCGACAAAGUGACACGGCUACGACGAUUACUAUCUCAUCGCGGUGUUCGACAUAAGGAUUGCCAUCAAUGCAAGAGGUAGUAACGGCAGAGGCUGGCGCAUGUUGGCGGCGGCAGAUUUGUACCCCUACAUGUUCGAAGACGCCGUGCACCGUCUAGGCCGCAUCUUCGCGGUGACAAGCCAGGGGACUUGUUUCAUCUGGUUGCUAUCCUACGGUACAGGAGAUUACAAACGGAAUGCACAAACCAUCAUUUGCAUCCCUAAUGGUACUCCAUUAUUUUGCAAGGACCAAUCAUCCCCCGAUCAAAAUAAGAUCGCCGAUCCUGGAUGUGCAUUUGCAUCCGCGAUUCGGUCUAACCUGGAACCUUGUAGCUCACUUUGGCAUAUUGGGAUCAACUAUCUUAGCAGUCGUUACCCAUGGUACCACUGAUGUGCAACAUGGUCACACAAUCUACCACGAUCGGACCGUCACCAUCUACCCAAGUAUUCCAUUUUUUAACCAUAUCGCCUUCUCUUUCAUUGUUGUACUAGUAGUAUACUUAGUAGUAGUACUAGUAGGAGUACUUUUUACCUUGGAGGACGCAUAUAGCUAGCUAGGCCCUUGAACACUUGAACCCACUAGCUGCCACCAUUUUUGUUUUUCCAUGUCUUACUAUCUCAUCCAUGUAGCCAAGAGAGGCUAUAUAUAAUAAGCCGGUUAUUUUACUUCCUCUAUACCAGAAUAGUAAUAUUUGCUGCACAGUAUUACUGGCCGCCAUAUUUGAGCACAACAUUAUUAUGCAUGGACCUUGACUAUGUAUGUCACCAUGUGUCCAGAUCUGGGAUGCCGCGUGUACUAGAUGAACGGCGCCGAGUUCAACCCCCAUUAUGCUACGUGGGUGCCGAGGAACACUCUUGGAGAGUACUCGCUUUUCAUCGGGGACAGCUACCCCAUUGUGAAGCGGAUGCCACCUUCCGUGCAUGACACGGAAGGCCUGCCGUUCAUGAAGCAUGGUUGUGUCUUCAGUGCGCACCGCCGGAUGAACGACAUGAUGGGACACGCUAUCCCUGAUUUAUGCCGCUUCAGCUUGGAUGAGUCUCCAUCGUGUGGAACCGGACUAGAAAACCGCGACAAUGAUUCCCGUUGCCCACCGCUAUGGAUCGUGCCAUCCAUGAAGAACACCUGGGACUGGAACCAGGAGGAGGACAUGUAGCCCAUCUAUAACGUGUAAGUGGAGUACGGUAAUUGUGAGCGGUAGCGCUGUGAAUAUAUGUAGACUAGUCGUGCACAAAUUUAUCACAUGAAUUGGAGAUGAACUUGUGUGGCAUACUGGCAUUUGUCCUUUGGAUUUUAUUACUAGUAAAUGUGUUAUGUGUACGUGCAACUUGUGUGGUUGUUGCACGGACCCCAACACGCUCUUUGAGAAAAAAAGGUGGCACAACUUUGGAUAUACGUGACAUGGCGGCAUCAUACAGUAGCAUCAUUCACUAUAGUUGUAGUACACUCCUACUAGGACGACAACUCCUAUAAAACCUUGUGCUUGGCUCUUUGUCUCUUCGGGAGGUUCAACAGUUCGUACUCGUGUGAACCUUGCACUUGGCUCUUCGCCUCUUCCGAAGGUCCAACAAUGAUGAUACUACAGUAAAAUAUGCUUCUAGCAAUCUGACACCGAUUGAACUGCUGCACGUCCACCGCGAGGGAGAGGGAGAGGUAGAGGGAGAGGGAGAGGGAGAGGGCGUUGUAGUCAAAAGACUCAAAACCCUCUCCCCGUCCUUCGAACCACCGCGUGCGUGGGCGAGGGAGAGGCGUAGUAAGCAAGCUUCUCCUCGUUCAGCGAGUUGACAGGACACAUCAAAGUAGUAUGCCAGUACUAGUACUAGUAGUCCAUAUUGCGUCGUUUCCGAUUAAUAUGGCUUAAUUUGAAAUGAGAAAAAUACACUGGCAGUCAACGUAUGUAACAAUACGCUCUUUACGGUCACUAUAUAUAGUUUUGCGGUGAUUAUACGAUCACUAGCUCAUCGUAGAGCACAGUAUUGCACCCUACUGACCGGCCACAAAGUCGACAUGGCACUUUGUUGACUGGUUAAAUUGUCACCUGGUUUCUGGGUCCCACCUAUCAGUUGGCAGAGCAAAGAAAUCAGUUAAACAAAACUUUACGCAGGCGCGACACGAGUCCAACCCUUGCGCGUGAACCACCCUGGCUGUGUAUGUGAGUGCAUGCAUGUGUACUCCCUCGGUCUUCUAACAAAGAGUGUACAUCGGCUAUAAAACAAAGAGUGUAGUGCAUGAUGUACAUCUACACUUCCAAUGUAUUUAGCAUUUAAUAUAAAUCGAUAUUGAUUGACUAAUGCACCAACUUGUGCUGCAGGUAUAGGCUACAUGUCUAUCCUUAAUGACAGCAUGGAACAACCUUCAUUUAAUCUUCUUCUCUCAAUGGUCGCAUGCACACAUAAGUCUGGUACUUUUGGGCGUUAAUUAUGCCCUGGUCAAUGUGUAAAUCUCUAAAUGUACAGUCUUUCACGGACGUAGGGAGUAGGUUGAGCACUUGAGCGUGAGCGUGUGUGUUGCAUCAUGUGCUGUGUGCCGCAUGGGUGCGUGAGUGUUGCGUGCGUCCAUGUGUACGUGUGAGUGUUGCAUGUUGCAUGCAUGCAUGCAUGCAUGGGGCUUACUCCCUCCCAUUAACAUGUUCAUAUUUCAAGCUUCCUCUGGUCCCUCCAUAUGGUGAUACUCCCUCUGUUCCCAAAUACGGAGUAAAAGCCUCCCUGUGUUCCCAAAUACGGAGUAUUUGUCUUUCUACAGAUUUCAACAAGUGAUUAGGUACGGAGCAAAAUGAGUUAAGUGAGCGUAGAGGCAUAGGGAUAAUGUAGAAAGGAAGUCCUGGCGAUCCAUUAUUCCUCAUCUCGGUUAGAGAGAACUAUUCAACUAGUCUUCGCUGUGAAGUUACAAUACACGCUGCAGCAGAUGGGACACGUAAUUAAUAAGCUGAACCAGCGUGUUGGUGUUACUAAAUCAGCCUUACCCAGUACUGCCAUCAUGUUUGCCAGUAGAGCAUGCUUCCGCAAAUACGCUUACGCACCUCUGUCCUCCAUUAACUGACAUAUGGGCCCUCUUGUGUUAGACCCACACGUCAUCGGUGUAACUAUUUACACUCCGAAGGACAGUAUAUCAUGGUAGUAGUACUUGUAGAAUUGAGAUUUAAUGCACUUUCUUCCCCGUCUUCCACUCUUCUUCCUCCUCUCUUCUUAUUCCUCCUCUCUUCCCCAUCGUUGGAUGCACACCAUUUACCCCCGCUCACUACUCGCCCACCCGCGCCAUCUUCCUUGGUAGCUCGCGCGUACCAUACCCCCCCGCUCACUGCUCGGCCACACGAGGAGAAGCUUCUUCGCUCGCCCGCCCGAAUCCACUUCCCCGCUGGCUCGCAGGCACCGAAAACCCCAAUGGAAGAACCGACUGACACUCAGAGCCGCGAUUGGAAUUCCCUCCCCGAUGUUCUCUUGGAGAAGAUCUGUAGUCAUAUGGACCUACUCAGCACCGUCCGUCUGGCCGCAUGCUCGGUGUCUUUGUACCGUCUACUCGUCUGCAACCGGACGGCUCUUUUCAAGACACCCUGCUUGCUGAUGCCCGAUCCUCGCAGGUGGCCCAAACACCGACUUGACGAUCCUACGGAGGUUGCCGUGGUGACCCUCGACAUGCUAUCACUACCCGUCCACCUGUCCUUCAUGCGCGACCACUACUGGGUGGGCAUGAAGGCCAACUGGAUUGUCCUCAUCCACCACUCCGGUAGUCCGUGACGUCUCGUGGAUAUCUACACCCAGCGAGAGAUCACCCUUCCAUCGUUGGAUACCGCCUCCAUCGAGCCUCGCGGCCCGCCGGACGCUCCUGCCUACUACGCACGAGAUAGGUCAAGCUUUUGGCUCGACCUCUGUUUGCAGAAAGUUGUAAUCUGCGAAGUGCCCACACUAUCAGAAGACUACAUGGAUUACAAGCUCAUUGCCUUGUUCAACAUAGGAUUAAUCUAUCUGGAAUCCGGCCGCCAUACAUGGUUAUGGCUCAUCAUCAAUCCUUUUGAGGCAACAUUUCUGUCUGAUGCUAUAGUGCAUGAUGACAUCGUUUACCCGGUCGACGCAUAGAUUGGCUGCCUAUACUGGUGGAAUCUAUCAUCGUGUAAUUCUUCUAUCUCAUCUCAUCUUUACCUUAUAUAUACGACUGCCUGUUAAUUUGUUACAAAUUUAGUAUACAUAGCAUGUCUAUAACCACAUCAUUUCUAUAUGUGCCUCUCAUUUCCUAGAUUUUUAUGACCACACAUGUUAUUGUUAGAGUUGAUAUGAGAACAAUUGGCAUCUAAUGAUUGUUAGAAUACAUAUUAUGAGCAUAACAUCAUGAUUGCUAUAUGUUACUCUCGUUUACAAGAUUUUUAUAACAACGCAUGUUAUUGCUUAGAGUUGAUAUGAGAACAGUAGUAGUAAGUGAUAUGGUAGAAUAUGAGUAGGUGCUGUCAUAGCUGUUUUCCGCUCAUUGUUACAUGAUGUUUGAACCAUGACAUAUUGCUAGAAUAUGAAAGCCAUUGGCUUAUUUUUUUAACUUGGGGUAUGAUUAUGACCACGACAUUGCAAUUCUCUGUCUAUGAUACGUGUCACUGUUAUAAUAAUCUUAAUUCCACACAUACUCUGAGCAAGAUUGUUUCUUUUUGUCCUGGUCUCCAAUUUGAAUUGUUGCAGCAGACGCAAAUGCGCUGGCCUUCAUGAUUCCAGGACCUGGAAUCAUACCAGCCAAUGGGUGGUGGUUUAUCGCUCGUUCAGCUGACGGCGGUCAUUUGAUGCUCAUUCGCACGUACCAAAUUAACCAAACCAUUACAUCAAACCACAUGCAGUACAAUGCAUGGGGCGUUCGUGACAUUGAUGGCUAUGGCUGCUUCAUGUUCGAGAAAGAUCCCAGCUCCGUUGGGCCAGGCGUAUUCAACUGGAGGCGGGUUUACAGCCUCGGCAACCACUCCUUGUUCCUCGAGCUCAAUUGUCCGAUCAUCCAACCAAUCAUCGAUCAUACCACCGGCGAUGAUUAUCGUGCUAUGCAACUUCCAUUCGUGAGGUGGGAUUGUGUUUACACAUCAUACCAUGGGUCUCAUGAAUCACCAUAUCCAGAGAUUCGUCGACAUAGCUUGUUGCCAGAUAAUCUUCUGUGUGUGAAAGGCAUCAAGCUUCCAUGCAAUGGAUGGCUUUUGCAAACCCGACAUGCGGCGAUGUGGUUCAUGCCAACAACAAAUAUGCACAACUUGAUUUGUUCUGAUAUCUAGACUGAGCCAUGUAUUCUGCUGCUGUAGCACGACCCUCUUUUGUUGGUUAUUAUGUACUGUUGUUAGUUUGAAGCACUCCUCUGGUUUGAAGGAUAGGUACCUUCCUGGGAUCAAGUGCAUCCUAACUCACCUGCAUAGGAUGUAUUGAUAAUGAUGAUGGGGAUGCUGUGCAGAAGCCACAUAUAUAUAUAUAUAUAUAUAUAUAUAAUACUUGUUAGUUAAACCUAUGUAUAAAUUAUGACUAGUAAGUAGUACAGUAGUCGUACUAGUAUAUGUCAGUCAAAUUAUUCAUCAUUUCCACACAUUGAAUUGCCGUGACAACACGUUGCGUGUGAGGUGACACAAGAAUCCUGGCGGCGUGUUCGGGUAUUCUGGACUUCAGAUUUGGAGUACCACUUAUCUGUCGAAAUCUUUCAUCAUUCACUUAAAACAGUCGAUUGAUCAGACAUUAAGUACCAUAUAACUGGAAUUACCGAUGCAAGUCAAGGAAGGAUUGACCGGUGCUGCCGGCUGGCGUCAAGUUCGGUCAGACGGAUCCGGAGCUGAUGGAGCACCUUGAGGCCAAAGUGAGUGCUGACAGUGCGAGAUUUCAGUCUCUAAUCGAUUUGUUCAUACCAACCAUCGACAGCGAGCAUGACAUAUGCUACACCCAACCUGAUAAACUUGCAGGUAAGACACCGAUCGGCCGUCUACUUUCACAAACAUAUUCCUUUGUUUAUAGCUCUAUUUUUCUUUUUAGACGCGGACCUAGUGAAGCAAUUACAAUUUGACAGUUAAUAAAAAGUGAAACAAGUGACUGCAACAUGCCAAAGAUGUUAUGAAAAUGCAACUACGUACACUAAAACCUGUAUUCCACAAUACUGUAGGUAUCACACUGAGUGGCAUAAGGAAGCAUUUCUUCCAGCGCAAUUUCAGGGCAUUUAAAAGGGGCACGUGGACGCGUCGCAAGAUACAGUCGGAGUGCGGCAUGCAUGCGAUGUGGCACAAGACCGGCAAUACCUUGCCGGUGAUGGUCAACGGCCGACAGACGGGCAGCAAAAAAGGUUCUGGUGCUGCACACCAACAAGAACUUCGACCAGCAGAGGACCAACUGGGUGAUGCACCAGUACCACCUCAGGCACUUGGAGCAAGAGAAGGAGCGGGAGCCGAUCCUCUGCAAGAUUUUCUACCAGACGAACACUAGGGCCAGGAGUAAAAAGAUUAUAAGUUAGUUUGUUAUUGGUAGUUGUACUACCUUGUCGUCCACAAGUUGGUAUUGUUGUUAACGACCUUUUGGUACGAACUCGCAUUUGCUUCCAACCAUCAUGCCGAGGGUCGACGUGGAUAUAAAGCAAUCAUUUGUUUCGAAACGAAUUUUCAGGCACCUAAUUUUUAUUUGAUGGGUAGCAUAAGCACCUGCCGUUCGAAUUCCCAGUUCUCCAAUUUUUUUGAAACAAGUGCAUGCACUUAUUAUCACGAUGAAAAAACAAUAUCCCUGCUGCAUCCCGGUUAUCAGUAUGUACUUGCAGAAUUCUCUCAUUUAUUGAGCACGUAUAUUGUUUUUUCAGGUCGAGCAAGUUUCAACUGGGCUGUAGACUGCCCAGGGUUGGUUUUGUUUUUAACAGGCCCGGCCCAUGACGACAACGGGGCACAAAGAUCCAGCAGGUAUCUACUGGACUCUGGCCCACCAGCAUUAGUUAUAUUUUGUCUUACAACAUCCGCAGGAGGGUUUUUUCCUGAAUCAAACAAAUAGCCCAGUUCUAUUUUCCUCUUGAAACGCAUGUCCUACAUCCGUUUUCUAAUCUCUACCUAUAGUUUUACUAGUUCAUAUACACGUAUCAUUACAUUGUUUUUUGUUGUUUUUCCCACCUAGCGCUGAUUUACAUCCUUAUUUUUGUAGUUUUUCCCCACCCAGCGCUGAUUUUUUACACUGGUUUUCCCAUAAACCAACUCAAUUGUCCCACGUCUUAUUUGCUUACAAAAACAAAAUGAUUUUUUUGGCAAAUCAAUAAGUUCUUAAAAAAUGUUUAUCAUUUUGGGAGUACAACAGUUCGGACUCCAGCGAAAUAUGAAAAAUAAGAUUGAACUUUUUGACCGUGGUCUUGGGCAGAAAAUGGGCUCUAAUAAGUUACUUAAGAAUUAGCAAAUGGGCUACAAAUUAUAAAAAAUAGCAAAUGGGCUUUAGGUUGUCUGCCGCAGAUUUGGAGACUGACUUGUGGGCCUACUAAGUUCAUGCGUACACAAGGUCUCUCAAAAAAGAAACUUAGUCAACAAUCGACUCUACCAGCGUCAGACCAUUAGAUGUCAAUCUAACGGCAAUCGUGCUUCUUUAGUCUCUGAUCUUCCUACCCAAGCCGCCCAAACCAGCGCCAUCGGAACCGCCUGCUCCCGCCUCACGUGGUCGGCUGUGCUGCCGGGCAGGCCUCACGGCCCCAUCAUACUCGCAUCCCUAGCCUGUCUGUCCCUUUACUCACCCACACCUCCUGUUAUUUUCCGGCAACGGCAGCCGAACCAGUCAACCCUUGUACUCUCCACCGCGUGGGCAGCCACUCACGUGUCUUCCACGACUCCGUGUCGUUCCCUUCAAAGGCCUUGCCGUCGUCCACCGCCCUGGUGCUCUCGGCACGGUGUGGUCAAAUAUGUCCAUCCAACGGCCGUAGUGCUUCUUCAACCUCUGGUCUAGUCUUUUUGCUCGAGCCGCCCAAAGCAGCGCCGGUCGUGCCGCAUGCUCCUGCCUCCCGUGGCCGGCUGGGCUGCCGCGAAGGCCUCACCGCCCCCAUACUACUCACACCGCUGGCGAGGCCAUCCCUCCACUCACCCGCUCCCCCUGUUAUUCUGCAGCGACGGUAGCCUCACAACGCAGCCGAACCAGUGAACCCUCGUACUCCUCUCCGCGUGGGCAUCCACUGUCGCGUCUUCCCCAGCUCCAUGUCAUCCCCAUCCUAGGCCUCGCCGUCAUCCACCGCCGUGGUGCUCUCGGCGCGGCAUGGUCAAUGUGGUCAAUGACCGACUUCCAUCGGAAGAGUACUGUACGUGGAGAGGCUGGCAGCUGGGUCCACCGCAGCCGCAAGGAAGUGCCUCCUUAUUACACGCAAAAUAAUUAUUCCUCCACCUGACAGCAGGGACCGACCGGACGGGCCACCAGUAUUUCGCGAAAAAAAACAUUUCCCCCUGACUGCUGGGACCCACUGGACGGGCCACUGUAUUUUUACGAAAAAAUGUUUCCCCCUGACUGCUGGGACCCACCGGACGGGCCACCGUAUUUCACAAAAAAACAUUCCCCCCACUGUCAGCUCGGACCCACCGAACUGCCUCCUUAAUACGCAUAAAAAAAUGAAUACCCCCUGCUAGCUGGGACCCACCUUGGUGGGAGGCUGACAUGUGGGCCUACUAAGUUGACUGGGAGGGAGGCCUUUGUCAACUUUAGUCAAUAUAUGAACGAUCCUAGAUCCAGUGACCAUACGAUGUCCAUCCAACGGCCGUAGUGCUUCUUCAACCUCUGGUCUUCUUGCUCCAGCCACCCAAAGCAGCGCCAAUCGUGCCGCCUUCUCCUGCCGCCCGUGGCUGGCUGUGAUGCCGCGGAGGCCUCACCGCCCCCUACUACUCCCACCGCUGGCCAGGCCCCUGUUAUUCUGCGGCGACGGCAGCCUCACACCGCAGCCGAACGAGUGAACCCUCAUACUCCUCUAUGCAUGGGCAUCCACUGCCGCCUCUUCCCCGGCUCCGCGUCGUCCCCUUCCUAGGCCUCGCCUCGUCCACCGCCCUGGUGCUCUCGGCGCGGCGUGGUCAACGUGGUCAAGGAACGGCUUCCAUCGGACGUGGAUUGUACGUGGAGAGGCUGAUAGCUGGGUCCACGGGCGCAGCAAGGAAGUGCCUCCUUAUUACAUGCAAAAUAAUUAUUCCUCCACCUGACAGCAGGGACCCACCGAACGGGCCACCGUAUUUCAUGAAAAAAACGUUUCCCCCUGACUGCUGGGACCCACCAGCUACAUCUUCGCACGCAAGGAAGUGUGUCCGGGCAAAAAAAAACGAUUCGCCCCCCUGACUGCUGAGACCCACCACCUACAUCUUCGCACGCAAGGAAGUGUCUGACAGUCGGGACCCACCUGGUCGAAGCGUACGUAGUGUUGUCAUUCUGGUCGCGAACGUGUACGUACGUACUGGUGGAUGUAGAGGCGUGCACGUGUCGUAGUAGAGGCGCGCACGUAGCAUGUACACGUACGUACAACGGCCAGGGUGCAAGAAAGAAAAUACGGCCACAUACAUACAUACGGGCGGGGUCUCGAAUGCCUACUCGCGCAUAUAUACAUACGGCCAGGGCUCGUGUAUAUGGCUGAGCCGGAACGGAGAAACAGCGUCGUCGUCGUGUUCAUGGGGAGCCAACCGGCUGGGUCGGAACGGAAUGCAUCGUCGUGUUCAUCGGGAGGGCAUGGACGAAACAGGCGAUGGAAACGAGGCCUGGCGUACCGCAGAACGGAGGAAACGGCCUUGUGUUCGACCGGCCACGUUCGAAACGGGAUCCUGUUCAUCGGGAGGGGUGUGGCGUACCGCAAAAUGGAGGAAACGGACCUCCUACGGUCGAAACGGGGGUCCUGUUGAUCGGGAGGGGUGUGGCGUACCGCAAAACGGACGAAAUAGACUUUUGUUGGAGCGCUACGGUCAAAACAAGGGUCCUGUUGAUCAGGAGGGGUGUGGCGUACCGCAAAACGGACGAAACGGACUUGUGUUGGAGCGCUACGGUCGAAACGGGGGUCAUGUUCAUCGGGAGGGGUGUAGCGUUGUUGACACCAGAUUUUGGCACGGUCAAGAACUUAAUUAAUAUGUCCUCAAAUGGAGAAGUGAUCUACAUAAAAAAGUUCCGUAUUGUCGAUAUAAACAUAUUUAAAGUUUGGGUCAUCGCCAUCCGAUCUCAUCUCAAAGGCCGAAGUUGUGUUCGAAAUACUGAGAUUUUGUAUUCAAAACACUAUUCGGCUCAUUACGCCUUCAAGACAGCCUCGUAUGAAAAAAUGAUCUACACGGGUUGUCUUCGUCUCGUCGAAACGAUCAAUUUUGAUAUAAAAGUCGUCCCAAUCCGAGUUCAUAUGCAAAAGUUAGAGCUAUCGGAGUGCAGCCCUGUUAUGAGGCAUGAUGUGGCGCGCCCCACCAGACCUAUGUGUGAUGGGUAGCCCGAGGGAAAGUGUGUUUUACAUCACAGUUCGUUUUGUGCGAGCAAUUUGACCUUUGAGAUGAUCUCUGAUCAAAACAUGUUCAACAGAAUAGUUUUUCGUCUCGUCGAAACGGUCAAGAUUGCUUUUGGACUCGCUUUCAUCAGAGCUCGUUUACUGCCUCAAACAUGACCCGCAAGGUGCAGCCAUGUUGUAAACCGAACCGUUUUGGAAAGUUUGAUUUCGAGUUGGACCCAAACUAGGGUUUUGGACGAGAAUCCAAGCAUUUUCCUUGCACGGGAAGUCCAUCCGCCUCUUAUAUACCUAAGGGGUGACGGCCGAUUGAACAACAACACACAAUCGCAAACACAUCUAUAGCCUUUUCAUCUACGUCUUGUCCCUCCCUCGUUCUUGCUCCCUUGUCCUUCGUUGUUCCUCGUGUUGGAGCUGCGAACCGUGAGGCUCUAGGGGUGGCUUGACCGACCUAUGGUAGCCCAUAGUCGCUGCACUCCCCGACAGGGUCCCUCCCGGGAGAGUAGGGUUUCGGGUCCUCAAAAGCUCUCGCCGGUCGACAUGCGAAUCGCGCUUCCAGUGAGACUCCUUCGACGUGAGCUACGGUGCAUCACCCCCGGCGUCGAGGGUACACGUGAUGUGUUCGUGUGCGAACACACUUUUUGGCGACUCCGCUGGGGAAAAGAUCAAUCAUCAUCAUCAUCCAUCAUGUCUGGCAACGACAAGAUCCCCAAGCCCUUGGAAAUCGACGCUGAUAACAUAAUCAAGCCCAAUUUUGAGGAGUUAUCGGAGGAACAUCGCCAACCUUAUGAGGAGUACAAGAAGGCACGUGAAGACAAGGAGAUGCAGGAGUUCCUUGCUAAGUUCAAAAAGGAUCGUCAAGGCAAUAUCACUCCGGUUGGAGAAAUCAAGUUUCCUCCUCUUCAUGAUGAACAUGUUAAACCCUCCGUAAGUAAUACCUUCUCUCCUGAGGUAUGGGCUGAAAUUGAUAGCCGCAUUACUGAUAGCAAUAAUCUUUUAUACCAAAUUUUCUUGGAAAAUAGUAAUGCUAAAAAUAGUGUGCCUCAAUCAUCUAGUGGUAAUGUUGGUGUGCCUGUUACCGCAGAAAUCCCUAGUCCAACUUUACCUAUUUCAUCGGCGCCCCCCCCCCCCACCUUGCCGAUGAAUUUUUAUCCUAGCCCCACAAAUCAAAUUGUUGCUACACCCAUUAAUCCUAUCAUUCGGUGGUGACGCCGAACCAAACCCUACCUGCAAGAACAAACACUAUUAGAUCACUGCCGAAUUACAAUUCGGCAUGCAUGCCACAAUUCACACCUGCAACUACUAACCCUACUCCUCCUAUGCUACCGCCACAAGCUUCAUCGUCCACCGUGGAUGAUGGUCUAGCUAAUCUUAGAGGGGAGAUGGCUAAGAUGCUCCGAGAGUAUUUUGGAGUUGAGUUACCAAGGAACAGUAUUAACCAAAAGCCAUAUCUAGAAUACUUUGAUGCAAUUCAAUGCCCUCUGGGAUAUAAAAUUCCAGAUUUUGUUAAGUUUCAUGGAGAGGCCACAAAAACCACCUGGGAUCAUGUUAGUCAGUACUUGGCACAAUUAGGUGAGGCAAGUUCACGAGAUGAGUGGAGAGUACGUUAUUUUCCUUUAUCUUUAACCGGUACUGCUUUCUCGUGGUUUUCUGCGUUACCACCUGGUUCUAUUACUACAUGGUUUCACUUGGAACAAAAGUUUCAUGAUCACUUCUUACAUCGGUUAAGAAAAAGUAUGAUGAAUCGGUCUCCGAUUAUGUCAAACGAUUUAGGGAUACAAAAAAAACGGUGUUAUAGUUUGGUGAUAACCGAGAGAGAUUUGGCUGAUAUUGUGCUUUGUGGUUUGAGAACUCACAUUAGAGAAAGGCUAGAAGGAUACGAGUUUUUAAAUAUCAACCAAGUCAUUCAAAGGGCUUUGGCUCAAGAAGGCCAAAGCAAAGAUCUUAAAAAGGUGCAUAGAUAUAAAACUGAUCAUCCUCAAAUGAAUAUGGUUGAGUAUGAUAAUGACCACUCGGACGAUGAGGGUGAUAUUUAUGCUGCUGAAUUUGUUUGGCCAUCUAAGGCCAAACCAUUUACUUGCAAUGAUUUAAACCCGAUUCAUAAGAAUCGUGAUGAAGAUAUGAAAUUUACUUUCAACAUUGCUAAGUGUGAUAGAAUAUUUGAUGCUUUGUUGCAAACCAAGAUUAUUAGAAUAUCUCAUACUUUACCGCCGCUCAAAGAGCUGAAACGGCGUGCUUAUUGCAAGUAUCAUAAUUCUUUUUCUCAUGCUACUAACGAUUGUAAUGUUUUUCGACGACAGAUACAAUCGACCAUUAAUGAUGGAAGAUUGAAUUUUUCUGAGAUGCAAGUUGAUAAGCAGCCUUUCCCAAUGAACACCAUGGAUUUGGAGGGGAAGAAGAUGUUAAUUCGGCCCAACAUAGCCGAAUCAUCUAAUAAAAAUAAUAUUGUCAUUGGUGAGCCCAGGAAAAAUGAGGAGAGCAACAAGGUCUUGGGGAGACAAGUUGUGCUUGACAAGCAGCCCGGUGGCAAGGAGGUAAUCAAGAUCACCAUCAAGAAUCCUACACUCAAGGGGCAACCACAAGUGCAAGAGAACACUCAUGUCAAAUUUGUUAGGCCCAAGAGUCCAGAGGUUGGCAAGUGGAAGAUAAAUGAAGCUAAAGUGCAGCGCAAGAGAAUCAAGCCAACUUUUGAUAUGCUGUUGUCCAAGUAUGCCAAUCAAGCAGACGGUUCUAGCUCUAACCGGUCAUCAAAUUUGAAGCACUCAAGAUCACCUCCGAGGGAAGAAUCUCAUCAUCACGCAAGGCCAUAUGGGUCAUGGGCACCAGGACCAUGGAUGGUGACGCCCCCCUAUGCGCCAUACUACAUGGGAGGCUUCAAUGGAGGAUGGGGGCAGCCCCCAAUGGCCCCUUAUGCUUUUCAUCCGGGUUGGGCAGAACCAAGGAGGCCCGUUCAUGAGAGGCUUUCUUAUCCCACACGAGGCCGUUUGAACAAUGGUGUCAAUCGGCCAAUGCAAGAUAAUAAAAAAGGGUCAACCGGCAAGUAUGGCGUGCCAAAUCACCAAGUGCUGAAAUUUCAGAGCCUAGCAAGCAAAAGGAGAAGAAUGCUAGUGGUGACUAUUAUGAUGGGCACUAAAGAAUUAAUAAUCAAAGAGACGAUUAUUGUUGAUAAUCUGGCUGAUUCUAAUAAAGAUGUGGCUGCGGUCUAGCAAGGUCCCAUGGCUAAUGAUAAUGAAGCUAGCAUAAGCAAGGCCAAGUUGAGGGAUCCAAAAUAUACUCAGCCUAAGUGGUGUCCUUCCGGUCUGAGGAAGGCGCAAAAAAGGAGAUUGCAACGCAUGAGGAGUCAUGAGAAGGAGGAACAAGAAACAGAAAAGCUAAGGGAUAAAUUAUUCAAUGAAAGUCGUCCCAUGGUACCCCCAAAACAAGUGUGGAGAUCAAAGCAGAAGGAAAACAUUGCAGCUUCUGCAUUGAUCAUAGCAACACCUACACCACCAACGGAGGACGAUGCGGCUACUAUUACAUCUUCCACUUUGCCUACUACUUCCUCUCCCCGUGAAGAUAUUUCAGAGUCAGUGGACAUGCUUGCGGAAGGAGAUGAAAUGCUUGAUUAUGAGUCUACACCGGUUCAUGAAGGUAUGGAUAUUAAUAUGGUGUAUUACUUACCCGCUGAAUUUCAUGCUAUAGAUGAAGAAGGGGAAGUAGCUCAGCUAGAUUUUGGUCCUAAAAAUACUAUAUUCGAGAAGCCAAAAGAGCCGGUGACGCACUUGAAGGCAUUGUUCCUUAAAGGUCAUAUUAAUGGAUCGCGGGUUGCUAGAAUGCUUGUCAAUGGUGGUGCUGUGGUGAAUCUUAUGCCAUAUUCGGUCUUCAAAAAAUUGGGGCUGCGUGAUGAAGAGUUAAUAAAGACCAACAUGGUGCUUAAUGGAUUUGAAGGGAAACAGAAAACUAAACCAAAGGUGUGGUUUAUGUGGAGCUUACGGUGGGAAGCAAAACUUUGGCUACCGCAUUCUUUGUCUCCGAGGUGCAAGGUAACUACAAUAUGAUAUUAGGCCGCGAUUGGGUUCAUGCGAACCAAUGCGUGCCAUCUACUAUGCACCAGUUUUUGAUUCAAUGGGUUGAUGAUGAAGUAGAAGUCAUUCAUGCGGAUAAUUCGGCUUGUGUUGCUUUGGACGAUGCUUCGGUCACUACUAGGGAAAAGGCUAGCAACAGCGCGGGUUUUAGGUGUACCAGUAGCGCGGGGAGUGGCGCUACUAAUAAGGUGCUACAGCUAACACAUAGCAGUAGCGCGUGGUCACCGGCGCUACUGCUACACAAGUAUAGCAGCAGCGCGGUUACUGGAAGCUCGCUACUGAUAGUAGCUCUAGCGCGCUUUGCCAUGACGCGCUACUGCUAUCGCGGCGCUGCUGCUAACAUUUAUACACUCGCUACUGCUAAUUUAAGUAGUUUUUUGUUUUUCGGCAUAUUUGUUUUGUAUUUGAACAGGAUUUAUAGAAGAAUCUUUAGCACAUAGAAAUGUCAUCAUGAUACACAUACAAAUGCUUGCGAGACCACAAAUGUAAUCAUAGCAUAUACAUACAAAUAGUCUCAUCAUAAUCAUCAUCCAACACAAAGUGGUAUCUUGUCAUCAUCUCGAAAAUAGCGAUACAUGCAAGUCUCAAAUACUUGCAACUACAACAACGUCAUCCAUCUAAACAAAUGUAUACGCAAGAAGAGCUAUCACUAUGAGUGAGAGCGGAACUAUGCAGUACAUGAGGUGGCGGUUACGAGUCCUCUCUCGCGCUAGCGUGAACCUCAAGUAACUAGCUUCUCCUUCUUGUCUGCUUUUGAAGCAUUUAUGGCUGGCACCCGUGAACCCAUUCACUUGCGCCUGACACUCAUGCCACUCAUUUUACACCCCCGGAACCUUCCCUUUGUACACGACAUAGAAAUUCCGUCUCGCCAUCAAGAAACUAGGUACCUAUUAGAGAUGCAUGUUCAUGAAGAGGAUGUAUAAUCAUAUAUAUGCAACAAAAUAUACUAGAGCAACACCGAAAAAGAAAGGGUUAGCAACUAGAUGCAACAUACAGUAUGCAAAUUAAUUAACUAGAGGUACAUAGGUCAUCGUACGCAAACUAACAAAGUAGCAUUACGCAAGUUCGGCAGGGACUGUGGACAUCACAAAGUUUCAUCGCUACAAAAAGUAUACAAGUUCAACCGACACAUAUCAUCAUCGCCGGCAUCAUAAAUCACUAGAAGUUCCAUCCUUCCAUAUCAUCGAGGAUGAACCCUAGCUUCUUGAACUGCGUGAGGUCUAGACGUUGCAUGCCUAUGCGAGUCCGGACGUCAGCUCGCGAUAUAGGGCCGUGGUGGAACAUCCCCUUCUCAUCGACGACUUCUUUCAUGAUGAUCAUUGCAAUGUCACUUUGGAUGCGAAAGAAGUCAUCUCUAAGUUUAUAAUCCGCUUCUCCAUGAGAUUCUAGCCACUUGUGGAUAUGAUCAUCAUUUCUUCUUCUCAUGCGAAGCUUUUGGUGAUCCGUGUUGAACUGAAUCAUGAGAUGGACGAUGUAGAAUCUAUCCUUCUUGCUUUGUUUUGGGACAUGGAUGCAGGAGAAGUUAGUUUUAUGCGCGAAACCCAUCUUCUUGUUCCUUUGUUUCCUGAUCUGCAUGUGGCCACCUCUAAAGUUGAAGCCUUGGAGAACAUCAUCUAGAAUAUUCAUUAUGUGGGUGUAGUCUUUUAUCUCGUAGUCUCUGGAAGGGUCAAAAUACAAGGCGUGGGAGACUUGCGGGUAAAGAACGAUAAGGACGGCGCGCCCAUUACUGCAGGGAAAAGACACCUCAAAUUAUUCCCCAUAUGAGAGAGAAGGAAUGAUUGAAAUGUAUGAAAGGAUUGUCCGGAACUGACUUACCACUACUAGAAAAAGGCCUACUAAUGGCGCACCGGUUUUGCCUACUAAUGGCGCACUACCGGUGCGCCAUUACUAGCACGCCAUUAGUAUUUUUUACUAAUGGAGCACCACUGGUGCGCCAUUAGUAUCUAAUAUACUAAUGGCGCACCACAUAGAAGUGCGCCAUUAGUAACAAUUUUUUUCAAUUUUUUUUUAAUUUUUUUCAAAAAAAAUUUAGUUUUUUUAAUCUCAGUUCACUAUGGCUUAAUCUCGGGUCAAUAUGCUUAAUCUCAGGUCAAAUUGCACUCCGUGGUGAAACUUCCCGAAAGGUCACCCAUCCUCACACUACUCCAGCCCAAGCACGCUUAACUUUAAAAGGUCACCCAUCCUCACACUACUCCAGCCCAAGCACGCUUAACUUUAAAGUUCUAUCCAAGCCCAGCAACAGCUCACUUCACAGGCACUUAUUGAUAUAUUUAGCAUAUCAAUCCUGUUAUACCUUGUUGAUGUCUAGGACUUUGUUCAUGUUCAUGACUAUGAUGAAAUUUUGAAAAAUAUUUCAAACUUCCCAAUCAUAUUACGUAUCAUUUUUUAAAAAAAAUUCAAAAAAAAAUUCAAAACCAAUUUUUUUUUCUGUUACUAGUGGCGCACCACAUCCACGGUGUGCCACUAGUAAGUUUGAAAUUUUUUGAAUUUUUUUGCCGCUAGAUCUUCAAAACCCCGUAACUUUUUUUCUGUUAGGUUUUUGGGGAUUUUGAAAAUGUUUAACGGGGUUCCCCCAGUUAAAUUUGGAUGUAACUUUUCGAGUAGAUGAUUUUUCAUAUAAAAAACUUUUUCAUCCGAGUUCGUAUGCAAAAGUUAUGCCAAUUGUACAAAUUUCCAGAGAGAUUUUGCAAAUAAAGUCGAAAUUCAUAUUUGUAAAUUUUCCCAAAAACUAGAGCACAUAUCACAUGGGAAACAUAUUAUCUUUUAUUUUUUUGACAUUUCCAUCAUUUUCUUUUAUGUUUUUAAAACUGAAAAGGCGAUCCACUGGGGUGGGGGGGUGCUUUCGGUGUUGGGGCAAGUUAGUAAUGGCGCGCCGUGGGGUGGUGCGCCAUUACUAGUUUAACUAGUAAUGGCGCACCACACCCACGGUGCGCCAUUACUAGUUUNNNNNNNNNNNNNNNNNNNNNNNNNNNNNNNNNNNNNNNNNNNNNNNNNNNNNNNNNNNNNNNNNNNNNNNNNNNNNNNNNNNNNNNNNNNNNNNNNNNNNNNNNNNNNNNNNNNNNNNNNNNNNNNNNNNNNNNNNNNNNNNNNNNNNNNNNNNNNNNNNNNNNNNNNNNNNNNNNNNNNNNNNNNNNNNNNNNNNNNNNNNNNNNNNNNNNNNNNNNNNNNNNNNNNNNNNNNNNNNNNNNNNNNNNNNNNNNNNNNNNNNNNNNNNNNNNNNNNNNNNNNNNNNNNNNNNNNNNNNNNNNNNNNNNNNNNNNNNNNNNNNNNNNNNNNNNNNNNNNNNNNNNNNNNNNNNNNNNNNNNNCAUUACUAGUUUUGAAAAAAAAUAAAAAAAUUGAUAUUUUUUUUGAUUUUUUUUUUGAAAAAAACUUAGUAAUGGCGCACCAGUGGAAAGUGCGCCAUUACCAGUUAAAACUAGUAAUGGCGCACCGAGACAUGGUGCGCCAUUAGUAACAAUUUUUUUUAUUUUUUUGUACUUUUUUUUCAAAACUACUAAUGGCGCACGACAGAUGUGAUGCGCCAUUACUAUGUCAAUUAGUAAUGGCGCACUAUGCAACGGUGCGCCAUUAGUAACAAAAAAAAUUUAUGUUUUUUUUCAAAACUACUAAUGGCGCACCACACACCAGGUGCGCCAUUAGUAAUAUAUUACUAAUGGCGCACCGAGACAUGGUGCGCUUGAGAAUAUAGUAAUGGCGCACCACAUCACAGGUGCGCCAUUAGUGGCCAUUCCAUCUAUAGCCCUUUUUGUAGUAGUGUACUUUGGAUGAUAAGGCACGAGGACAAUUUCCCGGUCCUUAUUCUGUUCCAUGAAGUUUUGGAGGUACUCCCUAGCAGUUUCACGCUCAAAGUCGCCGAGACUCAAGAAAGACUCAUGCAUGUAGUACGGAUCCGCCACACAGAUUUGCGAGACUUCUUCACUCUUCAUGACGGAGCUCAUAUGUAGCGCAAAAAGGCGGACGAUUGUAAAAUCAAGCCGCCUUGUUAGAAACAUCUCAAAGAUAUGGUCAAACCGCAGGAAGAACACCUCCGCGGGCUGUGUCUCGACGUAGCACUUCCCCUUAGGCACACGAGCCGCGUAUGUCAGAUAUCCUGGAUCCUUUGAGGCUAGUAGGCUUUUCUCAGUCGAUAACACAUGGUCGUGCAGUCUCCUGAGAUCCCCUGAUAGUGCCUCCAGCGGUUUCGGCUGUAGCAUCGGCUCGCCCAUGAGAUGGAACAUGACCGCACCUUUCACGGGUACACGCUCUUCAGAAUGCAUCGUCUGGCUGCUAUGUGCUCUGGCUUGUUUGGAGGCAGUUAUGUUCCCCGAUCUCUUCCUCUCCUUUUUCUUGGGCACACCUUCCAUACCCUUCCUUAACCCCUGCCCCAGUGUUCCCUGGCUAAGUAUUGUACGACCCUCGUGCCCGACUAGUUGAGCCUGUGUUGAGGCGGCAUCUUCAGGCGUGUCCUGUGAGGAUUUUAUGAAGAGAGACUCUUUGCAAUCCCUGCUACGACCCUGCCCGGGCAUAUCAUCCAUAUCCUCAUUAGCAAGCUGAUAGCCCGAUUCAUCAUAUGGUUGACUCAUCAUAUUUAUGUCACAGUCAUACGCGUUUGUAUUGAGGUAAUCCAUAGGGUCGACCUCCUUCUCAUCAUCCAUUCUCUGUUCUACAGGAGAAAUUACAUCAGCCAGUACUAUUGCACCCCCUUCAUCAUGUCGUCCGCCGCUCUCACCCGGCACUACAGGAGCUGGUAAUUGCAUAGGCGGGGUGGUGGUCUCUGCACAUGCUUGUUGAUGUGUGGUUAUUGGUGUGCUCUCGGCCGGCUCCAGACGAAUAAGAUUCUUCGGCCAUAGCAGCACCCAACCCUUGCAGCUUCCAAUCCGCGGCGGGAUCUCGUCGUCCGCUCCCACAUGCUGUACUGGAGGAGGCAAAUCCUCGUGCCCCAAUUUCACACUAGUCAAGCUAACCCUGAAGUGCCUAGCGGGGAUCGGCUGGUUGUGGAACGUGGGUUGCGAGGGGUCCAUUAUCAUCCCCUUUCCCACGUCCACCUUCUGGCCUUUGAUCAAGUAGAGUAUGGUGCACGGGGUUUCUUUCGCCUGCAAACACAUAUGUUUGUGGCGUAAAACAACCGAAAGGCAACAAAAAUGGAAUAUUAUAUAUAUAUAUAUAUGUUGGUGCGACAUGUAAUUACCGUGACGGCGUCGAGCUCAUCCAAAGACGAAGGCCCACCUAGCGCGCCUGAGACUGAGGAUGGGCUGCUAUGAGCGGGAGCAGCUGCAAGAGGAGGCCCGGUUGCGUGAGCAAGUGAUGGUGUGAUGGUGUUGUUGUUCAUGGAGUUGCUCCCGACGAAACUGGGCAACGGGAAAUCCUGUACCGUCUUGUCUGGAUUUUCCUUCGUCCAGUUGAUGAUAACUGGAACCAAGUUAGUAGCAAAAUCAUUUCUGCAGGCAGUUACAGCCGCAUUGACUGCCUGCUGUAGCAACUCAUAUUUGUCCUCGGCUGCUUUUUUCGCGUCCUCAACUUCUUUUUUCUAGACCGCAAGCUUCACCUUCGCGUUGAUGUCCGCCUGACUAAACUUCUUUUUCUGCUUCUUGGCCUCCGGGCCCUCGUCGUAUCCACGUGGCGCCGUCUCCAGCGCCGUGCACACGACCAUAUUGUGGCCGCUGGCCCAAAGGGAGUCCCUUGAGUUUGUUGAAGGCCCGAUUGAGAGGGGUGUCCCACUUGGGCCUCAUCGGAGAAGUAGGGCUUUCGGCUACAUGCUGGUGUUGCUUCUCCAGUAGUCUAAUCAAUUUCCUCGUGAUCUUGUCCGGGUAAAAAACCUUUUUCUCCUUGUCCCACUUGUAGCGGGCCCUGAUGAAGUCACGCUCCAAGGGGUUGGUGAACUUCGCGAAGGGGUCUGGGAGACCCGCGACUUCACGUUCCAUGUCCUCCUUAUCCCAUAUGGGCCUUUUACCGAGGUAGCCACGGCUUCCGAGGCGAUGCUUCCCCGUGUUCCUUUGCUGAAGGCUCUUGAAUUUCGCAGCCUUAGCCUUGGCUGCCUCGGUAGCGCAAGUGUCCUUGAACUUUUCGAACUCCUCUUCUGUAAGUGUCGGAUUUUCCUCCAGAAUCUUGGACAGGGGUUCAUCAGCCUCAAUAGCUCGUUUCACCCUCCCUUUCCAGGAGGCCAAAUCAUUGCUGAACAUGCCCAUGGCGUGAUUGUUAAUCUUUUUCAUCUUGGGAUCAUCCCACGGUUGUUCUAGGUUAUCAUCCCGGCUGGGGAACUUGAAUGUCUUGUGCAACUUCGUUAGGAGCAACUGCAUCAAAUGUUCUUUACUCCUUAAGUCAUCGUCGUUGAUGCUCACGCAUUCCUGUAGGAUGCAUCUUACUUGGUUCCCAUAGCACUUGCGAGGUUCUUCCGGCUCUAACGGCUCAAACUUGCCAAGUGCCAUCUUUGUUAUCACAAGUCGUCCAAUCCCUAGUUUGUUAGGUUUUCGUAUCCUCUGCUUCUUAUCCUUCCUCUUUUCGGUAGCGGCAUCAGGGUCGGUACCUUCCCCGCCGGUAUCUUCCCCGCCGGUACCUUCCCCACCGGUCUCGGCGCCGGCAUCGGUGCCGGUGCCAUCGGUGUCGAUCUCCGCGUCAGUACCAUCAUCGAGGCCGACCUGCAAACCUUGCUUAGCAGUCAAAUAGUCGAGUACUCUUGUUCACCCUCAUAAUCCAUCUCGUCUGCAUCUUUGUCAGAAGGCCCAGUUUCUUCGUUGUUCGACAUGUUUCCUAUGAUUAAGUGUCCUCAUUUAUUUCUAAAAGUAUGAAUAAAUUAGAAAUGACAUAAAAAGAAAUCUAUGUGCCAGCACUCGAUAUGCCAACUAUGUAGCACAAAUCAUGCCUUUAUUCACGGGAAAUUUUGGCAUGACCUUUGCUAAAAAAUGGACAUAUCGAGCGCCUGAAAUUCAUCGGAACGGAAAUGAAUCAACAUUCCGGCGUAACAUAGGCCACUCGGAUAAUUUUCCAAACAUGACAUAUCCACAUAUCACAUGUCUAGUUCAAAUUUGCAUAUAAAUUCAGCUAAUUUUGAAACCUAGCUAAAUUCAUAACUAAAUAGAUAACCUAAUUAACAUACUGCCCUAACUAAAACCUAAGAAAAUUAACCGAAGAACCCUAGCAGAGAGAGAGGGGGGUUACAGAGGGUGCAGGGGCGAGGAGGCACGCCCGACGAUGGGCGAGCUUGGGAGGGGAGGAAGCAAAGNNNNNNNNNNNNNNNNNNNNNNNNNNNNNNNNNNNNNNNNNNNNNNNNNNNNNNNNNNNNNNNNNNNNNNNNNNNNNNNNNNNNNNNNNNNNNNNNNNNNNNNNNNNNNNNNNNNNNNNNNNNNNNNNNNNNNNNNNNNNNNNNNNNNNNNNNNNNNNNNNNNNNNNNNNNNNNNNNNNNNNNNNNNNNNNNNNNNNNNNNNNNNNNNNNNNNNNNNNNNNNNNNNNNNNNNNNNNNNNNNNNNNNNNNNNNNNNNNNNNNNNNNNNNNNNNNNNNNNNNNNNNNNNNNNNNNNNNNNNNNNNNNNNNNNNNNNNNNNNNNNNNNNNNNNNNNNNNNNNNNNNNNNNNNNNNNNNNNNNNNNNNNNNNNNNNNNNNNNNNNNNNNNNNNNNNNNNNNNNNNNNNNNNNNNNNNNNNNNNNNNNNNNNNNNNNNNNNNNNNNNNNNNNNNNNNNNNNNNNNNNNNNNNNNNNNNNNNNNNNNNNNNNNNNNNNNNNNNNNNNNNNNNNNGAGGGCGGGGUCGGGGCCGAGCGCCGGUGCCGGGGUCGGGGGCGAGCGACGGGGGAAGAGAUAGUGGGGAUUUGGGGGGAAAAGGCAGGAUGAAGCAUGGAUAGUGAGAAUUUUGGGUUAAGUGGACGUAGCACCAGUGUGUUUGGCCAAAACGCGCAGCUACUACCUUUAGUAGCUGUAGAGGUUUGGCCAAAACGAGCUGCUACUACCUUCAGUAGCUGCAGCGGUUUAUACGAAAUGCGCUACUACUACUGCCAGUUUUCCUUUUUCUAUUCCUUUAUUUUCUCCCACUUUUAUUUCCCGAGAGCAGUGAACGAAGGGAGGGCGAUAUAUAUUGCAUCAUUUGACGGUUAAAUAUGUAUGAAAAAUAGGAACAUAUAUAUUACAUCAUUGGACCCAUGCAUAAUAAUGGCUAAGUGUGUAUACAAAAUAGGAACAUACAUAUACAUAUAUAUAUAUAUAUGUUACAUCAUUUGACCAAUAACAUACGGUUCCUCAGCGCUGACGUUUUCGUUUUUGAGUCAGCUUCUUUCCCUUCUUGUUCGUCGAAGAAUAAUUGAGCCUCUCAUUGUGACUUUGCCUUUUCCAUGGAGUAGGAUUUUUCUUAGGUAAUAUAGUAUUGAUUCUUCUUUUGACGUAUACUUCAUCAUCAUCGUCAUCUUCCCUCAUUGGGUUGCCGUACUGAUCAUAGUCUUCCUCGUUGGCGACUCCAUCCAUUCCAACGAUGUUCCUUUUGCCUCUCCUCAUGACAACACGACUGGGAUUGCAUGGGUCGGUUAUGAAGAAGCAUUGUGUCACGUGCUUAGCGUGUACCCAUGGCUCGUUUUUUGCGAUAGCGUUCACGAUAGCGCUCUUGGCGUCGGGUAUACUCAUGGUAGUGAAAAUUCGGUUUUCUCUUUCCACAUUCUUUGCCCAUCUGACACGGAACAUCGUCGUGUUGUGCAGUCCCGAGUAGUCAAGCUCCCAGAUCUCCUCGACCCUUCCAUAAAAUCGUACAGUUGCGCUGUUGUCGCUGCCGGUCAUGCAUUCCAUCGUUACCCCUGAGUUCUGAUCAUCACUGUCCAUAUCUUUGGCCUCCGUGUAGAACGUGUAUCCGUUGAUAUCAUAUGCCUGAUAGGUUACGAGGUUGGGCGAGGGGCCAUGUGCUAAGGCGUAUAUGAGAAAUCCGUCCUUAGAGCCCUCCUCCGGGGGAUUAGUAAUAAUAUGCUCUUUGAACCAAUGUAGGAAAGUGGAGUUGUGCUCGCUAGUAACUUCGGCGUUCGUCCUGCAUACCCCCGGUCACGAUACUUCUUUGCGAUAAUUUCUUUGUGCAGUGCCACGAAAGGAUCUACCUCGUCUAGGUGUUGUAGCACUACCAAGUUUGCUCUGUCAAAGUCACUGCGUCGAUCUGAGUAUGCCACGUGCAGUUCCCUGCGACCGUUGCAGUGACCAUCUCCUUCGAGCCUCCCAUCGUGCUUGUUAACGGGCAAACCAAUACUAACACCAGGCGGCUGGUCUGCGCCAUAUAGAAAAUUCUCACAGAAAGAGAUGCACUCUUUUGUCAAAUAGCCCUGGACGAUGCUUCCAUCCGGACGGGACAUGUUACGAAGGAAUCCUUUGAUGAUCCCAUUCAUCCUCUCAAAUGGCAUCAUGUUGUGCAGGAAUGACGGCCCCAGGUCUAUUAUGUCAUCCACAAUAUGGACACACAGAUGCACCAUCACGUCAAAGAACGUGGGCGGGAAGUACAUCUCAAGCUCAUUCAAUAUCACAACGAUCUCUUCCUGUAGCCUUCGGAGCUGCUUCACACUGAUCGACUUUUGAAGGAUGACGUCGAAAAAGUUGCAGAGACCAAUAAGAGUGUCACUGACGUGCUUGUCCAUUAUCCCUCUAAGGGCAACAGGUAGUAUCUGCGUCAUCAUCAGAUGACAAUCAUGAGACUUCAUCCCGCUGAACCUUUUCUUGUCCGUGUCUAGAUAUCUGCUUAUCUUGCCACAGUAACCGGAACUAACUUUGACUCCGGUAAGGCACUUAAAGAAGGCAUUGAUCUCAGCCUGACUUAAGGUGAAGCGAGAAGGGGGGCAAUAAUCCUAUUUCUUUAUUUUCUUGCCCUUCUUCUCCCGUGCCUCUAUCUCCGUCUCUAUCUCGUCUGACAUUUUACGGGGCGGCAUGUGCAGAUCUUCCCUGAUUUUCAAAUCUUGCAAGUAUUUUCUUUCCUUCGGCCCAUCCUUGGUCUUAUCCGGCAUGUUCAUCUGUGUUGCGAGCAAGCUCUCAAGGACAUUGUUACAGAUAUGCAUUUGAUCAAGGCAAUGAGGUGUAUCGAGUUUGUGCCAGUACUCCAAGUCCCAGAACACAGACCUCAUCUUCCAUACCUUCAGCAGCGGCUCCGGCGCCUUUCUCAUCGUCUUUCCCGGCGCGGGGCACUCCUUCCAGUUUUUCAACAGCUCAUCGAUUUCGGCACCGCUGCGCUUACAUGGAGGUCCUCGAUGCUCAGCGUGACCAUUGAAUAGAUCUCCAAAGUUUCUCCAUGGGUCGUCCUGUUCAAGCCAUCUUCGAUGCCCCAUGUACACGAUUUUCCCAGACCCGCCAUCUUUCCUUGACGUUAGCUGCUGAGACGUCAUAUCAUCCAUGCACCGCGUGCAUCCGCAAUAUUCAUGGCACACCUGGCCUGCCACAUAUUCGUAACCGAGAUAGUCCUGCACUGUCGUGAUCAGCGCGACUCUCAUGUUGAAAUACUCGCCUUUGCUGGCGUCCCAUGUCUUGGCCGGUGUUUCGCAUAACGUGUCUAACUCCUCUUGAAGUAGCCCCAGAUACAAAUUAAUAUUAUUUCCUGGUUGUUUUGGCCCUUGAAUAAGCAUGCUCAUGUGAAUGUACUUCGAUUUCAUGCACAACCAGGGGGGGAGGUUGUACAUCCAUACAAACAUGGGCUAUGUGCUAUGGUUGGUGUUCUGGUUGCCAAACGGAUUCAUGCCAUCGGUACACGCUCCGAGCACGAUGUUCCUUGCAUCACAUUCAAAAUACCGAUAGAAGCUGUUCAACGCUCUCCACUGGCUUCCAUCCUUCACGUGUCGCAGCUUCGGAUCAUCUCCAUCGUCGGGCUUCUUCCUCUCCGUGUGCCAGCGCAUUAGCUUUGCUUCCUUGGGAUCUACAAAAUACCCCUGGAGACGGGGAGUGAUCGGUAAGUACCAUACAACUUUCUGGGGACAUUUCUUCCUGGCCUUCUUGUAUCGAGAAGCAUUGCACAACGGACAGCUUGUUUUUUCCGCGUGCUCCUUCCGAUAAAUUAUGCAAUCAUUGAUGCAUGCAUGGUAUCUAACGUGUGGCAGAUCAAGAGGGCACACGAUCUUCUUGACCUCAUCAACACUAGUAGGACAUAGAUUACCCGCGGGAAGAACAUCCUUUAGGUACUUGAGAUGCUCAUCGAGGCUAGUGUCGGUCCAUUUGUUUUUAGCCUUUGUCUUCAGGAGUUGGAGCGUGAAACUCAAGCGGGUCACCUCGGGAUUGCAACCAUCAUACAAUGGAGUGUUCGAGUCUACCACCAGUUGCUCCAGCUUCGUCUCCUCUCUAGAAGCAGCUCUCUCAGUAUUCGUCUCCUUGCGAAGCAAUGCUUGAACAUGAGGGUCUCGCACACGAUUCAACUUAGUAUCGAUGAACUCUGCUGCGCGGAGUCCAUGUCGUUCUCUCCGCCGCCAUGUCCGGCCCCUUCUCCUCCGCCAUGUCCGGCCCCUUCUCCGCCGCCAUGUCCGGCCUCUUCCCCGCCGCCAUUAUCGAUCAUCUCUUCGUCUUGCCCCGUGUCAUCAUUGCCUGCCCCGUCGGCAUCCUCAACAUCGUCAUCCUCAUCUUCAGUUAUCCACCGAGUAUAGCCAUCCAUGAAACCAGUCAUGAGCAGGUGCGCUUUGACACGACCAUCAUCAUAGGGGUUGACCCAAACUAUUCCUUUGCAUUUUUGACACGGACAUGAAACCUCUGUCCGGUUAUUUUCUUUCAUGUCCUGCACCGCCGACCGCAACCACCUGUCCAUCAUCGUUCCACUGACCAUCGUCAACUCUGCACGGUAAUAAUAAACAAAUUGAUUAUAAAAAUGCGUGCAUGCAUCAAAGUCAUACAAAAAUUCGGCAUGACCUUCCCUAAAAAUAGGACAUAUAUGGAUCUAGAGUUUGCCCGGAAUUCGCUGAAACGGAAAUAAAUCGACAUUUCGGCAAAACAUAGGCAACUCAAAAGCACAAUUUGGCGUCAACUCAUGCCACACACACAAUUUCCACAAACAUAUCACACACACAUAAGCAUAUUUCCAUUUUGCAAAAGCAUGAAAUUUUCAUCACCUCUAUAUCAAUAUCGAGCACACGGUGGAGAUGAUGUUGUAGGGAGAUCAAAAGUGCACAAAGCUCCUCUUGAUAAAGAUAGAUCUAGUUAGGGGGCAAGUAGGUCACUUAACUAAAUCCUACAUCUAGCUAGCUACCUAAUUUGGGAGGAGACAACUUCAACUAGUGGAGGGGAAGGAAAAAGAGAAAGGAGAUGCAUUAAUGGAGGUGGUGUAGUUAGGUAGGAGUAAUGAAGAGAGAGAAAGUUAGAUAGAAGAGAGAGAGUAAUGGGGGAGAAGUAUUGAGGAAGAAGAAGAGUGAGAGUGGGAGCAUGUUGGAGGUAGGGGAAAGGGAAGAGAGGAGGGGGAGGGGGGCGGUGGGGAAAAGGUGGUGGGUUGGUGCGGAUUAGCAGUAGCGCGGGAGGUAAAACACGCUGCUGAUAAGAAAGUAGCACCAGCACGCUUUUGGUAGAUGCGCUACUGCUAACCGGGACAAAAAUUGUGUCCAAUUUGAAAAUUAGCAGCAGCGACCUCAGAAAAACCGUGCUACUACUACAGCUUUAGCAGUAGCGCGGCUAGCGGUACCACGCUGCUACUAAAUGGAGUUUGGGGGGCACUAUCGGUCGAUAUUUGUAGGAGCGCGUGUUACAGAGCGCGCUACUGCUAAACACUUGUCAGUAGCGGGUUUUCCACACCCGCGCCACUGCUAAUUAGCAGCAGCGCUCCUUUUUGAGCCGCGCUGCUGCUAAGAUUCUGUGUAUAGGGUUUUCCCUACAAGUGGGUGGAUUGGCAACAUCCCAAUGCUACUUGCUUGAUGGGGCACGACUUAUCAGAAUAUGAUUUUCUUAGUGCCACAAAAAGUGGUUUCGUGCCCGUUUCUUUAAAGCCGGUUGGCGAUAAUCGGCUCCAAGGUAUGAUGUAUUUAAAUAGAUCCUAACUCAGAGUGGUUACAAAAGCGUCUUGUAGAAUACCGGUCCAAUGAGAACGAUAUGUAUGAGUCCAUAGAAGAGUUAGAUGAUAUGGAUAAGUUAGGACAAGGUUUUACAUUGGCCGAUCCAUUAGAAGAGUUAGAUAUAGGAGAUGGUUCAAUUCCUAGGCCGACAUUUGUAAACGAAAAUUUAAGAGCCGAUCAUAAGGCUAAGUUGAUCGAGCUAUUGAAAGAAUAUGUUUGUUUCUUUGCAUGGGAAUAUCAUGAGAUGUCGGGUUUAAGCCGAGAGCUAGUGGAGCAUUGGUUUCCUAUAAAGGCUGGUUUUAGACCAUACAAGCAAUUGGCCAGAAAGUUUAAUCCAAAAACGUAUGACCGGAUCAAGGAAGAGAUUUGUCGUUUGCUUAAAGCUAAUUUUAUUAGACCUUGCAGGUAUGCUGAGUGGAUUUCUAACAUUGUGCCAGUAGAGAAGAAAGGCUGCGGCAAGUUGAGGGUGUGCAUUGAUUUCAGAGAUUUAAAUAGAGCUACACCUAAAGAUGAGUAUCCCAUGCCAAUAGCCGAUAUGCUUAUUAAUGAUGCUUCUGGACAUAAGGUCAUUAGCUUUCUUGAUGGUAAUGCGGGGUAUAACCAGAUUUUUAUGUCCCGGUUUUCUUGGUCUAUUUGAGUGGACAGUGAUGACCUUUGGAUUAAAAAAUGCCGGUGCCACGUAUCAAAGGGCUAUGAAUUUAAUUUUUCAUGAUUUACUUAGUGUUAUACUUCAGGAUUAUAUUUAUGAUAUUGUUGUCAAAUCGGAUGCUUUUGAAUGUCACUUAGCCGAUUUGCGUUUGGCUUUUGAAAGAAUGAAGAAAUAUGGGCUGAAAAUGAAUCCUUUGAAGUGUGCCUUUGGUGUAUCGGCUGGGAAGUUUCUGGGUUUCAUUAUUCAUGAAGAUGGCGUGGAAAUUGGUCCCAAAAAGAUAGAAGCUAUACAGAAAGUAGAGGCUCCAACAUGCAAGAGAGAUAUGCAAAAAUUCCUUGGCAAGGUUAAUUAUUUGAGGAGGUUCAUAGCCAAUCUAUCAGGGAAGGUUGAUGCAUUUUCUCCUAUCCUUAAGUUAAAGAAUGAUGUUGAUUUUACUUGGGGGGCAAAACAAGAAGAGGCAUUUGAUAUGAUUAAGAAAUAUUUGUGCACUCCUUCGGUUAUGAAAGCGCCCAGGCACAAGGAGCCAUUUAGACUUUACGUUGCAGCGGAGGAAGGUGUUAUUGGUGCUGUUUUGACUCAAGAGACCGAAGGAAAGGAUCAUGCUAUUACUUAUUUGAGCCGAUGAUUAUUGGAAGCCGAGACAAGGUAUACAUUUAUUGAGAAACUAUGCUUAUGCUUAUAUUAUGGUUGCACAAAAUUGAGACAUUAUCUAGUGCCUAGUACUUGCAUUAUAGCUUGUCAAACCGAUGUCAUCAAAUACAUGUUGCAUAGGCCAAUUCUUAGUGGUAGAAUUGGCAUGUGGGCUUAUGCUUUAAUUGAAUAUGAUUUGGCUUACGAAUCUCUGAAAUCCAUGAAAGGCCAAAUUGUUGCUAAUUUUAUUGUUGAGCAUCGUAUUGAUGACAAGCAUGAUAUUGAUAUAAACCUUGUCUCAUUAGUACCAUGGAGAUUAUAUUUUGAUGGUUCAGUGUGUUGCAAUGGCCAAGGUGUUGGUAUUGUUUAUAUAUCUCCUCAUGGUGCUAUUUUUGAAGCCUCAUGCCGCUUAGAAAACUUUUGCACAAAUAAUCAAGCCGAAUAUGAAGCAUUGUUAUUCGGCUUAGAGAUGUUGCUUGCCAUAGGUGUUACACAUAUUGAGGCUUUUGGUGAUUCAUUAUUAGUAGUGCAACAAAUAUCCAAAGUCUUUCAAUGUUUUGACGAAUCACUUAAUGUUUAUCUUGAUAAAUGUCUAGAUAUAAUUUCUAAUUUGGAUUAUUUUAGCAUUGCUCAUAUAUCUAGACAUGACAAUUGGAGAGCAAAUGAGUUGGCACAACAAGCAUCCAGCCAUCAUGUUGAUCGUGGCACGUUUCAUAUUUCUCAAAGGCCAAUGUCUAGUCUUGCCAACAUAGGGGAGGCCGAACCGAAGCCUACCGUUUCGGCCACUAAUGAAAUAUUUAAUGCAGGAGAAAAUUAAGACUGGAGGAAACCCAUUAUUGAUUAUUUGUGUGAUCCUAGUAAAAGGGUGGACAAGACUGUUUGGCAUAUGGCUUUCAAAUACAUAAUGAGAGAUGAUGGUCUCUAUCGCCAAACUGUUGAUGAUGUUCUUUUAAAGUGCUUGGACGAGGACCAAGAGAGAGUUGCUAUGGGAGAGGUCCAUGAAGGUAUUUGUGGCACUCAUCACUCGGCUCCCAAGAUGAAUGGCUAUUACGGCGUGCUGGGUUUUAUUGGCCGAUGAUGGUUAAUGAUUGCUUCCAGUAUUAUAAAAUGUGAAGCUUGUCAAAAGUUUGGUGAUAUUCAGUUAGCUCCCGCUGCUAUGUUACAUCCUAUUGUCAAGCCGUGGCCUUUUAGAGGUUGGGGAUUGGACUUUAUUGGAGAGAUUCAUCCUUCUUCUUCAAAGGGGCAUCAGUUCGUGUUGGUGGCAACUCAUUAUUUCACUAAAUGGUCUGAAGCAAUACCACUCAAAAACCAUGACGCAUACAGAUGUAAUUCAAUUCAUAACUGAGCAUAUUAUUCAUAGAUUCUGCAUACGCAAACAUUAACUACGGACCAAGGUUGAUCCUUUACAUCACAUCAAGUCAGAGAAUUUGCCGAAUCAUAUAAGAUAAAGUUGCUCUUCCUCUCCAUAUUAUGCCCAAGCCAAUGGACAAGCUGAGUCUAGUAAUAAAAUAUUAAUCAAGCUCAUCAAGAAGAAGAUUGAGGAUAAUCCUAGGAGAUGGCAUGAGCUACUGUCCGAAGCUUUGUGGGCACACAUAAUCUCAAGGCAUGGUGCUACAAAGGUAACUCCGUAUGAGCUUGUAUAUGGUCAAGAGGCCGUUUUACCAGUGGAAGUGAAUUUGAAUGCUUUGAGAAUAGCGAAACAAAAUAAUUUAUCGGCGAUGGACUUCUAUAACUUGAUGAUGGAUAAUAUUGAUGAAGUCGCCGAUAAACAUUUGUCUGCUUUGAAUGCCAUAGAGAGAGAGAUAAGUUGAGGGUGGCAAGAGCUUACAAUAAGAAGGUCAAGUUGAAGAAUUUUCAAGUUGGCGAUCUUGUGUGAAAGGUGAUUCUACCAAUUGGUUCAAAAGAUAGAAAAUUCGGGAAAUGGUCUCCAAGUUGGGAAGGUCCUUUUAAGAUUACAAGAGUGGUUCCCGGAAACUCAUAUUUGGUGGAAUCUGUACAAGGCACAUUAUUACCUCGAGCUCUCAAUGGCAAAUAUUUAAAGAGAUAUCACCCAAGUGUGUGGCAAGAAGUCUAGAUAGGCAAUGGCCGAUAUAUCACUAUCGUCCUAAGAAAGAAAUGGCCGAUAAAUAACUAUCGCCCUUAGCAUAAACAUGGCCGAUAUAUAAUUAUCGCCUAAGAAACUGUAAAUGGCUGAUGGAGUGUUGACAUCAUCCUUAGAACAAACAUGGUACAAAUUAUUUUUCGGCACGCUAGCUUUGCCGAAAAACAGGGGGGCAUGUGUUGACACCAGAUUUCAGCACAGUCAAGAACUUAAUUAAUAUGUCCUCAAAUGGAGAAGUGAUCUACAUAAAAAAGUUCCAUAUUGUCGAUAUAAACAUCUUUGAAGUUUGGGUCAUCACCAUCCGAUCUCAUCUCGAAGGCCGAAGUUGUGUUCGAAAUACUGAGAUUUUGUAUUCAAAACACUAUUCGGCUCAUUACACCCUCAAGACAGCCUCGUAUUGAAAAAUGAUCUACACAGAUUGUCUUCGUCUUGUCGAAACGAUCGAUUUUCAUAUAAAAUUGUCCCAAUCCGAGUUCAUAUGCAAACUUUAGAGAUAUCGAAGUGCAGCCCUGUCAUGAGGCAUGAUGUGGCGCGCCCCACCAGACCUAUGUCUGAUGGGUAGCGCAAGGGAACGGGUGUUUUAUGUUCCAGUUCGUUUUGUGCGAGCGAUUUGACCUUCAAAAUGACCUCUGAUCAAAGCAUCUUAAACACAAAAGUUUUUUUGUCUCUUCGUAAUGUUCAAGAUUGCUUUUGGACUUGUUUUCAUCCGAGGUUGUUUACUGCCAUAAACAUGACCCGCAAGGUGCAUCCAGGUUGUAAACCGAACCGUUUUGGAAAGUUUGAUUCCGAGUUGGACCCAAACUAGGGUUUUGGACGUGAAUCCAAGCAUUUUCCUUGCACGGGAAGUCCAGCCUCCUCUUAUAUACCUAAGGUGUGACGGCCGAUUGAACAACAACACACAAUCGAUCAAAUCAUCUAUUACUUUUUUAUCUUUUAUCUUUUCUGCUUAACCCUAGUUCUACUUCUUUCUUGUUCUUCAUCUGGUCUUCUUGUUGCAGGGCGGCGAACCUCGAGGCCCUAGGGGCGAUAAGGUCGACCUAGGGAAGCCCAUAGCCGCCGCGCACCUUGUCGGGGUCCCUCCCGGGCGUGUAGGGUUUCGGGUCCUCAAAAGCACCAGCCGGAUUGCUUGCAUAUCGCGCUUCCAUACGGGUCUCCUUCGACAUGAGCUGCUGUGCAUCACCCCCGGCGUCGAGGGUACACGGUGACGUGUUCGUGUGCGAACAGGCGUACCGCAAAACGGGACUCCACGGGAUACUGUUAAUCUCCACCAUCAACCUCCUCCAGCCUCCACGGGCUACUGUUCAUCCACCGUCAACCUCCUCCAGCCUCCACCUGCGACUGUUGAUCCACGGGCUCCUGUUCACCCAAACUCCACCACGCGCUACUCCACCGGCUACUGUUCAACCACCCCUAUCCAUGGGCUCUUGUUCAACCACCCCUCCACGGGCUACUGUUCAUCCACCCCUCCACCGUCUACUGUUCAUCCAACCCUCCACGGGAUCGUCUGUUCAUCUAGCCCUCCAUGGGGUCCUGUUCAUCCAGCCCCAACCGGCUCGAUCGAUCGGGGUCUUGUUCAUCCAGAGGCAACGCCACGGGUCCCGUUCAUCCACUCCCACCACUCACUGUUCAUCCAACCCCCCUCCCCCCUGCAACACUCACUGUUCAUCCAAAGAGGCAGCAUUGAUCGACUUCAGUUAGCAGCAGUAGCGAAGGAAUUGCUCGAUCAGGUUCAGUUAACAGCCAUUGAUCGAUCGCUCGGGUUCAGUAACGCGUAGCCUGCAGUGCAAUCGCUCGGGUUUAGUUAGAGCCCAAGGCCUCGCUCGGGUUUUGUUAGAGCCAACGCCUCGCACACAUGCGCGUACGUGUACGAGAGAAACGCGCAUCACUGGGCCACCGACCACCCACCGUAACCAGGAACUCCCCGAAAUUUUCCUCGCACUCGCUUCUACCACGGUUUUUUCCGUUAUGGACGGCCCAAAGAAUGUCAUGCAGCCGCGUCUCCGUCCCGCCCAGGACGAAAAGCCCAUUUUCUGUCAUGAUUUUUUGUCAUAGAAGUAGGAGCCCACCAAAUCUAUGAUGAUAGCGGGUUUUGUCACAAUUAUUGUCAUAGAAGUGUCAUAUGUAUGACAGAAAAAAAUUCAUUCGGCCCAAAAUGUCACGGAUGUCUCGUUUUUUUGUAGUGUAGCUUUGGGUUCAAUCUUGUGGUGUCCUUUCCCAGUGACAGCAGGGGCAGCAAGGCAUGUAUUUUAUUGUUGCCAUCGAGGAUAAAAACAUGGGGUUUAUAUCAUAUUGCAUGAGUUUAUCCCUCUACAUCAUGUCAUCUUUCUUAAAGCGUUACUCUAUUCUUAUGAACUUAAUACUCUAGAUGCAUGAUGGAUAGCAUUCGAUGUGUGGAGUAAUAGUAGUAGAUGCAGGCAGGAGUCGGUCUACUUGUCACGGACGUGAAGCCUAUAUACAUGAUCAUGCCUAGAUAAUCUCAUAAUUAUUCGCUUUUCUAUCAAUUGCUCGACAGUAAUUUGUUCACCCACCGUAAUACUUAUGCUAUCUUGAGAGAAGCCUCUAGUGAAACCUAUAGCCCCCGGGUCUAUCUCUUAUCAUAUAAGCUUUCAAUUUACUUUUAUUUGCAUCUUUACUUUUCCAAUAUGUAUCAUAAAAUACCAAAAAUAUAUUUAUUGCGUUGGUUGUGAGUUCUUUGUUUGUUUGUGUAGGUGUGUGGUACUUGUGAGGACCCUCCUACUGGAUUGAUACCUUGGUUCUCAAAAACCGAGGGAAAUACUUAUGCUACCGUGCUGCAUCACCCUUUACUCUUCAAGGAAAACCAACGCAAGCUCAAGAUGUAGCACUGCCUGCGGGCCAUGCUGACCACCCGUCAUGGGGGCAUGGCCCUACCUGACGUAGGCGUCGUCAUGGGUUGCGUGGCUACAGUGCCAUGCCAGGCGAGGGUCGUCUGCCUGGUACGUCUGCACUGUAGCCACAUUCCUUCCGGGAUAGGAGGGUGGCAGAUGACACUGUUGACACACCCUGUCUUGUCGAGCUCUUAACAUGGUCACAAUCAAGAACAAAUACCCAAUGCCCCGAAUAAAUGAUUUAUUCGAUCAGCUCGCACAGGCCAAAGUCUUCUCAAAAAUUGACUUGAGAUCGGGAUACCACCAAUUAAAGGUGCGAACAGAAGAUAUUCCCAAGACAGCCUUCACUUCCAGAUAUGGACUGUAUGAGUUCACAGUAAUGCCAUUUGGGCUAACCAACGGCCCCGCAUAUUUAGUUCACCUCAUGAACAAAGUAUUUAUGAAGUAUAUGGACAAGUUUGUUGUGGUAUUCAUCGAUGAUAUUCUGAUAUACUCCAAAACACCAGAACAGAACGCCGAGCAUCUCAGGGUUGUACUCGGAGAACUCAGGAAACAUCAACUGUACGCCAAAUUCAGCAAGUGUGAAUUUUGGCUAAGAUAGGUGGGUUUUCUGGGCCACGUGCUAACCCAAGAAGGUAUUGCAGUUGACCCGAAAAAGGUCAAGGCUGUACUUGGCUGGAAACCACCAGCUAGCGUAACGGACGUACGGAGUUUCUUGGGAAUGGCACGCUAUUAUCGGAGAUUUAUUGAAGGAUUCUCCACCAUAGCAAAGCCCAUGACGCAGUUGCUCAAGAAAGGCAAGAAGUUUGAAUGGACGGAAGCAUGUGAGAAAAGCUUCCAAGAGCUAAAAAGCAAAUUAACAACGGCACCAGUAUUAAUUGUGCCAGACAUACACAAGAAUUUUGAGGCAUAUUGUGACGCAUCACGGAAAGGCCUCGGAUGCAUAUUGAUACAAGAAGGCAAGGUAGUCGCGUAUGUCUCCAGAAACUUCGCAAGCAUGAGGAGAAUUAUCCCACUCAUGACUUAGAAUUGGCAGCGGUCAUCCAUGCACUCAAGGAAUGGAGACAUUUUCUACUUGGAAAUCGUUGUCAAAUAUACACAGACCAUAAGAGUCUUAAGUAUAUUUUCACACAGCCGGAACUAAAUUUACGGCAAUGACGCUGGUUGGAGUUGGUAAAGGAUUAUGAUGUUGGAAUCCACUAUCAUCCCGGAAAAGCAAAUGUUGUGGCAGAUGCACUUAGUCGGAAUCCCAACACAGACAACGACAGUAUACCAAAUUUGAGGCCAGAAUUUCAACAGGAAUUUGCCAAACUCAAUUUAAUAAUGGUCACCGAAGGCAGUGUGUUGAACUUGGAAAUACAGCCUACCCUGAUGGAAAAGAUUAAGGAGGCUCAGCAUGGACACCCCAGCAUUGAUGGCAUAAAAAGGAAAGUGAUUUUGGGCAAGGCCUCAGAAUUCAACGUAGAUGAGCAAGGAAUAUUGUGGUACGGAGAGAGACUUUGCGUACCAAAUAUCAAGGACCUCAAACAGCAGAUUCUGGCUGAAAGCCACACCGCGCCGUAUUCAAUCCAUCCUGGAGGAACAAAAAUGUACAAAGAACUUCAGGAAAAAAUUUGGUGGCACGGUAUGAAGAGAGAUAUAGCUACGUUCAUUGCAUGCUGCGACUCUUGUCAACGUAUCAAGGCCAAGCACCAGAGGCCAGCCGGGCUGUUACAGCCAAACAAGAUACCCGAGUGGAAGUGGGACGAGAUUGGAAUGGAUUUCAUUGUUGGACUACCACGAUCACGACACGGAAAUAAUGCCAUAUGGGUCAUCACCGACAGAUUAACUAAGGUGGCACACUUUAUCCCGGUGAAGACAACUCACACCACUCAGAGGCUGGCCAGACUUUAUCUUGCCCGUAUCGUCUGCCUACAUGGAGUCCCAAAGACUAUCAUAUCUGACAGAGGCACACAGCUCGUCUCUAGAUUUUGGGAUCACCUAUAACAGGCAUUGGGAACCCAACUAGCAUUCAGUACCGCAUACCAUCCCCAGACUGAUGGGCAAACUGAACGCGUAAACCAAAUUCUAGAAGACAUGCUGAGAGCCUGUGUCCUCACCUAUGGAACCAGUUGGGAAGAAAGUUUGCCAUAUGCAGAGUUCGCAUACAACAAAAGUCAUCAAGCCAGCUUGCAAAUGGCACCCUUUGAAGCUCUAUAUGUGAGAAGAUGUCGUACCCCGCUAAACUGGUCAAAAACCGGGGACAGCCACAUCUUCGGCCCAGAUAUGCUCAAAGAGGCUGAGGAGAAAGUUAAGACGAUUAGAGAUCGACUCAAGACAGCGCAAAGUCGGCAAAAGAGUUAUUACGAUCGAAAGCAUCGAGAAAUCAGUUUUGAACCGGAGAAUUUGUAUACCUAAGAGUUUCUCCUAUGAGGGGUCUGCAAUGAUUCAGGGUUAAGGGAAAGCUAGCACCAAGAUUCAUCGGACCAUUUCGUAUAGUGGCCCGAAGAGGCAUGGUAGCCUACCAGCUAGACCUACCCGGAGAUUUAUCCGAUAUCCACAACGUGUUCCACAUCUUGCAGUUGAGCAACCCAGAGAAGCAAGUAUCACAAGAAAAUAUUGACGUGCAACCAGACCUCACCUACAGGGAGCACCCAAUAAAAAUAUUAGAAGAGUCUGAGAGGAGGACCCGACAGAAAACCAUCAAGUUUUUCAGAGCUCAGUGGACCAAUCACACCGAGAAUGAAGCAACUUGGUAGAGGGAGGAUUUUCUUCGGACAGAGCACCCACACCUGUUUAAGGAUCAGCUGAAAUCUCGGGGACGAGAUUUUUCCUAAGGGGGUAGGUGUUGUGACACUCCAAAUUUUUUUGUGGUUUUUGUUUUCAACACGAGUCUUGCUUGGUUUAAAGAAGGUCAUUUAAACCCUUCUUAAAAACCUCUCAUCUGAGUUUUCCCUCUAAAAAUCUUUUCUUGGAUUUAUUUUCUUCUAAAAAGAAAACCUUUUUGGUUUUGGGCUUUUCUUUGGUUUUGAUCCCUCUUGUUUUUACCAUGCCUCCUAUGGUAAAUUUUCCCCAAAAACCCUCCUUCCACUUUGGAUCAACCCAAACAUUCUGUCCCAACUAAUAAAAUCCAUUUUUUGGAUUUUAUCUCAUUGUUUCCUUUUCCAAAAACAAUUCUGUCCUUUAUUUUGAGCCUAGGUAAUUUGCAAAGCAAGUACCUUAAUGCCUUUGAUUUUUGAUCUCAACUCAACUCCCCUGGAUAGUCCUUAGCACCCACAACCUCGAACCAUCAAGAUCCACUCUUCUCCUUUUCAAAAUUUUCAAAUUUCACCCUCUGCAAGUUUGGACUAGAUUUGUCAAAUUUGGUGAAAUUCAUAUCUACACUUCUCCAGAAAUUCCACCAAAAUUCAGGCAGCCCCCAGUUGCAAUGAGAGACCACUCCACGAAAAACCAGCUCAAGGAAAAAUAUCUACAUGCCAAAAUCAUUCUGUCGAACACCUGGCCUGCACUGUUACUGUGCAUCUUCAGUAAAAUUCAGAGUUCAGUGUUGUUUCUUCGUCAGGGAUUCAGUCACAUGUCGACUAUGCACUUGGCACAUUGCUCGCAGCUCCUCCUCCUUGUCCGAAGCACGACACGCGCGCUUGGCUCGUUCUUGGCGUCGGUGGUGCCCUGGCCCGCCUGCGCCGGCGAGUUCCACGGCGGCAGAAACCCUGUGGCGGCCGACAGGGGGACACACUGCGGCAUAACGCCGUUCGGCACCGCCCAAACCUCCUGAGAGCUCCGUGUGGCCAUCUCCUUGCCAGCGCAUGCAUGCAGCACCGUCGCCGUGGCCUGGCACGCGCAGAACGCACUCUCCGUCGGGGACAUGCCAUAACCACCCCUGCCGUGCUAAGUUAGACGCUGGAAUGGCACCAGUGCUUCGUCUAGAUGAUGCUCAAGCCUCUAAUCCAACCGUCCAGCCACAGCGCCGCCGUAAUCGCUCGCCGGACUUAUCCGUUCACGGCAACCGCCUCGGGCCAGCUAUAAAUAGCGCCUCCGAGCUUGCUCUCGCCCCCGCACAACUCCACCACCUCACCAGACCCCGCCUACCCUUUGGAAGAGCCUCGAAAGGCCCUUCUUCCUCCACUCCGGCCACCUCCGUCCGCCUCGGGCUUCGGCAACGUUCUCUUCGGUGGGGGCUCCUCCACCUCCCUGCACUUGCCCGUAGUCUCAUGGCACCACUAGGAGACUAACCCCCACUUCAAUUUGACCCCAGCAGCUCUCUCCGACGAGGCCCACGACCACCCGAACCGCCGUCCGUCGGAGCAAGGGCCGCCGUCGACACAGUGCUCGCCCACGACCACCACCACCACCCAUGGACGCGGAAGGAUGUACUGAACACAGAGGUACCACCCGAUCCCCUUGCCCCGCCGUGGAUCGCCGCCGGCGACCACCGCAGCUCUCGGGCGCCGACGAGCCCUGUUUCCCUCGUUUGAAUAUUCAAACCUGACAGGUGGAGCCCGCCUGUCAGUCUCUCUUUUCUUUUCUUUUAAACGAACCGUUUUCUGGACUUUUCCGCAGAACCCCCUGGGAGUUUUCUGUUUCAUUACAGAAAGGUCCCUGGAUCAAAACCCUUAUAUCUUUUAAACAGAAAAGGAUUUUGGUUUGAUUAUUUUUCUGUUCUCUUUAAAAUGUUGUCUAGUUUUUUAUCAGGUUUAUUUGAAAAAAAAAUUGAUUACUUUUUGUGCACCUCGCGGUAUUUACGUUACGAGCGUAUUUUUCUUAUACCAUAGAUACCGGAGGAGUUGACGGAGCCGCGAACUUCACCCAGUUAGACUCCGACUACUCUGAACCAGGCAAGCAUGUUUGAACUCUUGAUAUGAUGAGUGUUUGUUGCAUGUUUGCAUUUUAGGAGUUUCAUGGCAUGUUUAUGAACAUUUCUUUGAAUGUUAUAUUUCAUGCACAAAAGUGGAAAGUAAGUUUUGGAAAGCCAUAUGUUGUUGGAUACAUAUUUGCAUGGCCAUGGGUUGGCAUUAGAAUGGGUAAGAUGGCAGUGUUGUGGCAUGCCAGUCUUACGCCAGUCUAUUUGACUUCAGUGUCAUCGUGAACCAAAUCACAUUCCCAUUCAUUUCCUUCCUGUACUGCCACUUGUUUUCCGCAAGGAAUAUGGCUUAGUAAGUUGCAAACCAUUUUCCUGGUACACACCAAGUAGAGAGGUCGGGAUGAGGGUUCCAUGGCCCUGGAUUAAAGCCCGUCAUCCGCUGAGGAGGCAUGGGUGUUUCCGGUUGGGACCGAGAGGGGGGCACCCCUUAGAGCGCGCGUAUAGAAAUUUUAUUCCAUGCUAUUCGAGGUUGUGACCUCCCCGUCUCAAAGUUUUUCUUGGACAUUGUCUAGGGUGAUUCCGGGCAUCGUGAGAUGGAAUGGGUGUGUACUGGUUAAAUGUGUUUCUACCGAAAAACCAUAAACGGAACUAGUCCUUCGUGACUACGGAAAUCCGUUGGUUGUGGUCAGUCAGUACAAACUCUGCAGAGUCACAAAUCUUUAAAUCAUCUUGUACAUGUCCAAGUACUGUGUUCAUCUUAUCUUGUCAGAUUUCAGCCUCGGUGGCAAGACCCGGUGGACUACAUGAGUUUUAAAUCUGGUUAAAACUUAAUUCCUGUGGAUGGACUAACUUGUUAUUUACAUUUGAUAUAAGCCCUUUCUGUGAUGUCGCUCAGACGUCCGACUGUGGCAUACUUGUUAUUUACAUUUGUUAUAAGCCCUUUCUGCGAUGUCGCUCAGACGUCCGACUGUGGCAUUUCUUUUUCAAGCCCUUUAUGUGAUGUCACUCAGACGUCCGACUGUGGUAUUUCCUUUCAAGCCCUUUCUGUGAUGUCGCCCAGACGUCCGACUGUGGCAUUUCNNNNNNNNNNNNNNNNNNNNNNNNNNNNNNNNNNNNNNNNNNNNNNNNNNNNNNNNNNNNNNNNNNNNNNNNNNNNNNNNNNNNNNNNNNNNNNNNNNNNNNNNNNNNNNNNNNNNNNNNNNNNNNNNNNNNNNNNNNNNNNNNNNNNNNNNNNNNNNNNNNNNNNNNNNNNNNNNNNNNNNNNNNNNNNNNNNNNNNNNNNNNNNNNNNNNNNNNNNNNNNNNNNNNNNNNNNNNNNNNNNNNNNNNNNNNNNNNNNNNNNNNNNNNNNNNNNNNNNNNNNNNNNNNNNNNNNNNNNNNNNNNNNNNNNNNNUCCUUUCAAGCCCUUUCUGUGAUGUCGCUCAGACGUCCGACUGUGGAAUUUCUUUUUCAAGCCCUUUCUGUGAUGUCGCUCAGACGUCCGACUGUGGCAUUUCCUUUCAAGCCCUUUCUGUGAUGUCGCUUAGACGUCCGAAUGUGGCAUUUCCUUUCAAGCCCUUUCUGUGAUGUCGCUCGGACGUCCGACUGUGGCAUUUCUUUUCAAGCCCUUUAUGUGGUGUCGCUGAGACGCCUGACUGUGGCAUUUGUUUUAUAAGCCCUUUAUGUGGUGUCGCUUAGACGCCCGACUGCGGCAUGAGCUUUAAUAUUUUACCUUUCGAGGCGUUGCUCUAGACACCCGAUCAGUUUUCAGUUAUUUGUUUUACUUAUCAAGUCGUGCAAAAAUAUUGUUAUUGGAAUGAGCAUCAUUAUUUCUGUUCAUGACGCAUUCAUGCAUACAUUUGUUAUAUCCUUUGUCUGAACUGUCUUGCGAGUACUUUCAAAGUACUCACCUGGCUUGUUGAUUUGGCCAAAUGUUGAUGAAGGACAUCUCAUGGAUGAAGAGUUCGAUAGCGAGUCCGACGCCUAGAGGAGUCCCAGUCAGUCCCGUGCGAUCCUGCAUUUUGGUCACUAUAUUAUAUCCGCUUCCGCCACCCCAGAAAUAAAUUCAUCGAGCCUCACCUCGACGCUCGAUGAGCUGCCAGUUAGGAGUCAAGUUAUCCACCACCACUUUUAUCUCGAGCUAGUAACAUGUCACCACACCCCUGUGUCAUAAACGCCCUUAUGUAAGAUAUUGGCGAGUUUGUAAUAAUUUGUUGAGCAGCCUCAGCUCAACCCUGUAAUAUGUUAAUGCUACUGGUCCUCUGUUUAUCAAGUAUUUGUCUACCAGUGAGGAUGACUUUUCCUAUACUGGGAUCUAAAGAUCGAUUUUCUCAAUAAUUAUUUUAUUGAAAAACUGGUCGUGACAAUGACCCCUCCAAGAAGCAGCCUAAGCACCGAUGUCAGCGGCGCCGCUCUAAAUCCCGCCACAGCAAAAACGGCGAUUCCGGCACCGGAAACAAUAACACCCCGGACAGUGCCGAAGACAACCCCCUCCAGUAGGAUUCAGCACAGGAGGAUGGGGAAGCCAACCCUCAUGAGAGAGCGGUAGACAGAGAGGUCGAGGACGACAAUUAUAUGCCUCCCUCCGAAGACGAGGCAAGCCUCGACGACGACGAAUUUGUCGUGCCUAAGGAUCCUGUCGAAAAAGAGCGUUUCAAACGCAGGCUUAUGGCCACGGCAAGCAGCCUCAAGAAAAAACAGCAGCAGCUUAGAGCUGACCAAGAUUUCCUAGCCGACAGAUGGACUGAAGUCUUGGCGGCCGAAGAGUACAAACUCGAAUGCCCCUCAAAGAGCUACCCAAAGCGCAGGCUGCUACCCCAAUUAGAGGAGGAAGCAACUAAACCUACAUCACCAGCGUAUGACGCGGCCUCUCGGCCACCUCGUGGCCGUGACAGAGAAGCCUCUCGGCCAUCCAUUCAAGCCGCACCCCGGCGCCGCUCAAAAAGUACCAAGGCACGGGGAAACGCGCUAGACCUGCAAGACAUAUUGGAGGACAAGGCCAGGCAAACAAGAUCGAUCUACGGAUCGCGUGGGCGCCCCACGACACGUGACGAUAACCGUCACGCCGGAUAUGGCAAAUACGGCCAGGCCGGACAGGGCAGGCAAAGCUCAUAUGAGCUACGUCGUGAUAUAGCCCAGUACAGAGGCGCCGCACACCCACUAUGCUUCACAGAUGAAGUAAUGGAUCAUGAAAUCCCCGAAGGGUUUAAACCCGUAAACAUCGAAUCAUACGAUGGCACAAUAGAUCCUGCGGUAUGGAUCGAGGAUUAUCUCCUUCAUAUCCACAUGGCCCGCGGUUAUGAUCUACACGCCAUAAAAUACCUCCCACUCAAGCUUAAAGGACCAGCUCGGCAUUAGCUUAACAGCUUGCCAACAGAGUCAAUUGGUUUCUGGGAGGACCUAGAAUCCGCAUUCCUUGACAACUUCCAGGGCACUUAUGUGCGACCACCAGACGCCGAUGACCUAAGCCACAUAAUUCAGCAGCCAGAGGAAUCGGCCAGACAAUUCUGGACACGGUUUCUAACCAAGAACAAUCAAAUAGUUGACUGUCCGGACACGGAGGCCCUCUCAGCCUUCAAACAUAACAUCUGUGACGAAUGGCUUGCUCGACACCUUGGAGAGGAAAAGCCGAAAUCCAUGGCAGCCCUCGCAACACUCAUGACCCGCUUUUGCGCGGGAGAAGACAGCUGGCUAGCUCGUAGUAAUAACAUGACCAAGAGCCCUGGUAACUUAGAUACCAAGGACAGCAAUUGCAGGUCGUGUCGCAACAAGCACAAGCACCGCAUUAACGGCGACAAUACUGAGGAUACGACAGUUAAUGCCGGAUUCAGAGGCUCUAAACCCGGUCAGCGGAAGAAGCCAUUCAAAAGAAAUCCUCCGGGCCCGUCCAGUUUAGACCGGAUACUCGAUCGCUGUUACCAGAUACACGACACCCCCGAACAACCAGCCAAUCACACCAACAGGGAUUGUUGGGUGUUCAAGCAGGCAGGCAAGUUAAGUGCCGAAAACAGAGAACAGGGGAUGCAUAGCGAUGACGAGGAGGAUCCCUGACCGCCGAACAACAGAGGACAGAAGGGCCUCCCCCCACAAGUGCGGACGGUGAACAUGAUAUACGCAACCCACAUCCCCAAAAGAGAACGGAAGUGUGUGCUCAGGGACGUAUAUGCGUUGGAGCCAGUGGCCCCAAAGUUCAACCCAUGGUCCUCCUGCCCGAUCACUUUUGAUCGAAGGGACCACCCCACUAGCAUUCGUCACGGCGGAUUCGGCGCAUUGGUUCUAGACCCAAUCAUUGAUGGAUUUCACCUCACUAGAGUCCUCAUGGACGGCAGCGGCAGCCUGAACCUGCUUUAUCAUGAUACAGUGCGAAAAAUGGGCAUAGAUCCCUCAAGGAUUAAACCCACAAAGGCAACCUUUAAAGGCGUCAUACCAGGUGUCGAAGCCAGCUGUACAGGCUCAGUUACACUCGAAGUGGUCUUCGGAUCCCCGGAUAAUUUCUGAAGUGAGGAGUUAAUCUUUGAUAUAGCCCCGUUCUGCAGUGGCUAUCACGCCCUGCUCGGGCGAACCGCAUUUGCAAAGUUCAAUGCGGUGCCGCACUACGCAUACCUCAAGCUCAAGAUGCCAGGCCCUCGAGGAGUCAUUACGGUCAAUGGAAACACCGAACGCUCUCUCCGAACAAAGGAGCACACGGCGGCCCUCGCGGCGGAAGUACAAAGUAGCCUCUCAAGGCAAUUCUCCGGUCCGGCUGUUAAACGUCCGGGCACCUUCAAGCGCGCCCGGAUUAACCUACAACAAGACCGUCUGGCACGUCCCGAGCAAGCAUAGCAGUGCGGCCCCAACCCCAGCCUUCGCGAGAUUGCGAAACCAGUACCACAUGUACAUAAUUACACUCUGGAAAUACCAUGGGCAUAAGGGGAGGGGCACAACCAUGGCAUGCCCAGAAUGCGACUCAACCGCACUAGGGGCUCCCGAUUUUGUCAUUUCUCUUUUCUUACUUUCAGGACUCCACACUUCGGAAGGCCUGUCCGGCAGUACACUCGCCGAACACAUGAUGCAAGACCCAGGGAGAUAGCAAGCCACGUCGAAAGUCCAGGUGGUCUCUAUAACGAGCUCAAUGCCUGUCUUACUUAAAGUCUCGCUGCUUGCCCCUGGAGGGGGACAUGUUAAAAAAUCCCACCUCUUGCUUAUCGCACUAUUUGUAUCGUUCUGCUUUCAUAGCAGCCCUUUAAUAAACAAUACAUAGCUCGUCUAUUAUUGCAUUCAUUUUUCAUGUAAAUAUGUUCAGUCAUGACAUUAUGCAACCGUACACUAUGGUACAGCCAAUACACCAGGGGCUUAAGCACCCCAGAAUAUGGUGUGAGAAGACCGAACACUCUCAUGAGUGCGGCACCCUGAACUUAUAGCAUUAUAUGCAUCGACUCUGAAUCAUGUCUUGGGUCAAUAGUUGGGUUUGCCCGGCUCCCAUGUUUUGGUACCUUGUGUUCCGCUGUAUCGGCUAUGGUAGCGCUGGGAGAACUACUGCGAUUGUGCCCCAGUUGAGGUGGGUUAACACCUCAAUAGAGAAAGCUAAAACUGACCGUCAUGAUAGGGCGAGAGACCGGUCGUUGUUCGAGAGGUUUUUCGAGUCCCUAAAGACUUAUGCCGCUUAGAGAGAGGAGCUAGAUUUAUCCGGCCUAGGCGUGGAUAGCGCCCCGAACUCGGUCUUCCGAAUACUAGGGGCUUCACCGAAAUUUAAAAUUAUAGAAUUCUAUGGCUAAGUGAGAGUGAUAAAGCAUUAUAAGUCCGAUUUCCUUGUUCGUUGUGCUGAGCGCCUCCCUCGAAGGACCCAAUAAUGGGAACAAGAGCGCUCAGGUUUAUCCCGAACACCCCAGCACUCGUGGCAUGGGGGCAGAAGCCGACGACUUGCAUCUCUCAGAUUUAAUAAACGGCCGCACAGAAGGUAAUAUUUUAAAUUCAAAAAGCGUUGCUUAGCGCAUAUGAACAAGUUUUCAGCGCACAGGACAAACAUAAGCGAGUUUACUCAAAAAUUAAAUCCUUGGAACAUUCGUUCGCCACAAGGCGGGCAUCCUUCAGGAUGCCCUCAUAAUACAUCUCGGGCCUGCGAUGCUCCUUCCCCUCCGGUGGCCCAUCCAUCACCAGCUUCUCAGCAUCCAGCUUGCCCCAGUGCACUUUGGCAUGGGCAAGGGCCCUACGGGAGCCUUCGAUGCAUACGGAGCGCUUGAUGACUUCAAGCCAUGGACAGGCAUCCACCAGCCGCCGCACCAGCCCAAAGUAGCUCCCAGGCAUGGCCUCUCCAGGCCACAGCCGGCCUAUAAGGCCCUUCAUGGCAUGUUCUGCUACCUUAUGGAGCUCGACCAGCUGCUUCAGCUGGUCGCUCAGGGGCACCGGGUGUCCGGCCUCGGCAUACUGGGACCAGAACACCUUCUCCGUCAAGCUCCCCUCCUCGGCCCGGUAGAAUGCGGUGGUGUCGGAUACACUGCGGGGCAGAUCUGCGAAUGUUCCUGGAGAGCUCCGGACUCGGGUAAGUAACAGGUAAUUUACUUUCACGUGCUUGCUUUGCAUAAAGAAUGCCUUACCCGCCGCUAUCUUUUUCAUCGCCUCAAUUUCCUGGAGGGCCUUUUGGGCUUCGGCCUUGGCAGAUUAGGCACUUUCCAGUGCUGAGGCAAGCUCAGACUCUCGAGUCUUUGAGUCAAGCUCUAAACUCUCGUGUUUUUUCACAAGAGCAUUAAGCUCUUGCCACACCUCCGCCACCUGCGCCUCCUACUUUUCUCGCUCAGUGCGCUCCAUGGCCGCAUUGUCUUUGGCCUUGGACAACGCUUCCUUCAGGGCCGCCACCUCGGUUGUGGCCCCUGUAAUAUUCAUGUUGGUCCUGUCAUUAUUUGCAACCAGGUAUUUUAAUAUACUUACAUAAGGUACUACCUACCUUCCUUGUCCUCGAGCUGCUUCUUGGCACGGCCGAACUCGUUCUCGAUCCGCUCGAGGCUCUGCUUCAAUGCAUCACAGUCAGUGCGGCAGAGGUCAGCAGCGCAGCCUGCAUUCCCAUAUUGACAUAUUUAUGUUAGACUCCUGCGUAUAUCUUUUUAGAUCCUCAGUCCUGCUUUUCUUUCCGAACACCAAACUGAGCAUCAGGGGUAACAUUUUUAUAUGUUUUAAAUACAUACCUCAAAGCCUAUUAGAAGGUUGGCACAGGCUUCUGUCAGCCUGCUCUUGGCGGACUGAACCUUCUGCAUCACCGCACUCAUAACAGUGCGGUGUUCCUUGUCGAUGGAGGCGCCGUUAAGCACCUCCAGCAAAUUGUCUGGCGCCUCCGGUUGGACGGAGGCCGCCGGCGUCGUAGGCUUGCCCUUCUUGCGAGGGGGCCGCCUGCCGGACUCCGCAGCCACUGAAGGUUCCGGUGCGGUGUCCGGCCCAAGGCCGGACUUAGAUCCCUUCGGGGUUUUAUCCCCUUUGGGCCUGGAGUUCGGGAGGUCGCCUUGCGGCGCCUCCGGGAUCACCUCCUCCUGGUUUAGCCCCUUUUGGGACUCCACCUCGGCAUCAUCCGUAGGGCGGGGGGAGGUAGCCGUCGGGAGUGAAAGACUAUUCACAUCCGACGAAUCCAGGGAGCCGCUCGACGAAUCACCGAGCUGAGCCUUGGGUGGACUGCAUGAUUAUAUUCGGCAUAAGAAGGUACUGUGCAAAUAAAGGAACGCUAUGAACUAUUCUCGUAUCCGGAUACUUACGAUUUGGCCAGGGGCUUGGCCCUGGAUGGCCACUCCUCUUUGCCGUCAUCGGCGUCGGAGGCGUAGUCCGGAAGAAGGGUCUUCCCCUUCUUGGACCCUCCGGCCUCCCCAGUUGGGGCGGCCUUUCUUUUCUUUCCUCCCCCCGCUGGAGGGGGAGAGGCUUCUUCUUCCUCCUCCUCGUCUUCGGAGGAGGGGUGCGCUUUGGGGUCGUCAAGCGAUGAGUCCGACACCACCAGGCGCCGGGAGCUCUUUCGGGUUCCCGUGGCCUUCUUCUUGGCCUUCUCCUCCGGCACCACGUGAGGUGCCGGGGCUAGCAACUUCGUCAAGCGUGCAUCAGCUGGGCCUUUGGGCAAAGGAGCCCGACAGUUAAACCGUCCAGACGUCUCCUUCCAGUCCUAUCAAAGGAGCGGGAGCUUAGAUCCCACAUAGAAUCAAACUAUGGAAAACGAGUAUCCUGUAAAGGGUAAAACAAGCUUACCGCGCUGGCUUGGCGCUUUGCGUAGAAUCCGCGAUCCUCGGUAAUGGGUGGGGGAACCUCUGAGCUCUUGAAUAGCACCUUCCAGGCAUUUUCGUGCAUUGUGUCGAAGAGCCUGGACAAAGUUUGGUGCUGAGCCGGGUCGAACCCCCACAAGUUGAAAGCCCGUCGUUGACACGGGAGGAUCCGGUGGAAGAGCAUGACCUGGACUGCGUUAACAAGCUUAACCUUCUUCUCCACCAAGUUUUGGACGCAGGUUUGGAGUCCGGUCACCUCUUCCGGAUUACCCCAUGACAGGCCCGUCUCUUUCCAGGAGGUGAGCCGUGUGGGGAUGCCAGAGUGGAAUUCGAGGGCUGCUGCCCAUUCAGGGUCAAGCAGCUUGGUGAUGUAGAACCAUCCCGAUUGCCACCCUUUGAUGGUUUCGACAAAGGAGCCCUCGAGCCAGGUGAUGUUGGGCAUCUUGCCCAACAUGGCACCUCUGCACUCCGCUUGCCGGUCGCCCACAACUUUCGGCUUGACAUUGAAGGUCUUCAGCCAUAAGCCAAAGUGGGGCUGGAUGUGGAGGAAGACCUCGCACACGACGAUAAACGCCGAGAUGUUGAGGAUGAAGUUCGGGGCCAGAUCGUGGAAAUCCAAGACGUAGUAGAACAUGAGCCCCCGGACAAAUGGGUGGAGUGGUAAGCCUAGUCCGCGGAGGAAAUGGGGGAGAAACACGACCCUCUCAUGGGGCCUGGGGGUGGGGAUGAGUUGCCCCUCAUCUGGGAGCCGGUGCGCGAUGUCAUUGGACAAGUAUCCGGCUUUCCUCAGCUUCUUGAUUUGCCCCUCCAUAACAGAGGAGGCCAUCCACCUGCCUCCCGCUCCGGACAUGAUUGGAGAAGGUUGAGGUGGGAAGUGCGGACUUGGGCGCUGGAGCUCGAGUGCGCAGGAAUGGAUAAGCGAAGGAGGAGAAAGGCGUAGAUGGAAAGGAUGGAUUCUUAUCCCCUUAUAUGGUCGGCCGAAACUAUGUGCCCUCACCAACCUAGUAAAACUCGCUUAUCUCCCAAGCGCCGCGAUUAAUGGCGCGGUUGGGUUACCCACGCCCGUAUUGAUGAGAAUCCCGGAAUAAGGGGACACGAUCUCUGCUUUGACAAGACGUUCCAAGGAAACCGCCUCGCUAAACACGCUGAGGUGGGACAGUAAAAUGAUUUGAAUAAAGGCUUGGCUGUGGCAUGAUGUCACGCUACGGAAUACGUCAGCAGAUUAGAUUUGUGCGAAUAUUAUUCUCUCUAUGGUGGUAUGUGGAAACUAUUUUGCAGAGUCGAACACUAUUCUUAUGUUCUACAUCUUCUAUGAAGUAUUCGGAGGACGAACCCGCCUUGAAAUGCCGAAGACAAUUUGCGUGCUGGACUCGUCAUCAUUGAAGCCUGGUUCACGGGCUACUGAGGGAGUCCUGGAUUAGGGGGUGUCCAGAUGGCCGGACUAUGACCUUUGGCCGGACUCCCGGACUAUGAAGAUACAAGAUUGAAGACUUCGUCCCGUGUCCGGAUAGGACUUUCCUUCGUGUGGAAGGCAAGCUUGGCGAUACGAUAUGUAGAUCUCCUCCCAUUGUAACCGACUCUGUGUAACCCUAGCCCUCUCCGGUGUCUAUAUAAACCGGAGAGGUUUAGUCCAUAGGACGAACAACAAUCAUACCAUAGGCUAGCUUCUAGGGUUUAGCCUCUCUGAUCUUGUGGUAGAUCUACUCUUGUACAACCCAUAUCAUCAAUAUUAAUCAAGCAGGAGUAGGGUUUUACCUCCAUCGAGAGGGCCCGAACCUGGGUAAAAACAUCGUGUCCCUUGUCUCCUGUUACCAUCCGCCUAGACGCACAGUUCGGGACCCCGUACCCGAGAUCCGCCGAUUUUGACGCCGACAGACGCCGUCUUCUCGCGCCUCUUUGGCCUCCGCCUAUGUGUACAUGGCAACCCGAGGCGAGUAGCAGAACGUCAUGGUGAUGUAGCGAAAGGCACCGAAUGGCGUGAUGAAGGCGGUCUUUAGGCGAUCAGCCGAAUCCAGCUUGAUCUGGUGGUAGCCGGAAUAGGCAUCAAGGAAGGAUAGCAUCUCGCAUCCAGUUGUGGAGUCGAUCACUUGGUCUAUUCGUGGCAAAGCGAAGGGAUCUUUGGUGCAUGCUUUGUUGAGACUGGUAUAGUCUAUGCACAUAUGCCACUUGUUGUUCUUCUUUAGCACGAGGACCGGAUUGGCAAGCCAGUCUGGGUGGAACACUUCCAUAAUGAAUUCGGCUGCUAGCAGUAGGGCGACUUUUUCUCCAAAAAUCCUUCUCUAAUCUUCAGAUAGGCAGCGGAUGGGUUGCUUGAUCGGCUUGGCAUCUGAGCUUACAUGAAGUUUGUGCUCGGCGAGAUCCGUCGAGACACCCGGCAUGUCUUUGGAGGACCAUGCAAAGAUGUCUCGAUUCUCACGGAGGAAAUCGAUGAGCUCGCCUUCCUAUUUGCUGUCAAGGCCAACACCUACAAUGGCAAACCUGUCCGGGUGGUCUCUUUGGCCGGCUGGAAUGAGGCCCCUACUUCGGCUUCCUUGUGAUCAGUCGGCAUGGCCAGCUUCUCGCUGGCCAUGGCUACCAUCCGAUCAAGGAGCCGUCUUUCCUGAGCUAUGAUGAGGGACUCGGCCAGCCUGCUGCUGGCAACCGCACAGUAUUGUGACUUGUUGUAAUCUCCGACAACUGUAAUGAUGCCCUUUAUGCCUGGCAUGUUGGCCUUGAGGUGUGCAUAGUGAGGUACCAUCAUAAACUUGGCUAGCGCAGGGCGGCCAAGGAGCGCGUGAUAGGGGCUUUCCAGGUCGACCACUUCAAACCACAGUGGCUCGCGGCAGAAAUGAUCUCUGUCGCCGAAGAGGACGUCAAUCUUUAUCUUGCCAAUUGGGGAGCAGGAGAGACAUGGAACUAUGCCGUGAAAAAUAGUCUGGCUUGGCUGAACUUGCUUGGCCUUGAUGCCUAGUCGCUCCAUGGUCUCGCGGUACAGGAUACUGAUGGUGCUGCCGCCAUCUAUUAGAACUCAGCUGAAACGGCAGCUCCACCUCUCUGUUGCAAAGGUUACAUCGAGCACCAGGGCAUCUGAACCUGGGUUGUGCAUCAUAGUCGGGUGGUCAGCUUGGCUCCAAAUGAUGGGCUUCUCGGACGAGUGCAUGCGGGUGGGAGCUUUUAUACUGACAGCAUUGACCUCUCUGUGCUGCUGCCGCCUGCUAUGCCUGUUGUCGGCUUGGCUUGUGAAGACAACAUAAGCAGCAUGCUCCUCGGGGAACUCGUCUUGUAUGGUGCCGACUGGUCGGGCUGUCGGCUGGAGCUGGAGGGCCGGCUGGCGGGGGAGGUGGGAGGGCCUCUCCCUUGGCGAUCUGAGCUAGCUAGUGGAACUGAUGACCCACAAGUGUAGGGGAUCUAUCGUAGUCCUUUCGAUAAGUAAAAGUGUCGAACCCAACGAGGAGCAGAAGGAAAUGAUAAGCGGUUUUCAGUAAGGUUUUCUCUGCAAUCACUGAAAUUGUAGGUAAUAGAUAGUUUGUGAUAAGAUAAAUUGUAGCAAGUAAUAAAUAAUAAAAGUAAAUAAGGUGCAGCAAGGUGUCCCAAUCCUUUUUGUAGCAAAGGAUAAUACUAGACAAUUUCUUAUAAUGAGAAAAGAGCUCCCGAGGACACAUGUUAAUUAUCGUCAAGCUAGUUUCAUCACGUUCAUAUGAUUCGCGUUCGGUACUUUGAUAAUUUGAUAUGUGGGUGGACCGGUGCUUGGGUACUGCCCUUAAUUGGACAAGCAUCCCACUUAUGAUUAACCCCUAUUGCAAGCAUCCGCAACUACAACAAAAGUAUUAAGGUAAACCUAACCACAACAUUAAACAUAUGGAUCCAAAUCAGCCCCUAACGAAGCAACGCGUAAACUAGGGUUUAAGCUUCUGUCACUCUAGCAACCCAUCAUCUACUUAUUACUUCCCAAUGCCUUCCUCUAGGCCCAAUAAUGGUGAGGUGUCAUGUAGUCGACAUUCACAUAACACCACUAGAGGAAAGACAACAUACAUCUCAUCAAAAUAUCGAAUAAAUACCAAAUUCACAUGACUAUUAAUAGCAAGACUUCACCCAUGUCCUCAGGAACAAACGUAACUACUCACAAAGCAUAUUCAUGUUCAUAAUCAGAGGUGUAAUAAUAUGCAUAAAGGAUUUGAACAUAUGAUCUUCCACCAAGUAAAGCAAUAAGUAUCAACUACAAGGAGUAAUCAACACUACUAGCAACCCACAGGUACCAACUUGUGGUUUUGGAUACAAGAUUAGAUACAAGAGAUGAACUAGGGUUUGAAAGGAGAUGGUGCUGGUGAAGAUGUUGAUGGAGAUUGACCCUCUCCCAGUGGGAGGAUCGUUGGUGAUGACGAUGGUGAUGAUUUUCCCCUCCCGGAGGGAAGUAUCCCCGGCAGAACAGCUCUACCGGAGCUCUAGAUUGGUUCCGCCAAGGUUCCGCCUCGUGGCAGCGGAGUUUCGUCUCGUAAGCUUGCCCAUGAUUUUUUCUAGGACAAAACCCUUCAUAUAGCAGAAGAUGGACACCGGGGGGCACCAGGGGGCCCAGGAGACAGGGGCGCGCCCAGUAGGGGUAGGCGUGCCCCCACCCUCCUGGACAGGGUGUGGGCCCCCUGAGGUAUUUAAACUGCUCAAUAAUUCUUAUUAAAUCCAAAAAUAGGUUUCGUGGAGUUUCAGGUCUUUUGGAGCAGUGCGGAAUAGGUUUCUAAUAUUUGCUCCUUUUCCAGCUAGAAUUCCAGCUGCCGACAUUCCCCCUCUUCAUGGUAAACCUUAUAAAAUAAGAGAGAAUAGCCAUAAGUAUUGAUAUAUAAUGUGUAAUAACAGCCCAUAAUGCAAUAAAUAUUGAUAUAAAAGCAUGAUGCAAAAUGGACGUGUCAGGAACUUGCAUGGGGCGUCAAGGGCUUGCUCGAAGGAGAGAGCGGGCAGCCAAGCCCCCUUGCAGGUUUUCUGCUGCUUGGUGCAGGGCUGACCAGUCGGCUGUUGAUCUUCAACUACUGCUACCUGCCGGCUACUGGAAGCGGGCUGCUAGGCCUUGCACUUCUUGUUGUUUUGCUGGCACCGGUUGGCGUCACCAACCGGUGUUUGAGAAGCCGGGGGGAGCACCUUACCAGACGUGUCCACUCGGAGCUCCGAUUUGAUGGAGGAGUCGGCCGUGGCGUACUUGUCCGCUAUGACCAGUAGUUCGUCGAGGGUUGUUGGCUCGUCAUAGAGGAGCUUGUGCUUGAGCAAGGUGCCCUCUCGGCACCUGACCGUGAAGUACUCUAUGGCCUGCACCUCGUGCACCUCUUCGCAGGAGUUGCGCAGCUCGCCCCAGUGCGUCAGGUAGUCACGAGUGGACUCAGUCGGGCCUUGGACGCACAAGGAAAGUUGGCGAGGCUUGGGCGGCUGCUCAUAGGUGCUAGUGAAGUUGCGGAUGAAGACGUCGGAGAAGUCCAGCCAGUUGUUGAUGCUGUGCGGCUUGAGGUUGUUCAGUCAUGUUCGGGCCGUGUCCUCGAGCAUGAGCGGAACGUACUUCACGGCAACAUGCUUGUUGCUGUUCGCUAUGUUGAUGGCGGUGGAGUAGUCGGCCAACCAGUCUUCCGGCUUCACAGAGCCGUUGUACUUGGGAGUGUCUCGUGGCAGCGAGAAUUCUUUGGGCAAGGGCUCAUUUCGGAUGCGGGGGCCAAAACAAGGCGGGCCGACCAUAUCUUCUUCUUCUUCCGCCAAGGACCGAGCAAGUCGGUCGAUCUGAUGGUGGUCAUCAUUCUCUCCAAUUCCCUCAUGGUGACCUAGCCAGUAUCCGAGAGUCGGAUGCCCAACAGGUGACGGGGGUGCGGGCCUCUUCAAGAGCGGGGGAAGCGGGCAGUCGUUGCACCGUUCCACUGCUCUUCGGCGGCCGUCGCGGUCGCGCUUGAUCGUGAGUGCAUGCGUCGACUGCGGCUAGCAGCCGGCUCUGGGUCCCAUCGGCUGCCUGUUGGGGACCGAGAGGUCACGCCUUGUUCUCGAUGAGGGAGGUGGGUCUCGUCGGGCAUGCCGGGUUCCGCCGCGCGACGGGCGGUUUCUUGCUGAAAGGCGGCCGCGUCGAGGAGCCGCUGAAGGUGCUCCAUCAUGUGGCACUUCUCUUCGGCCUCUAUGUUAUCCAACUCAUCUGCUGCCGCCUGGGCGGCGCGCAAGUUCUCGAGGCGCGUGGCGUAGACAGGGCGGCCGACCUUAAAGAUGCUGGCGACGGUGGCGCCGUGUUGUCGUACGGCACCCAGCCGGCUGGGCUCUCCAGCAGCCGAAGUGCCGCCUACGGCACGGUCGACCUCACGCUGGUAGGCGUCAGCGAGGCGCUUUGCAGCAGCCAGGUGCUUGGCAAUGUUUGAUACGUCUCCAACGUAUCUAUAAUUUAUGAAGCAUUCAUGCUAUUUUAUUAUCUGUUUUGAAUGAUUAUGGGCUUUAUUAUACACUUUUAUAUUACUUUUGGGACUAACCUAUUAACCGGAGGCCCAGCCCAUAUUGCUGUUUUAUUGCAUGUUUCAGUAUUUCGAAGAAAAGGAAUAUCAAACGAAGUCCAAACGGAAUGAAACCUUCGGCAACAUGAUUUUUUGGAAGAAUAUCAUCCUGGAGACUUGGAGUUCAUGUCAGAACAUACUCGAGGAGCCCAGGAGAUAGGGGGCGCGUCCCCCUACUGGGCACCCCCCUGUCUCGUGGACCCCUCGAGAACCUCCCAACCGACUUCUUUCCACUAUAUAACCCUACGUACCCUAAAACCAUCGAAUAUCAAGAUAGAUCGGGAGUUCCGCCGCCGCAAGCCUCUGUAGCCACCAAAAACCUCUCGGGAGCCCUUCCGGGCACCCUGCCGGAGGGGGCAUCCUUCACCGGUGGCCAUCUUCAUCAUCCUGGCACUAUCCAUGACGAGGAGGGAGUAGUUCACCCUCGAGGCUGAGGGUAUGUACCAGUAGCUAUGUGUUUGAUCUCUCUCUCUCUCUUGUGUUCUCUCUCGUGUUCCCCUAUGGCACGAUCUUGAUGUAUCCCGAGCUUUGCUAUUAUAGUUGGAUCUUAUGAUGUUUCUCCCCCUCUACUCUCUUGUGAUGAAUUGAGUUUUCCCUUUGAAGUUAUCUUAUCGGAUUGAGUCUUUUACGAGAACACGUGAUGUAUGUCUUGCCAUGCUUAUAUGUGGUGACAAUGGGAUAUCAUGUGCCACUUGAUGUAUGUUUUGGUGACCAACUUGCGGGUUCCGCCCAUGAACCUAUGCAUAGGGGUUGGCACACGUUCUUGACUGUCCGGUAGAAACUUUGGGGCACUCUUUGAAGUACUUUGUGUUUGUUGAAUAGAUGAAUCUGAGAUUGUGUGAUGCAUAUCGUAUAAUUAUGCCCACGGAUACUUGAGGUGACAAUGGAGUAUCUAGGUGACAUUAGGGUUUUAAUUGAUUUGUGUCUUAAGGUGUUAUUCUAGUACGGACUCUUGAGUAGAUUCAUCCAAAAGAAUAACUUUGAGGUUGUUUCGUACCCUACCAUAAUCUCUUCGUUUGUUCUCCGCUAUUAGUGGCUUUGGAGUGACUCUAUGUUGCAUGUUGAGGGAUUGUUAUAUGAUCUAUCUAUGUUAUUAUUGUUGAGGGAACUUGCACUAGUGAAAGUAUGAACCUUAGGCCUUGUUUCCUAGCAUUCAAUACCGUUUAUGCUCACUUUUAUCAUUAGUUACCUUGCUGUUUUUAUAAUUUCAGAUUACAAAUACCUUUAUCUACCAUCCAUAUUGCACUUGUAUCACCAUCUCUUCGCCAAACUAGUGCACCUAUACAAUUUACCAUUGUAUUGGGUGUGUUGGGGACACAAGAGACUCUUUGUUAUUUGGUUGCAGGGUUGUUUGAAAGAGACCAUCUUCAUCCUAUGUCUCCUACAGAUUAAUAAACCUUAGGUCAUCCACUUGAGGGAAAUUUGCUACUGUCCUACAAACCUGUGCACUUGCAGGCCCAACAACGUCUACAAGAAGAAGGUUGCGUAGUAGACAUCAAGCUCUUUUCUGGCGCCGUUGCUGGGGAGGUUAGCGCUUGAAGGUAUAUCUUUAGAUCUUGCAAUCGAAUCUUUUUGUUUCUUGUUUUAUCACUAGUUUAGUCUAUAAAAGAAAACUACAAAAAAAUGGAGUUAAGUUUGUCUCGUACGCUUCAUCUUUUUAAUAUCUUUCGUGAGUUUGAUGGAAAGGAAAAUUGUGCUCAAGUGCUAGAAGAAGAAUGCAUUAGAAUGCUUGAUACUAAAUCUUUGAAUGAUGAGCAUGAUUGCAAUGUUGUUAGUAUGAACUCCUUGAAUAUCCAUAGUACUAAUGAUGAUUGCACUAGUUAUGAUGAAAAUGUCUCCUAUAAGCAUGUUGAUUUGUGUGGAGUAGAUUGGACUUGCAUGGACACACCAAAUAGAGAAAAUAGAUAUUGCAAGAGGCAUAAGUAUUUAAAAACUAAAGUUUUGCAAGAAAGUCUUGAUGAGUGUGCUAGAAGAUUCAAUAUUUUUCGUGCUCCUUGUGAACUUUGCAAUGAACGUGGUCAUUUAAAUCUCCAAUGCAAAUUGUUUCAUGAUCGAAUCGUGUCCAAAAAUUGUGAUAACUUGAUUACCCUUGGGCAUCAUAAUGAGCUUAGUCUUCUUUUGGGGUAUGAAGAAAUGAAACGUAUAACUGAGGGUAUUCCAAAAUUUAAUCUUGAUAGAUUUCUUGAUUUUGAUUUAGAGGAUAUUUAUAUGUUUUGUGCGGUGAAUUGCAUUGAAAAUUCUUAUAUUGCCAAUUACUUGAAGAAAAGGAAGCAAAUAGAAUAUGAUGAGAAUACUAAUGAAAGGGAAGAAACUUCCCAAUAUCCUCCUAUUAUUUCUUAUGAUGAAUCAGGUAACGAGGAGGAGCUUUCCAUUCAACCAAUCUCAUCAAUAAGAAGCUCAAUGAGGAAGGUUGAACCCACACAUAAUGUGAAGAAGAAAAAGAAAAGAAGGAGCAACAAAGGUAGAAAGGUAUCCCCCCCCCCCCAAAUGAUGUUGAUCCUACUACUCAUUGUGAUGAUGAUAAUUGCUUUACUAUUGGUGCUAUCCAUAUUUUUAACGAUGAGAGUGAUUAUGCUUAUGAUAUGAUAGGGCCCAGGCUUGGGAAAGCUAUGUUUGAUGAGGAUGAAAUAUUUGAGAAUAUAUUUUCUGAAAUUAAUGUUUGUCCCAAGCUUGGGGAUGCUACGUUUAGUGAAGAUGAUAUUUUUAGCAUCCCAAGUUUUGAUAUGCAAAGUUGUUAUGAUGAUAGCAUGCCUCCUACCUAUGAUGAUAAUAUAGAUGAAAGUGGGUUCGGAAGAGUGUCAACUUUAGGAAGUAGUGAUCCCACUAUUUUGGAGGAUGUUGAAUUUUAUUGUGAUGAAUAUGAAAGUGGAUUUGGAAGAGUGUCAACUUUAUUUAGUGAUUCCACUAUCUUGGGAGAGGUUUCAAUCGAUUAUGAUGAGAACGAAGUUGCUACUUAUGAUGAUUAUUGUGAUGAAACUUAUGCUAUAAAAAGUAGUGAUGAUUAUAUUUACAAAUCUUGUCAUUAUUAUGAUUACCCUUUUUCUGAACAUUACUCUUUUAAUGUGGAAACAAUUUUUAGUGUUCAAGUCUCUUAUGAUACUCCCACCAUUCCGAAUGUGAAGAAUUUUGCUUGUGUGGAGAGUAGUAAAUUUUCUAUGCUUGUAGAUCAUGAAAAGAAUGCUUUAGGUUCUGGUUAUAUUGUUGAAUUCAUUCAUAAUGCUACUGAAAAUUAUUAUGAGGGAGGAAUAUAUGCUUGUAGGAGUAGCAAUAAUAUCAAGUUUCCUCUCUAUGUGCUUAAAAUUUUAAAGUUAUGCUUGUUUUGCCUUCGUGUGCUAAUUGCUUAUUGUUCCCAUAAGUUGUUUUCUCACAAAAUCCCUAUGCAUAGGAAGUGUGUUAGACUUAAAUAUGCUAGUCAUAUGCUUCAUGAUGCUCCCGUUAUGUUUCAAUUCUUAUCUUUUAUGUGAGCAUGAUAUCAUCAUCAUGCCUAGCUAGAAAGGCAUUAAAGAAAAGCGCUUGUUGGGAGACAACCCAAUAUUUACCCUUACUGUUUUUGUGUGUCCACAUCAUUAUUCUACUGUACUAAUCAUGUUUUAUAGCUUUUGUUUCAAUAAAGUGCCAAGUAGAACCUUUGGGAAGACUUGGGUGAAGUCUUUAUGAUCUUGCUGUGAAAAACAGAAACUUUAGCGCCCACGAGAAUAGCUUCCAUUGUUUACUGGAGAGUGCUUUUAGGUUUAUUCGUUGUGCAUAUGAUUAAUAGACAAAUUCCUCAGGUCCACCAAUUUAUUUCAUAAUUUUUGGGGUUCCAGAAGUAUACGUUUGAUACAGAUUGCUAUAGACUGUUCUGUUUUUGGCAGAUUCUGCCUUUCAUGUGUUCUUUGCUUAUUUUGAUGCAUCUAUGGCUAGUAUGUAAGGGUAUGAACCAUAGAGAACUUGGAAUACAGUAGGUUUAACACCAAUAUAAAUAAAGAAUGAGUUCAUUACAGUACCUAAGUGGUGAUUUAUUUUCUUAUACUAACGGAGCUUACGAGUUUUGUGUUGAGUUUUGUGUGGUUGAAGUUUUCAAGUUUUGGGUAAGGAUUCGAUGGACUAUGGAAUAAGGAGUGGCAGGAGCCUAAGCUUGGGGAUGACCAAGGCACUCCAAGGUAAUAUCCAAGGACAACCAAGAGCCUAAUCUUGGGGAUGCCCCGGAAGGCAUCCCCUCUUUCGUCUUCGUUCAUCGGUAACUUUACUUGGAGCUAUAUUUUUAUUCGCCACAUGAUAUGUGUUUUCCUUGGAGCGUCAUUUUCUUCUGUUAGUAUUUGCUUUAUGUUAUUUAGAUUAAUGUUUUGCAUCUUUAGUUUCAAUAAAAAUUUCAAGGAUAGCCUUUGCCAUGCUUAUUUUGCUAGUAUACAUGUUCCUGUUUGAAAACAGAAAGUUUGCCGCUGUUGCAAAAAUUCCCUAGAAAAGUCAGAGAAUGGUAUAAUGUUGAAUAUUUUUGAAUAUUAAGAUCUGAUAAAUUUAUUACAGUGGGAAUUUUCUCUCAUAAUUUUUGGAGUCAGGGAAGUAUUGAUAGUCUUGCAUUCUUUACAGACUAUACUGUUUUGACAGAUUGCUGUUAUGUUUGCAUUAUUUGCAUAUGUUUGCUUGUUUAAUGAUUCUAUUUGAGGAUAGGAGUAUUAAAUAUUCAGAUACAUUUAGUAUUAAAUGUUGAAUAAUAAUCUUAGUGAUUUGUUACAGUAGAAGAUGAUAAGGUUUUGCAUUGGUUUAUACUAACCUAUCUCACGGGUUCUUGUUGAGUUUGUUGUGAAUGAAGCUUUUGAUAAAAAGAGAAACCAUGAUAUGAAAGGAAUUAAGGAGACAUAAAAGCUCAAGCUUGGGGGUGCACAAGGCACCCCAAGAUAAUAUUUCAAUAAGUCUCAAGCAUCUAAGCUUGGGGAUGCCCCGUUAGGCAUCCCACCUUUCUUCUUCAACGAUUAUCGGUUAGUAUCGGUUGAACCUAAGUUUUUGCUUCUUCACGUGAGUUGUGCUAUCCUUGCAAUGUCAUUUUAUUUUAUUUUGCUUGCUGUUUGAAUACAAUACCAAGAUCUGAAAUUCUCAUUUGAGAGAGAGAGAGUCUUCACAUAGUUGCAUAAUUAUUUAGCUACUAAUUGAUCUUCACUUUUAUCUUUUUGGAGUAGUUUUUCAUUUACUCGUGUGCUUCACUUAUAUCCUAUGAGUAAAUUGUUGAAUGAGUUGAUUGUCAUAAAUAUGAAAUUAUAUAUGUUUCAUUUGCUUAUCCCAUGGGGAGUAAUGACUUCACAUCUAAGAAGUAGAGGUAGUAAUUUAUUGGCGGUUAGCAAGCAUUAUAUUGGUCAUUUGAACAAUUCAUGAAAGAAUAUUGAAGGAAGAGAGCUUUCACAUAUAAAUAUAUUAUCUUGGACAUCUUUUAUAAUUGUGAGCACUCAUUUAGUAUGACAUGCUAAAGAGUUGAUGUUGGACAAGGAAGACAACAUAAUGGGUUAUGUUUUCUCACAUCUCAGUUAAAGUAAAUUUUCAUGGAUCAUUCAAACAUGUUGAGCUUUCCUUUCUCCCCUUGCUAGCCUAAAUAUCUGUACUAAGCGGGAAUACUGCUUGUGCAUCCAAUAUCCUUAAACCCAGUUUUUGCCAUGAGUGUCCACCAUACCUACCUAUAUGCGGUAUUUACAUGCCGUUCCAAGUAAAUUUGCAUGUGCCAAACUCUAAACCUUCAAAUUAUAAUUUGUUUUGUAUGCCCUAAUUUCUCAUGUAGCAACUAGGGGCUGUCAGUGUCUUCCAUGCUAGGUGGGUUAUUCUCAAGAGGAGUGGACUCCGCUCCUCAUUCACGAGAAAGUGGCGGUAACCGGGAUGCCCAGUCCCAUGAUCAAAAAGAUCAAAAUCAAAUCAAAAUAAUUGCAAACAAAACUCCCCCAGGUUUGACGUUAGUUGGAGGCACCCGUUGUUUCGGGCGAGCCACGGAUUGAUGAUUGUUGGUGGAGGGGGAGUAAAAUCUUUACCAUUCUGUUUGGGAACCGCCUAUAAUGUAUGUAGUAUGGAAGAUAUUGGGAACUCUUGGUUGUUAUGUUGACAAUGAGAUCAUACCUCUCAAAAUUAUUUAUCUCUAUUUCAAAAUCGAGCUCUGGCACCUCUGCAAAUCCCCGCUUCCCUCUGCGAAGGGCCUAUAUUUUACUUUAUGCCAUUUACUUUGUCCAAGAGUCAAGGUAUUCUUCACCUUUUCCCUUUUUCAUUUUAUCCUUUGGCAAGCACUUUGUGUUAGGGUGAUCCUGAUAUAUAUAUCCAAUUGGAUGUAAGUUAGCAUGAACUAUUAUUGUUGACAUCACCCAAAGGUGAAUAUGUUUGGAGGCAACAUUAUAAGCCCCAAUCUUUCUCUGUGUCUGAUUAAAACUUCAUAACCACAAUUAUUGCGUAAGUGUUGGCAAUUGUAGAAGACUAUAUGAUAGUUGAGUAUGUGAAGUUUGCUAAAUCAAAGCUCUAACAUAGACUCUUCCUGAAAGUAAGAUGAAUUGUAAUUGUUUGAUAACUAAGAAUGAACUUUGCAAGCUUUAAAGAAAGUUUAUGGUCUAUGCUUUAACAUGUGAAUUUCUUGUUACUAGUUCGUGAAAAGUUGUAUGAGAUGAACUACUGUUAUGACAUAUAAUGAUGCUAGUAAAGGUGAUUGCAAUUAUCAUUGAUCAAACUUGUGCACCUCUAGCAUUCACACUUCAUAAAUUCUUUCUUUAUCAUUUACCUACUCGAGGACGAGUAGGCAUUAAGCUUGGGGAUGCUGAUACGUCUCCAACGUAUCUAUAAUUUAUGAAGCAUUCAUGCUAUUUUAUUAUCUGUUUUGAAUGAUUAUAGGCUUUAUUAUACACUUUUAUAUUACUUUUGGGACUAACCUAUUAACCAGAGGCCCAGCCCAUAUUGCUGUUUUAUUGCAUGUUUCAGUAUUUCGAAGAAAAGGAAUAUCAAACGAAAUCCAAACGGAAUGAAACCUUCGGCAACAUGAUUUUUUGGAAGAAUAUCAUCCUGGAGACUUGGAGUUCACGUCAUAAGAUACUCGAGGAGCCCAGGAGAUAGGGGGGUGCCCCCCCUACUGGGCGCGCCCCCCUAUCUCGUGGACCCCUCGAGCACCUCCCGACCGACUUCUUUUGCCUAUAUAAGCCUACGUACCCUAAAACCAUUGAAUAUCAAGAUAGAUCGGGAGUUCCACCACCGCAAGCCUCUGUAGCCACCAAAAGCCUCUAGGGAGCCCUUCCCGGCACCCUGCCGGAGGGGGGGUCCUUCACCGGUGGCCAUCUUCAUCAUCCCGGCGCUAUCCAUGACGAGGAGGGAGUAGUUCACCCUCGAGGCGGAGGGUAUGUACCAGUAGCUAUGUGUUUGAUCUCUCUCACUCUCGUGUUCUCUCUCGUGUUCCCUCCAUGGCACAAUCUUGAUGUAUCCUGAGCUUUGCUAUUAUAGUUGGAUCUUAUGAUGUUUUUCCCCCUCUACUCUCUUGUGAUGAAUUGAUUUUUCCCUUUGAAGUUAUCUUAUCGGAUUGAGUCUUUUAUGAGAACACUUGAUGUAUGUCUUGCCAUGCUUAUCUGUGGUGACAAUGGGAUAUCAUGUGCCACUUGAUGUAUGUUUUGGUGACCAACUUGCGGGUUCCGCCCAUGAACCUAUGCAUAGGGGUUGGCACACGUUCUUGACUCUCUGGUAGAAACUUUGGGGAACUCUUUGAAGUACUUUGUGUUGGUUGAAUAGAUGAAUCUGAGAUUGUGUGAUGCAUAUCGUAUAAUCAUGCCCACGGAUACUUGAGGUGACAAUGGAGUAUCUAGGUGACAUUAGGGUUUUGGUUGAUUUGUCUCUUAAGGUGUUAUUCUAGUACGAACUCUUGAGUAGAUUGAUCCGAAAGAAUAACUUUGAGGUGGUUUCGUACCCUACCAUAAUCUCUUUGUUUGUUCUCCGCUGUUACUGGCUUUGGAGUGACUCUUUGUUGCAUGUUGAGGGAUUGUUAUAUGAUCUAUCUGUGUUAUUAUUGUUGAGAGAACUUGCACUAGUGCAAGUAUGAACCUUAGGCCUUGUAUCCUAGCAUUGCAAUACCGUUUACGCUCACUUUUAUCAUUAGUUACCUUGCUGUUUUUAUUAUUUCAGAUUACAAAUACCUUUAUCUACCAUCCAUAUUGCACUUGUAUCACCAUCUCUUCGCCGAACUAGUGCACCUAUACAAUUUACCAUUGUAUUGGGUGUGUUGGGGACACAAGAGACUCUUUGUUAUUUGGUUGCUGGGUUGUUUGAGAGAGACCAUCUUCAUCCUACGCCUCCUACGGAUUGAUAAACCUUAGGUCAUCCACUUGAGGGAAAUUUGCUACUCUCCUACAAACCUGUGCACUUGCAGGCCCAACAACGUCUACAAGAAGAAGGUUGUGUAGUAGACAUCAAUGUUGAUGAGAGAAAGGCGGUGUGCUUCCAGGGGUGCACUGUCUGCGCCGUCCUCAACCGGAGUGGCAAGGGAUUGUAGGGUCGAACGGAUCGGAUCCUGGUCCGCUACGGCCAAGGCUCCGUCCUGACUGAUUACCAGCACCUCUGUGACGGUGCUGGCGCUGGCGGUGCUGCACGCGCGGGGGAGCGAGUCGUCGAUGAUCUCUAUGUUGUCGGGGGAGGCAUCAACAUCUGCCGCGUCGGAGUUGAUGACCAUCUCGACGAGCGGAUCAGUGGAGCCAACGGACUCUAGGUCGACGGCGGGCUCGUUGGCGAUGUGGAGCUUGCCGAGGAGGUCGACGAGGCAGCUCUCGGAGUUGGCCAAAUCCAUGUCGGGGGCCGUCUCGUCGGCGAGGUGGACGCCGCCGAGGAGAUCGGCGAGGGAGCUCGCGGCACAGGCGGCCACCACGGUGUCGAGGGUGUCGGCGCAGGCGCCAUCAGAUGAGUCGGGAUGGCUGCGCCAUCAGAACGUGUCUCCGGACAACGGUGCGCCUUGCCCCAUGGUGGGCGCCAAAUGUCGUGGUAUUUCCUCGACAUAUGCCAACGGGCUAAUCAUGUAGGGGGUCAAUAGAACGUUUCGAGGCUCUAGAAGCGGGAGUAGGCAAGACCUCAAUCGACGUCGGGUUUUACCCAGGUUCGGGGCUCUCCGAGGAGAUAACACCCCUAAUCCUGCUCUGCGGGGUCUCCACAUCACUAUGAUCGAUAGCAAGUACAAGGUUGCUCCUUGAGCUGUUCGGGCUAGAGGAGGAAGAAGGCUGCUAGCUCUACUUCUCCUUAGCUAUGGGGGUGGAGUGAUCUAGGGAUUGAACCCUUUGCAUGGGUGUCCCUGAGGGGUUUAUAUAGGCCUACCCCCAGGAGUACAAUGGUAAUCCGGCUGGUCAUAGGACCCAACUGUCAGUGCCUGCGGGCUUCGGCUUCUCUACCGACAGCUGGGGCCCGCCGCCUGGUGGGUCCCGCCGGCUGUCGCAAGCUUGGUCAACGAGCGAGGCCUGCGUGGCACUGUGGCCUCGCCCUGAUGACGAUGGCUUGGUCAGCAGGCGCAUGGCUAUAGGGCCGCCUCCAGGCGGACGGUCACUAUAGCCACGCCCAGUCACUUCUGGUUAAUUGGGCACAUACCUCAAGGGGAGGGGCAGCCGCCUGCUAGGAGUCGGCCUCCCCUUGAGGCCGCCUGCUCAGGCCCGGCUGUCUUCUGGGGAUACGUGGGCCGAUGGGGCCCGCCGCCUGCGGGCCACGCCGACUACCCGUCGUGGGGGCAUGGCCCUGCCUGACAUAGGCAUCGUCAUGGGUUGCAUGGCUGCAGUGCCGUGCCAGGCGAGGGGCGUCCUCCUGGUACGUCCGCACUGUAGCCACGGUCCUUCCAGGAUUCGGGGGUGGCAGGUGGCACUGUUGCCAUGCCCUGUCUUGUCGUAGCAGGUGGGUGCAGACUUUGAGGUGGCGAUGGGCCGCCUGCUAGGAGCCGGCCCAUACCCUCGCCGCAUUUUGAGGCAUGCCGCCUUCUGUUGGCUCCAACUGGCCAUGGAGGCCGGCCUUGUGACCAGUAGGACUGAGGGGCCAGACUAGUCCCGAUGUCUUGAAAUAUGCUAUUGUAUGGAUGAGGCUACCCAGGGUUUAUUCCCCCGUCAUGUUCCUUGUGGCGAGACGAGAUAGGAAAUGGGAGGAAGAAGAGUAUGUGUGGGCCUACGGCUCCCGUGAUCAACUACCAUCAUUGACCAUGUCCAAGUCAGCAACCAGCAAAUGCAAAUUAGUAACGGACGAUUUCUGACCGGUUUGGGAUUGUUGAGGGGGUGAGGGAAUCGAAAUAAACAUCAGGGGGUUAUGUGAACCACCAAGUUUCUUCAAGGUAGUAAAAUAGACUUGUUUUUAUUUUUAAAAUUCAUUAACAUAUUUUCAAAUUCAUGGCUAUUUUUCAAAUACGCGGAAACAUUUUUGAAUUCAAUCUUUUUUCCAGUUUGUGCAAAUUUUUAGUUCGGUAACAUUUUGCAAUUCCAUGAACAUUUUCUUAAGGGUCUUUUAUAUUUAUGUCCCCAACUCGAAUCCACUGCUCAGAUUUACCCCUAAUUUCGAAGCAUACUCAUAUUUGCCCAGCUGCCGUUAAGUGACCUUAUAGAAAUGCCCUUAUGUAUCAUUUCCGUCCGGUCAAAGGGGUUUGACUGUCUACUAGCAGUUUUUUGGACAUUGUUGCCCCUGCCUCCUUAUGUCAUUGACAUGUGGGACACACCGUGAGGAAAAUAAAUAAAUAUCUAUCCCCUCUCUCUAUCACUUACAUGUGGGGCCCGAGAAAAAAAGAAACAGAAAAAAUAUCUUAGAAAAUAGGCAUAGGCCCACUUGUCUUAUUUAAUUAUCUGUUGAACAAUAUUUAUUGGAUUAUUAGACAAGAGGACCCGCUGGUUUGUGUCUAGGUUAGUUAGAACUUAGAACUAAUAUUUGAGCCUAAUCUAAUUACACUUUACUCCGGCGAGUGUGCGAGCUCGUCGGCGUCCAACUAGAUGGUACGGGAGCAUGCUAGGAGUGGGUAUGGUGAGGUGCGAGAAUGCCGGCGUGGUCACGAAGCAAAACAGCAAGCUGUUGGACGUUCAACGAUCAGGGAAAGGACAGCUGUGCUUGCCUCAGCAGCCCCAGCAAGAUCCUUGUCGGGGCAGCUCGUCCACACCAGCUGAGCGAGCCACCUUCGAGCCCACCAACGCUGAGCAGACACGUUGGGACGGGGUUCGGGAGGCACGUCCGUGGUGGCAAGCAGAUCUUUGUGAAGACAAAGAGCAAUCAAGAUAAAAAUAGGAUAGGAAGGCAACCAUCCUCACCGAAGAAACCCAUAGGACCCCCCGGCAAGAUCCUUGCCGGGGGAGCUGGCGCGCCACGGCAAGACCCUUGCCGGGCCACCCGGCAAGACCAUCGCCAAGCGCACCGGCAAGGCCACUGCCAGGCCCGCACCAGCCAAGUUUCUAACGCCGUUCGUACGCGGCCGCCGACUCAACCAGCUGGGUAGGCACCUGCGUGGCAGAAUGCAAACCUUCGUGGAGGCUCCACCACUUCGCCACCUCAGCUACUUGCCUGCCUACAUGGCGCUGCAUGCGUUGCUGGCCAGGGCACGUGUCGAAGCCAGGAGGGGCGGCGAUGGACGGGACGGGCCUCACCCCCAUCCCCAAUAAAGUGAAGGACACCUAAGCCUCACAUUUAAUGCGUCUCGUCCUGUAAUGCUAGCAAUAACCUCGCAGCACUGUAGCACUUUACAACUACUGUGUGCCACUGUGGCAGCCCCUUUUGCCUAUAAAAGGAGGCCCAUGGCAUACUGAGAGGGGAUUCGGCUCUUUCGAACCCCGCAGCACCCAGAACUAGUUCAAGAGCUCAAGAACACUAAUACAACCACCAAGCAGGAUCGUAGGGUUUUAUGCAUGUUUGCGGCCCGAACCUGGGUAAAUCCCCUUUGUGCCACCCACUAGUCCCACUCUUUUCACGAUCCCGCACCCCGCAACCGUAGAAGGGAUUCCAGUGAUCCCAUAGGUGUCGUUUCCCACUGACAUCUUUGGCGUGCCAGGUAGGGGGCGCUAUUGUGAGAAUCUAGCCUAGUGCCAGGCCUAGCAGUUCGUCAUCGCCAUGGCUCCUAAGAAGAAGACGACCACGGCGAUUGGCUCAUCCGAAACCAGACUGCCGUCGCUGGUGCGAGCCAGUAGCGGGUCUGUCGUGGAGAGAACCCGCGGCGCGGCCCGCGAACACCCACAUCACCCUGGCAGUCCGGGCCCGGUGGGCGGCGCCGCCUGUGCGAUGGGCGACGAACCGCGCGGCGCCGGCCCCAGAAACAACGUCGGAUCCCCCGCGGGCGGGGCGGGGCCCUCUAGGGGCGUCGUCGUGCCACCCACCGAUGGCGCGGCGGCCUCCAAGACACCAACGCCGGCGCCUACGGCGCGCUCCUCUCAAAUCAUACACGAUGAGCAGCACCGCCUUGCUGAUGACCAAGGGCGUCGCCCUCGGAAAAGCCCUAUGCAUCCUUCGCAGGAUGUGGGAGGCCAGCGUGCAGGCCGAGGCGCCGAUGAAGGUGGCAGGCGGUUGCGGAGCCGUGAUGAGGCCCCUUCUAACAUAGUUAGGAGUCGAAGCGCAUCGCGGUCCACCCAACUCUUGCUGCCACCCAUGCCAGCAGAAGACCUGGCGCGCGCGCAGCUCCUCCUCGACUUUCCCUCCAUGGUGGAAAAGCUUGAUGAAUGGAGGGCCACCGUCGGGAGCCUCGUCGGCAUCGCCAAAGAUGAUGAGCUGCGAUCGGCGAAACCCGUGGGCCGCUGCUCCGUCGUGCCACCCCUGCUAGCAGGGGCCGAGCCGAAGGCGAUGAGGCCACGGUGUAUUCCCCUCCUCAGCACCGGAUGUUGCGGGCGACGACCCGUUGUGACGAUGCGCGUGAUGAUGUCUCCAUCGCGUCGUCCGACCCGUGAACCAACCAUGACCAGCACCAAGUCCUUCGAGAGCAGGCUCAUGAGGACGCUCGAACCACCAUCGAGUGCUGACAUGACGCGCGCCACCAGUCGGACAGGCAGGCGGGGCCCGCUAUGGACCACCCAGCGCUGGGAGGCUACGGUGGCCUACCCUUCAAGGUGGGUUGUCCGGCUUUCGCCCGUGAGCUGCGGCAGUUCCCUCCCACCGCACUUUCAAGCCUGACGUUGGCGAGAAGUACAACGGCAAGACUCACCCGUCAGAGUUCCUCAGCAUCUACACCAUCGCGAUGCAAGCUGCGGGGGCCCGCGACGAUAAGGUGCUUGCCAAUUACUUCCCGUUGGCACUCAAGCCUAAUGUUAUGUCAUGGUUGAUGCACUUGCCGAUGGAUUCCAUCUCUUCUUGGGCAGAUCUGUGCCAUGAGUUUGUUGGCGCAUUUACCGGAGGUCACCAAGCUCAUGGCCAAGCGAGUGAUUUACACAUCAUCCCCCAGAAGGAAGGAGAAAACCUACGCAAGUACAUCCAGAGGUUCAGCCGGGUGCAGUACAACAUUCCCGAUGUUCAUCCCGCCAUCAUGAUCAGGGCGUUCCACUAGAACGUGCGUAAUCGCAAGAUGUGUGAAGAGCUGGCGAUGAACAAGGUUAAGGAUGUGGCCGAGCUCUAUGUUCUAGCCGAUCGAUGCGCUCGCGCUAAAGAGGGAAGGAAGUACCCCAACGAAGAUGCCGGCGCGGAAACCGAUUCCACUGGCGAUACCGCCGUCCCAGCAAAGAAGGGUCGUCGCCAUAACAGGAAACGCAAGGGCAAGGCCGUGCUUGCCGUCGAGGGAUCCGAUGACACCGGCGCCCCCAAGAAGACCAAGGCGAGCGACCCCCGCAAGGAGGUUGGCUGGUGUGUCGCUUGCCGGGCCUUGGCGGCCGCCGACAAGCCAGGAGGCUCCGACAAGCAGUAUUGCAAGAUCCACCACAACAAGGGCCAUGACCUCCAACACUUCCGGCAAGUAGAGCUGCUCGCCGAGAAGCAGAAGGCCGAGUAUGAGGGGCGGGACAAGGAGAAGGGCCAAGAUGGUGCCGAAGGGCCCGACAAGAAACGUAGUGGCCAGGGAGGCCACCGCAGCAAAGACAGUCAGCAGGAGAGGCCCGCCAGGGGCCGCGACAAGAAAGAAGAAGAUGAUGAUCGCGACGGGCACGACGAGUCUAGCGAUCACGAGUUCCAGAAAGCCACAGAGGCCAUGUGCGUCGAUGGUUGCGCCUCGCUGCAUACAUCUCACUGCCAGCUCAAGAAGUGGGUGCGUGAGAUCACCAAAGCGAAGCCGUUGUUCGAUGCACGGAAGCCGCUGAAGUGGUCCAGCACGCCCAUCAUCUUUGACACCGAGGACCACCCUGACCGCACUACUGCGGUCGGGUGCUUGCCAUUGUUGGUUUCCCCAACGAUCUGCAACCUCAAAGUGACAAGGAUGUUGGUCGAUGGCGGGGCCGGCUGAACUUGAUCUCGCCUGCCGUGGUCAAAAAGCUGCAGAUCCCUGAUGGAGACCUCGAGGAAACAGGCACGUUCCAAUGGGUUAACCCGGGGAGGAGCCAGCCGAAGGGAAAGGUCACGCUGCCUGUGACCUUCGGAGGCGAGCUAAAUCACAGGACGGAGAGGAUUGUUUUCGAUGUAGCCGAGAUCCCCUUGCCUUACAACGGGAUACUCGGCCGCUCGGCACUAGCCAAGUUCAUGGCAGCUUCACAUUACACCUACAACAUGUUGAAGAUGCCCGGGCCGAUGAACAUCAUCACCGUCCCCUCCGACAAGAAAGAUGCGUUGAUUUGAGCUGACCAACUUUAUCGGGAAGCAGUUGCAGCAACUACCGCCAAGGCACCUCCUCCUGCCAACGGAGCCCCGGGAGGGAAGAAGAUCGGUGAGACCCCUCGCACCCACUCCGGCAAGCGCACCUCUUCGGGGUGUUGCGCUGCCGUCGAGGACAUGCCAGAGUGCUCCGUCGACAGGAGCAAGAAGCCCAGAGCUGCACCGCCAAAGACCAAGAAGGUGACCGUCAAGGAGGACAGUACGGGUGGGGAUUUCACCAUAAGCUCCACCCUUGACAGCAAAUAGGAAAGCGAGCUCGUCACUUUCUUGCGGGUGAAUGUCGAUGUGUUUGCAUGGCAAGCCUCCGACAUCCCCGGCAUUCCCAGGGAAGUGAUUGAGCACCACCUUGUUGUUUGUCCUCAUGCGCGGCCCGUCAAGCAGAAGGUCAGGAAGCAAGCUCUGGAGAGGCAAGAGUUCAUCAUGGAACAAAUUAGGAAGCUAGAGGCGGCAGGCUUGGUAAGAGGAGUGCUCCAUCCGACGUGGUUGGCCAAUCCGGUAGUAGUGCGCAAGGCAAACGAGAAGUGGAGACUGUGUAUUGAUUACACAGACAUCAAUAAAGCUUGUCCAAAGGAUCCCUUCCCGUUACCGCGCAUCGACCACAUUGUUGACUCCACGGCAGGGUGUGACCUGUUAUCAUUCCUCGACGCCUACUCGGGAUACCACCAGAUCUUCAUGACAAAAGAAGACGAAGAAAAGACAACAUUCAUCACCCCAUGUGGUACGUACUGCUUUUUACGGAUGCCUUUCGGGUUGAAGAGUGCUGGCUCAACGUUUGCAAGAGCAGUCCAGAUUGGUUUUGAACCCCAGCUACAUAGAAAUAUGGAAGCUUAUAUGGAUGACAUAGUGGUCAAAACCAAGGACAAAUCAACGCUUGUACAAGACCUGGAGGAGACCUUUAGAAACCUGCGCAAGAUUAACCUCAAAUUGAACCCUGAGAAGUGUGUCUUCGGUGUCCCAUCCGGCAAGCUUCUCGGGUUCUUUGUGUCGCAGCGUGGGAUUGAGGCAAACCCGGACAAGAUUAAGGCUAUCGAGCAGAUUGAGGCGCCCAAGCGGAUCAAGGACGUGCAUCGGCUCACUAGCUGCGUUGCCGCCAUGAGCAGAUUCAUCUCCAAGUCCGCAGAGCGUGCCCUACCCUUUUUCAAGAUCCUGAAAAAGACGGGCCCAGUGGAGUGGACCCCGGAGGCCGAGGCGGUGUUGCAAGAUUUGAAGUACCUUUCCUCUGCCCCAGUGCUGGUUGCGCCUAAACCACAAGAGUUGUUGCUACUAUACCUAGCGGCAACAAAUCAAGUGGUUAGCGCUGCAUUAGUGGCAUAGAGAGAGGUUGACGGAGAGACGGCAGCGGCGGCAGAGUCAACGGCUGGCGGGUCGGAACCCUCCCCGGCAGGGCUCGGUCCCGGCAAGACUGAGUCCCCGGCAGGGCCCGAUCCCAGCAAGCCUGGCGCCGGUGCGACAAGACCAGCAUGGCUAGGUGAAGUGAUUCAAAGAAAUAAGAUGGUGCAGCACCCAGUUUACUUCGUCAGCUCCCUCUUACAGGGAGCUAGGUCGAGGUCUUCAGGUGUACAAAAGUUGCUCUUUGGCCUCCUUAUGGCCUCGAGGAAGCUGCGCCACUACUUCUAGGCGCACGAGAUCACCGUGGUUACCCGUCUUCCAUUGAAACGGAUACUACAUAAUCCAGACGCGACAGGGAGGAUCAUGGAAUGGGCCCUAGAGCUGCCAAGCUUCGGCUUGAAGUUUGAAAGCACCUUGAUGAUUCAGAGCAGAAUCUUGGCGGAGUUUGUUACAGAAUGAACUUCGACACCCGACGAAGAGGUACAAGAGACCGCUCUCCCCGGUGAGGAAACAAGUGGCGACUGGAUCAUGUACUUUGAUGGGGCUUUCUCGCUGCAAGGCGCCGGUGCUGGUGUGCUGCUUGUCGCACCCACCGGGGAGCACCUCAAGUACGUCAUCCAAAUGCACUUUCCCCGGGAGAUGUCAACCAACAACACCGCCGAAUACAAGGGUUUGCUUGCCGGUCUCAGGAUCGCGGCGGACCUUGGAGUCAAAAAGCUCAUCGUCAGGGGCGACUCGCAACUCGUCAUCAGGCAGGUCAACAAUGAUUAUCAAAGCCCUUUGAUGGAAGCCUACGUGGAUGAAGUGAGGAAGCUGGAGGAGCAUUUUGAUAGUAUACAAGCAGAGCACGUCCCCCGAGCGGAGAACGACAUUGCUGACUACCUGUCGAAGCGCGCCGCCCUCAAGCUACCUGUGGAACCAGGUACUUUUGUGCUUCAGUUAACCUAACCAUCCGUUCAGACGUCAACUGGGCAUAACAAGCGGAGGAAGCUAGGCCUCGGCAAGUACCUCCCCACCGAGCUCCCCGGAGCCGUCGGCGGAGAUGUUGCCGUGGGUGCCGAUUCUGCCGCAGGGAAACCGACUCCGGCAGGACCUCAGGUCAUGGCCGUGGAGGCGGCUGACCCCGCAGCAGAAGAGAUGCCUUUGGCCCUUGCCGUCGAGCCACAGGCUCCGGCAUGGGCGCAACACACCAUUGAUUCCUUCAAAAAGGGGAGCUUCCUGAGGAGCAGGAAGAAGCGGAGAGAGUAACCCGUCGGUCUGCUCUAUACCAGUUUGUUGAUAACAUGCUAUACAGAAGAAGACCGAAUGGGGUGAAAUUGAUGUGCAUCUCCCAGGAGGAAGGACUAGAGCUGCUAGCAGAGAUACAUGAAGGCAUAUGUAGCUCCCACAUAGGGUCGAGGGCCCUUGUCGGCAAGGUUUUCUGGCAGGGUUUCUUCUGGCCCACCGCCCUCCAGGAUGCAACAACACUAGUAACCAAGUGUGAAGCAUGCCAGUUCCAUUCGAAGAAGCUUUAUCAACCAGCUCAAGCCCUUCAAACCAUCCCUCUCUCCUGGCCCUUCUCGGUCUGGGGGCUCGACCUCUUGGGCCCCUUCCCUAGCUCCGUCGGGGGCUUUGAGUACUUGUACGUUGCCAUCGACAAGUUCACAAAGUGGCCAGAGGUGGAGGCAGUGAGGAAGGUGAAGGCGCAGUCAGCCAUCAAGUUGUUCAAGGGACUAGUUUGCCGUUUUGAGGUGUCCAACAGGAUCAUCACCGACAACGGCACGCAGUUCACAAGCCAUGCCUUCAUGCAGUACAUUGAGGAUCUCGGCAGCAGGGUCUGUUUUGCUUCCGUGGCGCAUCCACGAAGCAACGGCCAAGCGGAGAGAGCAAACACUGAAGUCCUGCGAGGCUUGAGGACGAAGACUUUUGACAGGCUGCGCAAGAGCGGAAGGCACUGGAUUGAUGAAUUGUCGGCGGUUCUUUGGUUGAUCAGAACGAUGCCAAAUCGAGCCACCGGCCAGACACCUAUUGCCCUGGUCUAUGGGGCAGAAGCAAUUCUCCCCACGAAACUCAUAUAUGGGUCACCCCGAGUGCUCGCUUAUGAUGAGUUUUAGCAAGAGCAACUGCAGCAAGAUGGCGCAACGCUCCUCGAGGAAGAUUGUCUCCGGGCGGCUGUGAGAGCAGCAUGCUACCAGCAAGCUUUGCGCCGCUACCAUAGCCGCAUGGUUCAUGCCCGGAGCUUUGAGGAAGGCGACCUUGUCCUUUGGCACGUUCAGUCGGCCAAGAAUUCCAACAAGUUGACGCCGAAGUGGGAAGGCCCUUAUCGGGUAACGCGAGUCACCAGGCUCGGCGCAGUCCGCCUGGAGAACGAAGAUGUCGUCCCAGUGACUAAUUCCUGGAACGUCGAGCAUCUUCGCAAGUUUUACCCAUAAGGCGGGGCUGCCGGGUCCCCCGGCAAGCCAUCCCUUUGUACAAGCCUUGCCGGCAAGGCAUGUAACCCUUUGUACAAAGCCAGGCGCAGACCCUGAGCAUAAAUAAACGAAGCGCUGGCGCCCUAAGUUAUAGCAUGCAUGCUAGGUUGAGUCUCUCCCUUGGUUAGGGUUGAUUGUGCUUGGCUGCGACUAACACCUAGCUUAGAGGUCGAUUGUGCGUCUCUGUCCUUCCCUGUCUUCUUUGGUUCGCAGGGCACGUAAGUAUUCUUGCCGAGCUAUUCUGGAAGGAAAGGAGCGGACCGGCGCCCGGGCCCCGACAAACUAGAAUUGCCGGGGGCUGCAAGAACGAUGAUCUCUCCGCGGCAAGCCAAGGUCGCCGCGGGCUGCGGAUUCAGAUAAGUCCUUUAUCCCCUAUAAUGCAUUUCGUUAUGGACUGGGAUGGUGAAACCCCGUUCUAUCUCUGAGCUACCGUGCUCCAUCUUUUCGGCACCCAAGGAUUAUCUCCUUGGUCUGGAUCUGGUUGUAGCCGCGGCAGCAGAAGAGGGGAACGAGGGGCCUAAGCCCACCUCAUCCCUACCCCGGCCAAUAGCGUUGGAAAGGUCGAGCGAGGUGGGGAGACGGCAAGGCCUGUUGCCGGGAAAAAACGUUUAUCUUGAAAGAUGACAAGGAUUCACCACUUGCCGUGGGUUUUUCUCCCGCGAACAAAAAUCCCGACAAACGUCCCUUUUUCAUUAAAAACAUCCCGUACAGGUACAGUUCGUACGAAAUGAAAAAGAUGAACAAGGAGAUUACAAGUUCUAAAGCUAAUAAAGGCCUGAAGGCUUACAAGACUAAAAAGAUAUAAGGUGCCCAGAAUCCCUUUCUUGUCCCUCUCCUCAGGAAAUGGAACAAGAAAGCACAAGGGCAAAAGGGGCGCCUAGGCAAGCUACAAGUGGCAGAAGACACCGAGAGAACAUCUCCGAGGUCGUCCGAAGGCUGAAUGGCGAUGAGGGCGCCGGAGGCAGAGCUCGAAGACGAGGCGGCAGGACGCCAACACACGACGAAAGCGUCGGUGUCUGCGUACUCCGAAUUAACGGCCUCGCCGCUCGUCCUCUUCCUCUUCCGCAGCCUCCCUAUGCCAGCCGCCCAAGGAGGCGACCCUGAGUAGUUCAAGGAGCCGGUGACACGGAUGAUGGGGCCGCCGGUGCCGCUCGGAGCGACGCCCGACACCUAGUAGGACCCGUCAUCCUGCCGCCCGCAGCCAUCAUCGUCGCUAACAUUGUCUUCCUCGCCACUCUCGCUUAAGGAGGACUCUUCGUCAUCGAAGGAGCUCUCUACACAGCACCUCACGUGGGUUCCGAAGUGCCCGAAGAUCUUGACGGAGAGGAGGCCAGCGAAGGUUUUCCACCCUCGGUGAAGAUACAUGGCAUGGGGGGUGGGGAACUCGACGUCGACCCAUGUGCCACUGUUCCCGCAGCCCCUCAUGUGCAGCCGCAGCGCCUGCGGCGUAUCCAGCUCCAUCUCCCGCGCAAAUGGGGUCGGAAGGCGGAGGCGGCGGCGUGGUGGAUGGCACAGCCUGACGAAGAAUUCGCAGGGAUUGUCCCCGGCAUGGCCCUCCAUCGGAGGAAGGGCUGCUGGAGGGGGCGAGGCGGAUCUGCCAUCCCGUCCUCCUCUCCCUCGGGCUCCGCGGCGGCCUCGACCUCGCCCCCUCCCCCUCCCUCUAGCGGCCGGCUCCGCCGCUAUGAGUUCCUGGGGAGGAGUGAUGCGCUGCCUGGCCGAAACCCUCGCCGCCACUGAUGAAGCAUCGCCAUGCCCCCUCGCCAUGGUAGAAGAAGAAAGGAAGUAGGAAUGGGGAGAGGCCGAUGGCGAAGGGCUGAGAGGCACCGUCCCUCUCGCUCCCCUCUUUAUAAAGAGGCAGGGGCAAGGCUCGGCCGCCCCCUCUCGGCCAAUCCGGCCUCUUGAAAUGACAGCGAGCGGGGCUGUCGACCGCCCUCCCCGCUCCAUUGAAGGCACAAGGGAAUCAACCCGCACGCGCGCGACUACCCACGACCCCUGCGCCUAUCAUUCGCUCUGCAUGCAGCGAACGUGGCGCAAGAGGCGGGUGCAAUGGGACGCGUGGAGCGACGGUUCCCGAGCAAGGGCAGUAAAUGGGAGGCGGCCCUGCGGUCUCAAAGAGACACGCAAGCCACCUCUCUACUGUCCACCACAAGGUGACGCCAGCAUCCCCUCGUCACGCAUGCGCACGACCCCCACAUCGCGUGUUCAACGCCGGUCGUGGGAAAGCACAGCAGGCAGAACAGUGGCCACGGUAAAAACCCGCCUCAACUGCCCGCGCGCCGUUCUGGGCCUGCCCAACAACGUGUUGCGCCUAUGUGUGACCCAGGCCCGGGGGCUCCUGUCGGUGUACAAAAGUAGGGGCCCAGCUUUUGACCCCUUUACUUGUGCACGAGUAGUCAGAGCCGCCUACCGCGGCCACACAUGAGCAGGGCAAGCGAGGGAAGCCGGAGAGAGGCCAAAGCCACAAGGACAAGCAAAGCAAACAACAAAGGAUCAAGACCACAAAGGUUGCACGAGCGAUGCAGGUUGCCCCGGCAAGGACCCUUGCCGAGGGCAGACUCAGCAGCCCCGACAAGAUCCUUGUCGGGGCAGCUCGUCCACACCAGCUGAGCGAGCCACCUUCGAGCCCACCAACGCUGAGCAGACACAUUGGGACGGGGUUCGGGAGGCACCUCCGUGGUGGCAUGCAGAUCUUUGUGAAGACAAAGAGCAAUCAAGAUCAAAAAAGGAUAGGAAGGCAACCAUCCUCACCGAAGAAACCCAUAGGACCCCCGGCAAGAUCCUUGCCAGGGGAGCUAGCACGCCACGGUAAGACCCUUGCCGGGCCACCCGGCAAGACCAUCGCCAAGCGCAUCGGCAAGGCCACUGCCAGGCCCGCACCAGCCAAGUUUCUACCACCGUUCGUACGCGGCCGCCGACUCAACCAGCUGGGCAGGCACCUGCAUGGCAGCAUGCAAACCUUCGUGAAGGUUCCACCACCGUGCCACCUCAGCUGCUUGCCUGCCUACAUGGCGUUGCAUGCCUUGCUGGCCAGGGCGCGUGUCGAAGCCAGGAGGGGCGGCGACGGACGGAACGGGCCUCACCCCCGUCCCCAAUAAAGUGAAGGACACCUAAGCCUCGCAUUUAAUGCGGCUCAUCCUGUAAUGCUAGCGAUAACCUCGCAGCACUGUAGCACUUUACACCUCCUGUGUGCCACUAUGGCGAGCCCCUUUCGCCUAUAAAAGGAGGCCCAUGGCAUACUGAGAGGGGAUUCGGCUCUUUCGAACCCAGCAGCACCAAGAGCUAGUUCAAGAGCUCAAGAACACUAAUACAACCACCAAGCAGGAUCGUAGGGUUUUAUGCAUGUUUGCGGCCCGAACCUGGGUAAAUCCCCUUUGUGUCACCCACUAGUCCCACUCUUCUCAUGAUCCCGUGCCCCGCAACCGUAGAAGGGAUUCCAGUGAUCCCAUAGGUGUCGUUUCCCACCGACAGAAAUUUUAUUUUAUAUUUUUAUUAGUCCGGCCCUACAUGUAAGUGUGUGUGAGAGAGAGGGGGGUGAGAGGAAGAGUUUUCUCAUUUAUUUUUUUUUGAGUUGGCCCACCUGUAAGUGACACAUGGAGUCAAGGGCAAAAUGUCUAGCAAACGUCCAGAUAGCGGUCAAAGCCCUUUGACUGGACUGAAACGGAAUGGAACGACAUUUCUAUAAGGACACCUAACGGCGUAGGGGCAAAUUUGAGCCUGCUUCAAAAUUAGGGGCAAACCUAAGAAGUGGGUUUGAGUUAGGGACGUAAAAGUCCCUUUUUUCAAAUCAUGAUUGUUUUCAAUUCAUGAACAUGUUUUCAAAUUCUUCAUUUUGUUUACAUUCGAGAACCUUUUUGAACUAUGUUGAUUUUUUCUAAGUUUGUGAACAUAACUUUAAUCGGGAAAAAAAAUUAUCAAAUAAUUAACAUUUUUUCAUUAUCUAUUUCAACCAUGCGUAGUGAUAAAAAGAAAAAAUAGGUGGAAAGGGGGGAAACCAAAAAAAAUAUAGUGUGCUUGAAGCUAGUGAUGUCUGGUGUGCACUAAGUCGUCGGCACCCAGCCACCCUAGUGAUGAGGUCUGUAUGCAACUGCAUUGAUAUGUAUCCCAAUCAGCGACCAUGUGGCUGGGGAGCCCUAGGUAUCAUAUGCACCAUCAAAAUAAAGAGCCUUGGCUUGGUUACAAGAUGUAAAAUUCAUGUUGAAUCAUCACUUACCGCUCGAGGAAGAAGUCCCGACAAACUUCUUGCCAGCAGGCACGGUAAGACAGGGUAUGUCAUAGCCUAUCUCGUGUUGUGAACUAUAAAAUACCCAUCGGGGCGUGGACCAAGAAAGAGGCAGGCAAUUGGGACAAAAUACCUGGUGUACUGUAGUGACCUUGUUUUCUAUUUUCGAUUGGACUACUGUCGCAAGAUGUCAGGUGUUGUAGUAUGUUCGGUACAGUAGUGUUUUUUUUUCUUUUCAUUCAAUUUUCUAAAAACUCAUGAAAAGAAUGCAUUUAAAAAGUGACUAAUAUUUGAGAAUAUAUUUUCAAACGAUCAUGUAUUUCGAAAAUGCAAACAUAUUUAGAAAUUUUGGAAUAAUUCUGAAAAUGCAAACAAUAUUUGAAACUUUAAACAUUUUUUGUAAACUCAAUAGUUUUUUCAAAUUGUGAACAAAUUUUAAAACAUGAAUAUCUGUUGAAAACAUGAAAUUCUGAAAAUUUGUUGAAAAUGCGAACAUUUUCUCCCAUACAUGAACAUUUUUUGAAAAUGUAAAAAAAUCUAGAAUUUGUUUUUUAAAACGUGAUUUUUUUUAAUCGUGAACAAAAUUUUGAGAACAUGAUCUUGUUUUUUGAAAUCCUUAUAUUUUUUUACAUGUAAGCAUUUUUUGAAUUUAUGAGCAUUCUUUGAUAUGCCAAACAUUUUCUGAAACACAAACAAUUUUUUGAAAGGAAGAACAUGAUUUUAUAAUAGAUUCACAACUUACUAAUGUUCUGUUUAAACUAAAAAAAUCAUAAAAGUCAUAAAAGAAACAACAAUAAAAAGAACAAAAUAGCCAGCAAUCUAGAAGGUUCCCAAAACCGGUAAAAACUUACUAAACCUUCUAGAUGGUUUCAAAGUUGGAACGAGAACCCCUCUUCCUACCGGUGAAAGGGGCUGGCCCACUUGAUUUCCUGGUGCACUUUUCCUCGUGCUAAAGGAUGAUUGUUUACCAAAACAUGCGGAUAAUUGGAUUUGCCCCCAUUUGAUUCCUGCCUCUCGUCCACAACACACACUUAAAUGGCUACAUGGUUAGAAUUACGCACCAGGCUAGGCCAUCGCAGUGAGAGAUAUACAAUGGUUUAUAUCUCUUAUUGAGAUGGCCUAUAGCUUGUGUUGACUACGUCGACCCAUUAGUGGGAGUAGGAGAAGCCGACUUACGGAAGCUGACAUUUGGAUUUUUAUUUCUUACAAUUUUAUGUGUGAUUUAUUUUUAUUUUCUAAAAUUCAUGAACAUUUUUCAAAUUUGUGGAAGCUUUCCAAAAUUCUUAAUAUUUAUAAAAUUCAUGAAUAUUUUUAAAAAUUCACCAAUAAUUAUAAAUUCAUAAUUAUAUUUUUUAAUUCGUGAAUAAUUUCUAAUUUCACGUAUAUAUUUUUAAUCCAUGGACAUUUUUCAUAUUCAUGAACGUUUUGAAUACAUGAACAGUUAUUUUUAAUCAUGAAUAUUGUUUCAGAUUCCAAAACAAUAUUUGUUUCUGCAAACAUUUUAACAUUCAUGAAUAUUAUUUAAAUUUAUGAGCUUUUUAUAAUUCAUUAAAAACCAACCCAAAUGAAAAAAUAAAUUAAAAAAACGCGUUGUGGUUUUUUUGAGGAAACAAAUUCACUCCAGGAAAAUCAGGUGAAUAGUGUAUGUGAGCUAGCCCAACUGUACUCGUUGUAGGCGAUCCGUCUGUACCCCUCCCCAUGAGUGAUACAUAGUAGCGCCCCCAUUAAAUGGGUCCUAAUUGAGCCCGUAUAGCAAAAUACUUGGCCAACAUGAUAAGUUGAUUCUAAUUAAAGAACAAAAACAUACCUGACUUAGAAUAUGUUUUUAAUUUCUCUAAAAAAUGGGAAUACGUUAUUAAUUGAUUCCACAUAUAACAAGUACCACGGAUGCUAUAUAAAGGAUCGCUCCGGAUCUAUUCAUCCACAAGAUCAAAAGUAAUAUUCCCAUUCCAAGCGCAACUCAUAUAAACAAUUCCUCCUACGGUCCACAAGUUCUUCUAUCAAGGAUGAUAACUACCAAGGUGGUGCUCCUCGGCCUCCUCCUUUUGGUGCUUUGUUCAGGUAUUUUGCAGGCAUGGUUCUUAUUUUCUAAUGGACAUGUGUACGAAACAUUCUAAUUACCGUUGAAUUCGUAGGUGUUAUGUCAAAGGAGACCAUAGACGAUGGAUCCUAUUUCCCCCAGGGUUGCGACAUACACGUUGUCUCCAAGUCAUGUCCAUCCAAAGAUGCAUGUUUGACACAAUGCAAACAAACAUACCACUCGGGCAAGGUCUACGGUGAAUGUGCUCCUGAUGGAUGCCAUUGCAUAGUAUGUGUGUUAUCUGCAGGAAAUUAAGGAUACUAGUAGCAAGCCUUGCAGGCCGCACGCCGCAUGUUGUUUUCUAAGAUUUAGAAUAUUUGUAGUAA
rnacentral:lncRNA from 1 species